UCAAACACGCGGUGACUAAGGAGUUGAUAAAUCCUGAUUAUAAGUUAUAACAUUCCCCAUAGAUAUGGAGCAGAAUGGGAUGAAUUACAAGACCAAGGAGUUCAUCAAUUCUGAUCAUACCGACUUUAAAUUUUCUCAGAUUAGCAGCAAAUUCAAACCAUACCCUUUCGUGACUCCGGUUCGAUCAGGAGCCAUCAAACGCAGAAUCUUUACGGCCCUCUUCUGCAAAUUAAUAAAUUUCUUGCGAAUCAAGUUUACCUGCAUGUUUUAGGGAUCACGAAAACAUGCCAGCAAGCAUACGAAAUUGUAAUCUUUUUUUUUUUUGUUGUCCGGAAGUAAUUGAUCUGUUCAGUUUCGUUAUGGUUAGUACUUUUUUCUUGGAAGCUAUGGUUUUGUUUUCUAGUUGAUUAGUUCAAGUAUUUAUUGUUUACCCACGCAAUGGAAAUCAAGAAACGGACUUCCUAAAUGUGUAUCGAAGGGUUAAAACCCUAUUGGUCAUCGCUGAAAUCAUGCAUUUGCUUUAGUUAUAUCAUUAUCUGCAAAAUAAAUGAUUUUGUUGGGUAUCUAAUGACUAAUGAUGAAGCCUUAUGUGGCAAAAGAUGCUGACAAAUACCCCAAAAAAAUUAUGGACGACUCAGUCAAGCUAAUGUUAGACAAAAAGUAAAUAAAUAAAGACUGUCUGAAUGUGAAGAUUUUGUGAGACAUGUUGCUCAGCAUUUAAUUACCAUGGAAUAAGGUUUGAUUUUGAUCCUAUUCCAUUCCAAAAAAGGAAAGUUCGACACAAUUGGAAUUUUUUUUGGAAAUUGAAUGCAGUUACUAAUUCAUGAUCUGGCAUGUACAGAAUGAAAACUUCAUUCCCGAUUCUACGAGAAUUUUUAUGAAAGCCUUUCAUUUGCUUCUCUUCGAUGGAAGUUUGAUUUUCCCAGAAUGUAUCCUAAUUUUUGGCCUAAUUCUUCUUCUGAUGAUCGAUUCAACCUCUGAUUAAAAAGAUAUACCUUGAUUAUAUUUCAUCUCUUCAACAAGUUUAGUAAUGAGCAUAACAAUUUAAUUUUGAUUCUAUUUUCAAAAUAACAGAUUUUCUUUCGCUUCCGCUCUAUUUUAUUAUCUUUAUUCUAAUAUUAUUGAAAGACAUGUGGGCAGAAAUCUAGAUGGAACAUGUUGGAAACCAAUUUUAGACCGAGUAGAAAUUUUCGUCUAUGUAAAUGCCAAAUAGAUUGCAAUGCACACAAUGAAAUGGAGUAUGUUAAUUAACACUUACGGAAAAGGAUUUGUAUGAUCAUAAAAUUCAAAAUUACUAAUUUUAUUUUAUAAUCCUUGUUCAUUAGCUGAAAAUAUAAUUGGAGAAAACUGAAAAAGACUAAGAAACUGUUUGAUAGGCCCAAAAAAUAAACACUAUAAUUUAAUUCUUAAAUUUCAACCACAUUUUAAGGAUAAGAAACUGUCGCAAAUUCCACGUUCGACAUCAUAGUCACGAUAUAAAAUUAUUAAGGAAAAUAACCACCUUGUAUCUAAAUUUUUGUGACUUGAAGAUGAAGGGUAUUUACUAAAGAAUCCAUGGAAGUAUUUUUCCAAUGUUUUCGUGUAUAUUGUUGUUCGAUAAAAUUCCGUAAACGUACGAGAUCGUUGACAAGUAAUAUAUUUAAUGAGUUGAGAGUAUCAUCAAAUAGAAAAUAAUUUUCUAUUCAAGUGUACCAGUUUUUAUAAAAUUCUAAUUAUCUAAAUAAAAUAGAGAUUUUGAUUUGAUUUUAUGUUAAAUUAUACAAGAAAGAGUUAAAAGGCGUUUUUGUAUCACAUUAUGGAUGAUUGUAUUGAAUUUCAAAUUCACUUUUUGCUAUCUACUUUAAUUCUUGAUUUGUAUCCUAGUUUCAUUAAAACGUUUUUGACAAUCUAUAAAGUUAUGAUAUAUAAUUUUCUUUUUUCAAGACAAAUUAAAUCUAUUUUUAGCCCGAAUUUGAAUGAUUAGAAUUGAUUAAAUUUUAGAUUAUCUAUAUGAUUGUUAUUCCUAACAUGUAUUGCACAUAUGUUACUUUUGUCGCAUUCUAAACUUAUUGUGAAUCUCCUAAUACCACAACAAGUAACUAAUUAUUUAAUUGAUAGCCAAACAAUUAAAUAAGACAAUGGGUAUACAAAAUUAAUCAAGAAACGCAAGACAUAAUAAACUGCUAGUCUUAAAUUAAAAUACAUAGACAAUAGGAUUUAUCUUUAUCCAAAACAAAAAAGGGAUCUAGAAUAACAUAUUAAUAUAUAAAUUCUAAAAAGAAUAAUGAAAAAAUAUCAUCCCAAAUCAUGAAAGAAUAUAAGAAAUCUUAUUCUUCAGUUUUUAGGUUGAAAUUUUCAAAAUCUUGUUGUAAUUGGCUUCAAUUCCUUGUUAAGUUUCGAUCUUAUUUCUCAAAAUUUUUGAAUUGACCUCUUGCUCUUGAUGAAUGUUAUGAUAUUAUUGUGUAUCUAGAAGUUAGAGAGAGAUCCUCAAUGUUUCUCCGUAGUUCUUGUAAGGGUCAAAUUUAGGUAAAUAAAUAAUCCCAAAGUUGUUACCAAUAAGGGUUUGAAUUAAAAAAAGAAAUUGGCUUGUCAAUAGAGAAUUUGGCUCAGGCAUGUGUUCAGGCAUAUUGCAUCUCUCAGGUCAAGAAAAGAGGGGUUCGUGCGCACAUGCCUGAAUUGUCCCAUUCUUGUCUAUUCACAUCGCUUUAUCCCUACAUGGCCAUCGGUAUUUUAGUUAUAACUUUCGCUCCUAAUAUUCAAUUGAAGCGAUUCAAAAUGCGUUGAAAAUAUAAAUAUAAUUGAUACAAUUACUAAUAGAAAAUUUUCAAUUCGAACAUUUGCUACCCAAAAAAAUGGAUCUCAACUAAUGCUAAAAAUCCAGAGCAUAAUUUUUUCAGUUAGAAAUUAAUUUGUGAAAAUACUUUAACUAUAUUUAAUUCAUUUGAUCUCCAAUUACAUCUAAUUGAUCAUAUGUGAUAUUCAAUCAUUGUUUAAUGGUCCAAAUCAACUAUUCGAUGUUUGCAUUUUGGUCUCCAAACUUUAAAUUUCUUUCAUUUUUGCUCUUAUUCGUCUAUUUCUUUCAAUUCCACCAGUUUGUCCCGAAUUUUACCUAACAAAAAAAAAGUAACAUCUAAAUAAGCCAUAAGUCAUCAAAAUUUAUUAUAAUUAAUCUCAUUUAACGGUCAAGAUAAGUGUAUUUUAUACACUUAUCAAAUACCCGCAAACUUUAACAAUUAUUUGUUCUCAAACAAAGUAAAUUUUGACUUUAAUUUUUUAUUUUUAAAACAAGCAUGGUUAAAUAAUCUGUCUUUUAUUUUAGGAUUAAAAUUUAUGUUUCAAAACCAUAAACUACUUCAAGAUCAUAUUGCCAAAAUUAAUUUCUACUUAUUUAAAGCAAAUUAAACGUGAGUGAGACAGAGAAAAUAAAUUCAUACCAAGCAUCAUAAAUUCAAAAAGUGAUUUAGAGGGUGUUUGACACCCAUUUUUAUGGUAAAAAGAAUUUAGAAUAGUAGAUUGAUGGAGAAUUUGUGGGUGAAAAUAAGGAAAGUUUUUUAUUUACAUGUGAUAUUAUUUUAAUAAAGAAUGUGUGAUUGAAAAGAAGAGAAAGAAAAAUGCAUUUUGAGAAAAAUGGGAAUCAAACGGACCCUUAAGUUCCAAUUCCUCAAUAGUCAAAUAUUUCAUUUCUUCUCUCAUUAGAUUCACACCUCCAAACUUAUUCUUUUUAACUAAUUUUUACCCUAUAUUUUACUAAUUGCAGUUUAAUAUAUCAACAAAUGAGGAUUUUUUUUAUUAUUAUUUCAAUCUCCAAAAAUCGACAAAGUUAAUAAUUUCUUGUCAAAUGCCUAAUUCUCUAAAAUAAGUGAUUGGGCUUAAUCAAGGCAUGUAGUGCGUCUUCUAUUUCAUGCAUAUAUAUAUAUAUUAUGUGCAGAGUUUUCUUCAUUAAACUUUGUAAAUGACUCUCGUAGUGAGCUUUCGAUUGAUGGCUCCCAAAUUAGAUGAUUAUAAAGCACCAAAUUUUAGAUAUCCUUACAAGUUUAAUCAUUAGAGCCAUAAAAGCUAUGAAAAGAAGUUUCACAAUGAUAUAAAUUUUUUUAUACAAUGACUAAUGCAAUGCCAAUUAUUAAACACUAAUUUUAAAAAAUUGACCCUUAACUCAAGUUUUUCACAUAAUUUUCAUUGUACUGGUUUUGGACAAUCCACAUAAAACUUAGCACACACGAAAUCCCCAUUUAUUUCGAUGUCUUUUUAUAACAAUUGAGUCACCCCCAUACUAUUCUAGAAUUGGUUUAAGAAUGUACAAUUUAGUGGUUAUUUGCAUUUAACAUUUACGGUCCACUAAUUUCAACUUAUUCAAAUUUUGAAUCAAAUUACAUAAGUUUUGUACGCAAAAAUAUCAAGUUUUCCACGAACAAGUAUAAAUCAACUCCAACAUGCAACUUUUUCACAAUCUAUAAUCUAGCACAUGGUUCCAAAUAUAUGCAUCAUAGUAGGCAAGUUUAUCUAAUCAAGCAAGCACACAAUUGCAAUAAUAAAGUUGAAAAUAAUUUUUUUUUGAAUUUUUGCAUUUUUUUGCAUCGAAGAAGUACACAAAAAAAGUAGAAAGAGAAAAACUCGAUAGCUUUCACCCCCCAAACUUAUAACAGACAUUGUCCUCAAUGUGUAAAAGUAUAAUACAAAAUAUAUAAAAAUUAAGAGUAAAGAAAGAAACUAAAUACUCCCCUGACAUAAAUCUAUAGGUGGUGACUGUAUUGAUAUAAAAGUGCUGCAUCACUUGCUUGGUAUUUUUUCUUUUCUAUUGUGUUCAAGUAUCAUGUUCCUUCAAAAUAAAAAUAAAAAUCAAUCAUAAUGUGGAACAACUGACAAUAAGCUCUAACACAUUCUAAAGGAAAAUAUGAGAAUGAAAAUACUCAAUAUUACUAAAAGAAAUAAAAACCAUUAAUCCUAUAUUCUAGAAAGCGAGAUAAAUAAAAAGGAAAAAAAAUUGGAUUGCUGACUUUAGCAAUCUGCAUUAUUGAAUUUUGAAUAAAGCUCUUGAUGCCUUGCUCAAUUUUCUUUUUCUGACUUUGCUUAACUUUUUGUUUAUUUUCCAAAUCUUAACAGUGCUUCCUUCAAUGUGAUAAGACUUGCAUUUCGUUUUUCAUUCUCUCUAUGUUCUUCUUCAAUAAUUGACAACUUCUCGAGUUGAAUGGUUAGUUCACAUUCCAAAUACAUUGAGAAUGACAAUUCUUUCCUUUCAACCUCUUCGAGUAGAUUAUAUUCCCACAUUUUAAAUUCUGAUAUACCAUCUCCAACACGCAUUUUGUUUUCAUCCAACUUGACUAGUUCAUUUUUGCAAUUGCCUUCCAAGGAAUUGUUGGGAAUCUACUUAUACAUGCAUAGCGGAAAAUUAAAAAAAUAUUUCGAUUCCCACCGAGGAUCCCUUUGUAUUUAUAUAGAAAUCGUGAUAAAGAUUGUACCUUUGAAGAAUUCUGCAAACCUUUUACUGUUGUUUUUCUUCCUGUAAUAUUGAUUCGCCAUCCACAACUGUUUAAUUGUCCAGCCUCCAACGGUGAUCCACACAGAGAAUAAGAUUGCAGCUACCAAGAUUUUCUCCUCUUGUGCUGGCAAGAAUAAUUAUGAAAAAUCAUAUGAAUUGAAAACCAUAGCCAUGUAUUUAUAUAAGUCCAAACGGGCCUGGCCCGGUCCGAUCCAAUAUUUAAUUAAUCCAUUUAAUUAAAUCCGAUUCGUGAAUUAAUUAAUCCAAUUAAUUAAUUCGGGCCUAUAAAUAACCAAACCAAUUAAUUAAUUUGUCCAACGAUUGUUAAAUUAAUUAAUUGACAAAUUGCAAUCUUCCAAUUAUCUUUUGUGUGCGACCCAUCAGGUUCCCGAUCACGAUGCCUAACGACGUGAAAUAUUAUUUUGAUCUAAUCAAAAUUGAUAAAUUAAAACACUCUUUUAAUUUAUCAUCAAUUUACACUCGCCAUCCCAUAUUGAUAUCUAGCAAUGUGUCAGGACAAUACAUGUGACGGGAUAUGUCAUGUGGUAUGACAAAACCAAACUCGUUCGUUUACCGUGAAACUAUAAUCCCUUCGUCAAUAUGAAUCGAUCAAUUACGAGAUAUGGAAGUGUGUCAAUCUCGAUUAUCGAUCAUAUCUUUUACUCCACUAUUAAGUCAAUAUAAGUCGAAAACUUCUUUUCGACUUAUGAGUACACAUUGGCCAAAAAUUUCAUCAUCGACUUAAUUGAAUGAAACGCAGAUCAUAAUCUCCUACUAUCUAAGAGUGAUGAAUCCUUUAUUGAUCAAUCACAACCUUCAUACGAUUCUUGACGUACCUGAACGAUGUCGUAUUAGCGACCCUUUGCAGAGCAAUAUCCAAUACCGCCAAAGUAUGACUGUCCUCAUAUAAGGUACCAUGACGACCUCAAGGCAAAGGACCAAUUCCACUAUCGGACGUUAGAGAUUAACUACUGACACUCAGGGAGUUAUCCAUGGGGUAUCUUUUGGCGGGUCUCCAAUGUUUUGUUCUAUAACAAAACAUCCACGUAUUCAUUUAAGUAUCACCACACUUUAACUUGUGAAAUCAACUACUUACCUUAUAAGUAAAAAAAAGCCACACGUGACGGUCUAUCCAUAAUAAUGAUAUCCGUAUCUCGUUAUUACUAACGACCAUAGACGAUUUAAGAUUCAAUCAGAUGUAAUUUGUAUCUCAAAAUCGCAACUCCUUAUGAUUAACAAAUUAUAAAAAUUUGAAUAUACGGACUCUAUUAUUUAUUUAAUUGUCUUUUAAUUAAAUAAUAGAUCUACUAUUAAAUUGCAUUAAUUACAUAUCAAAAGUAUUUAUGUCCAAAGUUGAUUGGACUUAGAGCAUAAUACUUACAAACUCCCACUUCAACUAAAUCCAAUCACUUAUGUAUCCAAUAUUAUAAGUUUACAUAACGAUCAUGUUUAUGCUACGACAACUCUUUGUCAGUGAAUCUGCAAUAUUGUUAAAUGUGGAAAUUUGUUCUUCUUUUUAUGUCAUUUCUAUGUAUUAUCUCUCUGAUGAGAUUAUUCCGCCUUAAUACAUGUUUGGAUCAUUUAUGAGACCUUAGUUUCUUCGCUUUCGCAAUGGCUCUAUUGUUAUCACAAUACAAUGGCAUGUGAUCAACAAUAUCAAGAACUACUCCAAGUUCAUCUAUGAAUAUCAUGAUCCAUAUUGCAACUCUUUGCUACUUCUGAAAUAAUCAUGUAUUAGGUUUCUACUAUUGAAUCAACGGUUGCUUCAUGUUUGGAACCUUUCCAACAUACCGCUUAAGAGUAAACCAGUUUCUUCAUAUGAAAUCUUCUCAAGAUUUCAUCUAUGUAAAUUGGGAUGAAUUAAGCAAUCUUUUAAAUCUACCUCUAUAUAUCAAGUUGAUUCUCCCAUAUCGUUCAUGAAUAAAUCCUUUAACAAUCAUUUUUUAUACGAUUGAAAUAUAGGGAUGUCGUUUUCUAUAAUAUUAGCAAUACGACAAUGCUCUCACUAUCUUCUUGUAAACACACAAUUCGUCUUCAAAUUUGAUAAAAUUAAACACUUUGACUUUUUCAUCAAAUCGAAGAUUUCAACUCCAAGAGACUUCUCUUAACCUAUAGUCACGGUAUGCAACUAUUGCAAGCAAAACCCGAAUGGACUUAAGCAAGACCACAGGAGAGAGGUUUCACAAAGGUCAACACUUAACUUUCCUUCUAGCCUUGCUUUAUAUAUAUGGAUAUUCCCAUCCGUAUCGACCUUUCCCUUGUAAACUAUUUACAAAACCUUAUAGGUUUUAUUCCAUCAGGAGGCUCGACCAAGGUCUAAACCUUGUUCACAUACGUCGAGUUCAUCUCGAGUAUCAUGGCCUCUUGCUGUCUCUUUUAAGUCAACACUUGACUUUAUUUUGGUGCAAUUAGUAGGUUCAUCAUCCUGGAUCAGUAAUACCUGAUUAGUAAUCACGAAUUCGCACCUUUUUGAAGGUUAAAUGAUCCUACUAGACUCACAUAGAGCUGACAUGUCCUCAGGAGUCUCUACUCCGUGAUUAUGAGUAUAUCCCAUAUCAGAUAUGAUAUCAAAUUUGGAUUUAUCUACUUGGUUAACUAUAUCUGUGGACUCUUGAACUCUUUCAAAUUCUAUUUUGCUUCCACUGUCCUCCCCUAGAGUAAACAUUUUCUCUAAGUAGACGAUAUUUCGUGAGACGAAAACUUUCUUCAUGAUAAUAGAAUUUAUAUUCAAAUGUCUGCUUUGAAUAUCCCAAAAAAUACGUAUUUAUCAGCUUUAGUAUCAAAUUUAUCCGAUUCAAGACGCUUCAAAUAAGUGUUAUGACCCAAAACUUCCAUAUAAGACAAAUUGGGACUAUUGCCUUUCCUUAACUCGUAUGGAGUUCUGUUAACCAAUUUAGAUCGGACAUGGUUUAGUGUGUUGCACAUUGCAUCAAUGCAGGACCCCAAAACAAUUUUGGGAGAUUUGCAUGGCUUAUUAUUAAUCGCAUUAUAUCUAAUAGUUAACGAUUUCUCAUUUUAGAUACACCACCAUGCUGUAGUGUAUGUGAAGGAGUCCACUGCAAGAGAAUCUCAUUCUCUCUUAGAUAAUCUAGAUUUUAUCUUUAAGAUACUUUCACUUGAUCGAAUCUUAAUGUGGGGAUAUCUUUACCUAUUUGUUUCUCUACUUCUAGUUUGAAUCCCUUGAACUUUUCAAGAAUUUCAUGUUUGAGUUUUCAUCAAGUAUACAUGAUCAUUGAUGAAAUAAGAUAAAUAUUACCUGACAUCAAUUGACAUGAGUCCAUAUACAUCACUAUGCAUUAGACCAGUAAUUAUGCCGACGUUUCUUCUUUUCAAGUAAAAGAAGAUUUGGUCAUUGUGCUAGACAUGCAUAAUUUAUACUUGUCAAAAUCAAUUAAUCCCGAGUAUACAUCUUUAUGUAACUUUGGAAUUGCAUUUCAUCUAUAUGACAAAGUCUGUCAUGUCAGAUUUAGGUAAUAAUUAGAUUAUCGCAUUUAUGCCUUAUAAUUUCUAUACUCAUUAUAGAAUCCUUAGUAUUAAAGAAUAUAAACAUCGUUUUGUAAUUUACCAUAGCCAUUAGGAUCUUUAUCAAGAUAAAUAAGAACAACAAUUGUCCUUAAAAUUAAAAUAGUUCAUGUUCGAACAUGAAAUUCAUUUUAAUGUUCCAGCUAUGGUGGGUAUAAAGCGAUAUUUCUCUAAUUCCAAUACUAAAUAAAAAGGCAAUGGCAAGAAGUAUAUUCCUACAGGCAAUCCAACAAACUUUGCACAUCUCCAAAGUGUAGGUUAACUUCUCCCUUUCGCAGUGGUCUACUUCUAUUUAGUUUCUCCAUAUUUGUAUAAAUAUGAUAUUUACAUCUGGUAUCAGAUACCUAAGAAACUCGUGAAGUAGACAUAAGCCACACAAUAUUCCUUUCAAUGACCUUUCAUUCUAUAAUGAAAUCAAGGGUCAUUAGAUUUGGUAUUGUCCUUCGCUUAGACUGUCUUAACCAUAUUGGGUGCUUUCCCAAAGUCCCUUUAGACUUCAUCUUAAUACCCUUAGAGGAAUCAAUGGUUUGCCCACUACCAACUUUAAUAAAGGGCUUAACAGUUCUAAGCAUGUUAAGCAACUUAGUGAGUAUGUAUUCGAGCUUAUUCAUAUCAUAAUUCAUAAUUAGUAUGAAUAACUCUAUGACUGAGAUUGCAGAGCUAAGUCAAUACUUAGUUCAUAGUUAAUGAUUGAACUCAGUCGAGACACUUCUCAUGUCAAUCAUCUUCAGUACCUUACUACUGACUAAAGAUCGUUCUGUCAUUUUGCGUCGGUAUAGUUGUUCAGAAGUCUCAUAUCCUUCCACACAUGAUUAUUAUCAUACAACUCUUUGAAAUGAAAAAUCAUGUGUUAGCAUGUUAGCAUCUACACUCUCAUGUUGUUUCUGUAACUCAGGUGACAUAGUUGCAAGUAUCACAUACGUUACAGUACUAUUGUCAUCAUUGAGUUUAUUACAGUAGCCACCUCUUUUUUAAUUGAGUUAGCAGCAGAUGUCUCUAGAAAGGGCUACUCAAGGACGUGACCAAUUUUCUCAUGCAUGAGAACAAUUCUCAAAUUGCUGUGUCAAUCAAGAAAAUCUAGUUUGGUUAUUGAUAUCUAGUAUGCCAUUCAAAUACAUAUGGUUACUCACGAUUUAAUAAGUAUAAAUGACGAAAAGAAAAAGAAUAAUAUAUAAAAUGCAUCAAUUAAUUUAACAUGAAUUUUUAUUAAAUUAAUUAUGCUUCCACUGUUGAACUAAAAUUUAUGACCCUCUUAUAUAAAUUUAUGGAGUCUAUACUUGACUCCCAGUGGGCUGAGAUCCCAUCUAUUAUAUUAAGACCUUGAGUGUAUUUAACAAGCCUUAAUAUAACAUUCAAGUGGAUACUAUCAUCAAUUGUAUCUCCAUACAAUGCCCGGAUCAUUAAGCUGACAACUCUUUGUUUUCACACAUCUUAUGUGUUAGCUUAAUAUACCUCUAAAAUUUAUCUCAUUGAGUAUACUCAACAAAAGAUAAAUUUUAAUUAAGUCAAACUCGUCAUUUAGAAAUAUCAAAUAUUUCAUAGUGUUAAACAUAUCCCUAAUGGACCAGCCUUGAGUGUACUCAACAAGUUGAGACGAUUUGGGACUCUGGUUUUUCACUAUAAUGAUGGAAGACGAUGAUAAAUGUGACUUAAUAUUUUAUGGAGGGAUUUUGCAUUGAAAGGUCUCAUCGUAUACAUCUACCAUGCAAAUAAAUAUAUAUAACAUAAUAUAAUAGUGUGGACGAUUAUGAAUUUUACUAUCUAGUCUUCCCGAGCCAUAAGGAAGACUAGUUGGUCAAUUCUUAGGGGGUAUUACAUUGAUUAGUAUCAAUGUACCAUCUCCAUGGUCUCCUCUUCUUCUUGUUUCUUCAAUUAGUCUAGCUGCAACUUGUAUCCUAUACUAGUUGACACGUAGGUCAAAAUGAAAUUGGACUCCUAGGCCCAUAGCAACAAUAAUAAUAACGGACUCACAGGUUCAAAAUGAUAACAAUAAUAACGAGCUCACAGGCCCAAAACAAUUAAGAGUUUGCAGGCCUACAAAACGACAAGAAUAAAAAUUAAUCAUUCAAUACAUCCAUAUGGUCGAGUCCAUAAUCGUCCACUGAUAAUGCAUUCAUCACAUAAAUGUAUGUAUAUAUAAUAUCUAAUAUUAUAUCCUAACAUGUUUCAAAUUUCUAGCAAUUAAUUCGUCUAAACUCUUUUAGACUUAUGGAUCGGAACAAUUAAAUAAUUAAUUAAUCAUAUCAAUCAAUUAUUUAAUUAGCGGGCAUAUUUAAUUUAAAUCAAAUUUUAAUUAAAUACCAAAUUAGAGUCCAGCUCUAAUUCAACAAUUAUAGGGCGGGAUAAUUUAAUUAAAAUCAAAUCUUAAUUAAAUAUAAAUUACAGUCCAACUCUGACUGAAACAAAUUUUAGGGUGAAUUGAAUUAAUUAAAAUCAAAAUUUAAUUAAAUAGCAAAUUAGAGUCAAACUCUAAUUCCAAGAAGAAAUUUAGAGUGUGACAAUUUAAUUAAAAUCAAAUUUUAAUUAAAUGUCAAAUUAGAAUCCAAUUCUAACUUCAAUAACAUAUUUGGGUAAAUAAUUAAUUAAAAUCAAAUUUUAAUUAAGUAUUAAAUUAGAGUCAAACGCUAAUUUAUAUUGAAUCAAUAUUUUAGUUUAGCAUGAUACUCCUAAAUAAAAUAAAAUUCAAUAUAGGGUCAAAUUUGAUAUUUAAGUUAAAAUCAUAUUUUAACGAAACUAUAAAAAUCGUCAAUUUUAAAUAAAAUUUUAAUUUGGGUCAAAAUAAAAAACAUGGGUCAAACCCAAUUAAAAACAUAAUUUUAAAACCCAUUUAAAAUUUAAAUUCAAAACCCAUUUUAAAGUUUGCAAAUUGACCCAAGUUUAAAAUUAAAAGGUGGUCCUUCAAUUAACUUAAUUGAGUGACAAGUCCUUCAAUUAAAAAUUGCAAAGUCACCCUUCUCAUUUAAUUGCAAGUGGCCCCUUUAAGUUUCAUAAAUUGCAGACCGGAUCCCCUUUUAAAAAUUGCAGUAUGACCCUUCAGCUUUAAUUGCAACCAGGGGCUUACAAUUUCAUAAAUUGCAUGUGAAGCCUGCCUCCAAUCUCCCAAAACCGACUGUAAACCCUAGAUUUAAAAAAAAAAUAAAAAUCCUUUCUUCUUUCUUCUUGGCGGCGUCGGUCAUACCUCCGCGCAGUACCAGGUAGCUGCGCUGCUCGGCAUCCAACGCCGCCGGCAGUUUUGCUCGAUUUUCAGAUUCCUUUCUUUUUUUUUUUAAUUUAUGAAAAUUUAAUUUUUAUCUCAAAACAAAUUUUGAAUAUGAUAAUAAAUUUUCUUAAUUGCUAGAAACUAAAACAUGUAUAACAAUCAACUUUUGAUUGCUCAAAAUGUUAAACAAUUUCUAACAAACACAAAGUAGGCUCUGAUACCACUGUUGGGAAUCUACUUAUAUAUGAACAGCGAAAAAUUAAAAAAUAUUUCGAUUCCCACCGAGGAUCCCUUUGUGUUUAGAUAUAAAUUGUGAUAAAGAUUGUACCUUUGAAGAAUUUUGCAAAUCUUUUACUUUUCUUUUUCUUCCUGCAAUAUUGAUUCGCCAUUCACAGUUGUUAAAUUGUCCAGCCUCCAACGGUGAUCCACACAGAGAAUAAGAUUGCAGCUACCAAAAUUUUUUCCUCUUGUGCUAGCAAGAAUAAUUAUGAAAAACCAUAUGAAUUGAAAACCCCAUCCAUGUAUUUAUAUAAGUCCAAACGGGCCUGGUCCAAUCCGGUCCAAUAUUUAAUUAAUUCAUUUAAUUAAAUUCGAUCCGUGAAUUAAUUAAUCCAAUUAAUUAAUUCGGACCUAUAAAUAACCAAACCAAUUAAUUAAUUUAUCCAACAAUUUUUAAAUUAAUUAAUUGACAAAUUGUAAUCUUCCAAUUCUUUUUUGAGUGCGACCCAUCAGGUUCCCGAUUACGAUGCCUAACGAUGUGAAAUAUUAUUUUGAUCUAAUCAAAAUUGAUAAAUUAAAACACCCUUUUAAUUUAUCAUCAAUUCACACUCGCCGUCCCAGAUUGACAUCUAGCAAUGUGUCAGGGCAAUAUAUGUGACGGAAAUGUCAUAUGGUAUGACAAAACUAAACUCGUUCGUUUACCGUGAAACUAUAAUCCCUUCGCCAAUAUGAUCCGAUCAAUUACGAGAUAUGGAAGUGUGUUAAUCUCGAUUAUUGAUCAUAUCUUUUGCUCCACUAUUAAGUUAAUAUAAGUCGAAAACUUCUUUUCGACUUAUAAGUACACCGUGGCCAAGGAUUUCAUCAUCGACAUAAUUGGAUGAAACACAGAUCAUAAUCUCCUACUAUCUAAGAGUGACGAAUCCUUUAUUGAUCAAUCACAAUCUUCAUACGAUUAUUGACUUACUCGAACGAUAUCGUAUUAGCGGCCCUUUGCAGAGCAACAUCCAGCACCGUCAAAGUAUGACUAUCCUCAUAUAAGGUACCAUGACGACCUCAAGUCAAAGGACCAAUUCCACUACCGAACGUUAGAGAUUAACUACUGACACUUAGAUAGUUAUCCAUGUGGAAUCUCUUGGCGGGUCUCCAAUAUUUUGUUCUAUAACAAAACAUCCACGUGUUCAUUUAAGUGUCACCACACUUUAACUUGUGAGAUCAGCUACUUAUUUCAUAAGUAAGAAAUGUCACACGUGAUGGUCAAUCCGUAAUAACGAUAUCCGUAUCUCGUUAUUAAUUACGACCACAGACGAUUUAAGAUUCAAUCAGAUGUAAUUUGUAUCUCAAAAUCACAACUCCUUGUGAUUAACAAAUUAUGAAGAUUUGAAUAUACGGACUCUAUUAUUUAUUUAAUUAUCUUUUAAUUAAAUAAUAGAUCUGUCAUUAAAUUGCAUUAAUUACAUAUCAAAAGUAUUUAUAUCCAAAGUUGAUUGGACCUAGUGCAUAAUACUUAUAGGAAUGACCAACUUCAACAAGCAUGUCUAUAUAUACAUACUCGCCCAUACAAGCAUGUAGCUUUCAUUAGAUUAGUCAAUUGCUUAUAUUCGAUAUUUUAAAUAUUGUUGAAAUCGUAGAAACUUAACCUUAGAAAGUCAGUGCAUGUAUACAAGAAAUACCCAAUAUAAUGCAACCCAUAACAAAAUUCAAAAUAUAUAUCUUCUACAAGCAUAUCGUCCUUGUUCAUGUCAGGAUUAUUUAUUGCAAAAAUAUUACUCUUUUACCAACAUUCGAAUUCUCCAUAUACUGCAGAAUAGUACCUAAAAGAUUACAAAACACUAGAGAAAUGAGGGUGGGUAGCCAAAAUUAACUAAACAAAAUAAAUAAAAAUAAAAAUAAAAAAUUUUGAAUCCUAUGUAAUUAAUAAGGUUAAAUUAAAUAUUUUUUCCCCCGCAACAGUGUCAAAAACUUGUUCGAUAAAAUUUCGCCAGUGUACUUGAUCGUUGAUAAAUAAAAUUUUUAAUAAGUUAAGAGUAUCGUUCCAUAGGAAAUAAUUUUCAAUUAACGUACACAAGUUUUGUAUGAAAUUCGAAUUAUGUAAGCUAAAGAGAUAUUUAGAUUUAGUUUUAUGUUAAAUCACAUAAGAAAGCGGCAAAAAGUAUUUUUGUAUCAAAUUAUAGUUGAUCGUAUUGGUUUCCAAAUCCAACUAUUUCUAUCUAUUUCAUUUCUUGUUUGUAUUGUAGUUCUGUUCAUGCAUUCUUGAGAAAUUGAUGAAGUUAUGAUAUAUUAUCUUCCUUUUCAAGACAAAUUAAAUUUAUCUUAAUCACGACUCAAAUUUAUUAAUAAUCAGAAUUUCGAAUGAUUAGAAUGCAUUGAAUUUUAGAUUAUCCAUAUGAUUGUAUACAUAACAAACGUUAUUCUUAACAUCUAUUACAUAUAUGCUGAUUUUGUUGCGUUCUAAACUUAUUGUUUCCAACAGUAUAACAAGAAACUAAUUAUUUAGUUGAUGGCCAAACAAUUAAAUCAUGCAUGAAUAUGCAAAAAUAAAAAAAUUAAAAAUUAAAAAAAUCAAGAAACAUAAGAACUAUAAGCUACUAGUCUUGAAUUAACAUAAAUAGAGUUCAUCUUCAUCAAAUACAAAAAUAGAUUUAUUCUCACAUAUUAAUAUAUAAAUUACAAAAAAAAUAAUGAAAAAUAUCAUCCGAAUCAUGAAAGAAUAUAUGAAAUCUUGUUCUUCGAUUCCAAGGUUGAAAUGUUCAAAAUCUUCAUGUAAUUUGUUUCAAUUCCUUGCGAGUGCUUGAUUUUCUUUCUCAAAAGUUUCAAGAAAUCGUCCUAGAUCGUUACCAACAAGAGGAUAAAUCAAAAGGAAACUGGCUCGUCAGUAGAGAAUUUGGCCUGGGGACGCAUGUAGGUAUUCCUACCACGUGUGCAAGCAUGCUGAAUUGCUUUUGGGUCAAGAAUAGGUGGUCCGCGUGCACUUGCUUGAAUUGCCCUCACUUGCACUGGUUCACUUCGCUUCGUUUAUGAGCAGCAUCUGGUAUUUUGGUUAUAACUUUUUUCUUCUAAUAUCUGAUUUAGGUAAUUCAAAGUGUGUUUAAAAGAUAACUCACAGUGCUACAAUUAUUUUGGAAAUAUAAAUUUUUUUCUUUUGUUUUAUUUUUAACUUAACAAAUGUAAUUAUUUAAUGUGAUAAAUAGAAAGUUACUCUUUUACCCCUUUCCAAAAUAAUAAAAAUGUGGUCAAAGUUAAAUGUUUCGUCAACUAACAGAAUUGCGGAUGGAAACCAUCCAAAAGGGCUUCCGCUACAACGUUACGAUGGGUUUGGAUGACGGUUGCAACAAAUCAAAGGUUUGGAGAAAGUCUGCAAAUAUUUUAAAGGUUUGGGAUGGCUGCUGCAAUUAUCCGUAAAAUAUAUUGCACGUAAACCCAAAAUUUUUCGUUCUUUUUUAACUAUGCAUUCUUCAAAAAAUCACUAUUCAAAAAUGUAUUUUUUUCCCCGAAAACCUGUUAAAAUGGAGCUUAAACAAGGGCUAAAAUUAUAUGUAGUGUUCUAAAAAUGAGUUCAAAGAUGUACAGAAUAUGAGUUUGAGCCAAAAUUAAGUUUUUGAAAUUUUUUUUUUACAUUUCUUGCCUAUGUUAUCACUAGGGGUUGCGAUCACACAAGUUCGUAUAUUUAUUUGCUGUAAAUCAAGUUUUGAUGCUUGUAAUCACUCACCGUUUUGGCCCUUGAGAUCAUUCUUUCAUUGUCCUACAUUGUGGUCCUCGAAUUUUAUUCUCUGUUCGGCCCAAGUUUUCCUAUUAUUACAUGAAAGGUCCUUCAACUUUCAACUUUGACACAAUAGUUCUCAAUUUCCAAAUUUUGUAUAACUUUGAUUCGUCUGAUCAAAACUAUCCCAUUUUUCAUCCGUUCACGUCUAAGUCAGAUUUUUCCUAAAUUAAUUAUUAAAUAAACAAAAUUGAGUAUUUUCUUCAAUAUAAGCACUGUUGACCUCAAUUUUUGUAUCUUCAACGUGGUCAACAGAUCCCAACGCCUCCCGUGUCCACGUAAGUUGAAUUUUUGCACACUAGGACAAACCGUUAGCCACAUGUGGCUUUCUUCGGUGGUGGUGGAAUUAGUGCAUGCACUCCAACGGUUAAGUCAGUUGAAGUCAUAAGUAUUUGAGCAUGAGAGGUGGUUUAGACGCGAGCCUCUUACGUAAAAAGAGGUUCGGCUUUAGGGGAAAGACAGUAACAAUAAGGAGAACAGGGUUAUAACUUGAGAGUCUAAACUUGUAUUAUUUUUAAGAUACCAUAUUAUGUAAGCUUUUAUAGUAGAAGUGUAUGGAUACUGACCAUAGGAUGAAAACAUAUGUGAUGACCUUCUUGUCAAAGGUAUCAAUCAUAUGCAUUUAAUGCUAAUAUCAUUUUAUUGUCCAAAAGUUUGACAUAAGACUUAGACUUGACCCGAGACUAAAUAUGGCAACGGUAGCAGUGACUUGCCUUAUCAAUCACUUACGAAGGAAAUCACUUACUAAGAUUGCAUAAACAUCUCUUACUUAACCCCUUACAGCCUAGCCCGCCAUGAGGGUUCUGUUCUCCAUAUGGGUUGAUUUCACAAAUGGGUUUAGCUUUCCAUAGAUGUUCAGCCAAAUUGCCUCUCGGGUUUAAUGAAGUGGAGUGUUGGCCCAAGUUCGCCUAUAGUGCAACUGUCACAUAGGAGUUUCUGGAUUCUCGUUGCAAGAGGAGUGACAAACACUCCCAAACGCUCAUUUUUAUUGGCUCAAAUAAUUAUAACACUUAUCAAGGCUCUUGAUUAAUAAGAUAAAUCCUGUUUGAUGGAGAUUAAAAUUAGAAUUUUAGUAGAAUUAAUAUAAAUUGACGAAAUGCGUGGUUAAAAAGUUGUGAGAUUCAUAAAGUAUGUGAUUGAAAUUAAUUGUUUACUUUGAAUUAGAUAAAAUUUAAUUUUUAAUUCCUACCAAACAUGUCUAAAUUUCCUCUAAUUUCACACAUGGGAUGAGAUACCAUCACCAUUCACCAACUAUGUUCAAGAGUCCCACACAGUCUUUCUUGGUUAUUACUCCUUAUAGAGGUCAAGUGUGUUGGGUCCUCGUGUUUUGACUUGUUGCAAGUUGCAAUUUCCCUUUCACAUAGGACUCUCACGGACUUUCCAUUUUCCUAUUGUCUUUCUUAGUCUACCCCACAGGCAGAAAUUUUCAACCAUGCGACAGUGACUGUCUAUAAGAAAUGUAAGGUUGUGUUUGAUUACAUUUAAUGGAAAGUAUCAGUUUUCUACCCAAAUUCCUAUUUGGGGUGUUUGAUUGCUAUUUUUUUUCGUGGAAAACAUUUUUCAACUUUUGAAAAUAUGUCUAAUUUUCCUUGUUUUUAAGGAAAAUAUUUUCUUUUGGUGGAGGUGGUUUUUGUUUUCCUCAAAAUAAAAAAAAUAUUUUUUUUUCUAAGUGAUAUUUUUCAUGUCAAUCAAACACUCUAAUGCUAUUUAGUACUAUUGACACAAGUACGAACUUAAAUGACAUAAGAGACAUUGAGUUAAUCAAAUGCAUAUGAAAAGAAGCUUUAAAGAAAGGAAUGUUAAUAGUAAAAAUAGAUCAUGGACUCCCAUUGAUUUUGUUUAUAGAUUCUCAACAAACAAAUGCCUCAAAUCAUGCUAUCGAAAGGAAAACAAUAUUGUUUUAUUUAUAAGAACACAACACAAAUCAAAAUAUAAAUUGGUUAAAAUUUAACGGAAAAAAGCACAACACAUCAUGUCUCUUUUGUCAUCAUACACUAAUUAUUCCACUAUAUUUUAGCUAUUAGAGUGUUAAAAAAAAAAAAAAAUCAGAUUAGAUAAACUUGUAUCCGUAAAAUCAAUAAGUACUUAUGAUUUUAAUCAAACAAACAUAAAGAAAAAGGAGAAUUCCUUUCCAAAAUAAAAAGAAACCAUAAAGGAGAAUUCCUUUUGUCUUUACUUCAUUUUCUAACUUGAUCAUUUUUAGAUGUCUUUCAUCGUAGAAUUCCAUCUUCUUUGACAUAUGCACCAACGGUCUCUCCAUUUAUUGGCCGACUCCAUCUAGAACUAUAUCUUUAGUUAGUCAACACAUCAUUUCCCUUCAUUUUCCUCUAGUACUCUUGUCACGGCAUCUUUAAUCAUAAUUGAGUCCCUCUUUGACAAAUAUGUUUUCAGAUAAGAUCUGGCCUUUGUUAGGGAUGACAACGGUUCGGUUUGGGGUCGGUUCGUUCAAAACUAUCACCAAACCACCAAUUUUUUGGUCAUACCAUAACCGCACAAUAACCACGAAAGCCGGUUCGGUUCGUAUCUCGGUUCGGCUCGAUUCGGGUCGUUAAUAACCACGAAAAUAAAUUAUUUUUAAUUGAUCCAUCCAUCGAAUUAAAAUGAAAACAAAAACAUGAUACUAAGUUAAUGUAGCAAACAACAUCCAAAAUGAAAAUGCAAAAAAUAUCAUAAUUCUCAAACACAAAAUCCAAAUUUAACAAACAAUAUUCAAUAACUCAAAAAGCUCCAACCUCAAUUCAUAUUCAAUCUUCAUUCUUCUCCACAACUCUUACUGGCAUCCGUCAAAACUCAAAGUUGAUUCCUAUAUAGUAUAUAAGAAAUGUAACUAGAGUAAUAAAUCAAUAAUCCAUAAUGUUCUUAACUAAAUAUUUAAACAAAAAAAUGUACCUCUUCGUCAAUAUCCUCGUCAUCAGACUUUGCACAGGCUCCAGAAUAUGAUGAAGGAGCAGAAUUUUCUACAGACAAAAGAGGAAAAAAUUAGCAAUAAAAGAAAGUGCAUAAAUAACAAACAUAAAACAAUAAAUCCUACCAUGAAUAUCAGACCAAAGCCAAUCUCGAGCAUACAUUAAAGCUUCUAAAGUCUUCGGGUGAAGCUUAUUUCUAUGUGGACUCACAAAUCUACCACUUGUACUAAAUGCUGACUCGGAUGCAACAGUAGAUACUGGAAUAGCUAAUAAAUCUCUUGCAACCUUCUGUAAAGUUGGAUAUUUUAUUGAGUUUGCUUUCCACCAUGUCAAUAGAUCAAAACCGUCCACCCUAGGCAAUACUGGUUCAUCUAGAAAAACAUCGAACUCUAUUUUUACAUGAUCAGCAGUAACAGAAAGACUAACAAAUGUAUCAAAACCAGCCAUGCGAAAAUGUUUUCCACUAGUAGUAGACGACUCUGAUUGUGAAGAUGAUGGAAACAAAGAUGUAUUUUCUGUCGAACGAUGUGAUCUCUUGUCCUCUUUGAGCAACUUAUGACCAAAUGCUCUAACCUUUUCAACCUCUUCCUGAGCUUUAUCUCCAAAAAUCAAAGGAAAAUAGUAUUCAACUAGUUUCAUCUUGUAUCUAGGAUCCAAUAUAGUUGCAACAGCUAGAAUUUCAUGCAUGCCACUCCAAUAUUUAUCAAACCUUUCCUUCAUGCUUGACGCCAUCCAUUUGACUUCAUCGCAAGAUGAUGUGCUCCAAUUACGGAUUGCCAACUUUAUGUCACAAAUAUUGGGAAAGUACAAAUUGGCAGUAGGAUAUUUUGUUCCUGAAAAUAAUUCAAUCGCUUCAUAAAAUAUCUCCAACUUAUCACAAAUCUUUGUAGCCAAUUCCCAAUCACUCUCACUCGGUACACUUCUGUAAUGAGGCUCUCUUUGCCUUAGUCGAGGAAAAAGUUCUUUGUAAAGCAAAGCAGUAUGAAUCAUUAGAUACGUAGAGUUCCAUCGAGUCUUGCAAUCUAAUACUAACUUUUUUCCACAAGGGAUUUUCAUUUGUCGUGCAACUGCCUCAAAUGUUUCAACUCUUUUUAGUGUUGCUGACCAAUAUGAAACACUAUCGCGAAUUCUCUCAACACUCGGGCUAAUGACAUCCAAACCAUCCUUUACUAUCAGGUUCAAUAUGUGUGCACAACACCGCAAGUGGAAAAAUUCACCAUUCAACAAUAAAGAACCAAGAGAAAGCUUAUCUAACAUAAUGUUAAUCAUAGCGUCAUUCGUGGUGCAAUUAUCAACAGUCAAUGUAGACAAUUUCUGAUCAAUAUUCCAAUCAAAUAGACAAUCCAUUAACACAGUAGACAGUGACUCAGCAGUGUGGGGACAAAGGACAUAUAUAAAUCUGUAUGGAUAUGAAAAAAAGUUCGUAAGAUAACUUAAAAUUUCAGAAAAUACGAUAGUAGCUUGAAGUCUAUUUUAUAAAACUAUUGUACCUCAAAAUUCGGCUCUGAAGCCUCCAAGAAUCAUCUCUGUAAUGUGCAGUGAUAGCCAUAAAUCUCUUCUUUUGAUUGGAUGUCCACAUAUCAGUGGUGACUGCUAUUCUACUAUUGGUCCUCUCUAACAAGCCCAUUACUUUUGUUCUCUCAUAAUCAUAAAUUUUCAAGAUAUCAGCCUUGAUGAUAUUACGAGAAACAACUUUAAAUAAUGGUUGAAUUGUAUUACAAAACUUUCUAAACCCAGUAUGCUCAACCAUUGAAAGAGGAUAUUUGUGUAGGAUGAUCAUAUUUGCAAGUUCCGUCCUACCUUUCUCUUGAUCAAAAUUAAAUGCUCCAAUUGCAAUCCUACCACCAGGUUCUUUAAAUUGAUUCAAAAAUAUCUUUUUGACAUCCUUCUGACCUCGAAGAGGACAUCUAUUUAAAUGAGCAUGUAAAUGACUUGUCCCAUUUUUGGACUCACCCCUUAACUGUUUGUUGCAUUGUCUGCAAAUUGCUUUGGACACAUUAUUAAUUCUCUGUAGCUUAAAAUGCUGCCACACUGAAGAGGUCAAUUUUCUUUUUCUAUUUUCCUCAAUCAUCUCCUCAUUAUCACCUAAAUCUAUAUGAAUAGGAUUUGCAUUUACCUCACUUGGACUUUGUGAAGUAAUUGGUGUACUUGUUGAUGUAUCUCCAACUUGAAUUGAAGCAGAAGCACUUCCAAUUGAAGCGGGGAGAGUAGGAACGGAAGAUUCUGACCCCUGGCAAGACAUCUAAUUUCAAAAAAAAAAAAAAAAAACCAACAAACUCAAAAACUUAGGCAUUCAUUAAUUUCAUUAGGUGAAAAAUUUACAAAAGUGGAAUGCUAAACGAUAGAGAAAUAACUUACUCCAAUUUACAAUAAAACUUAUCAUUCAAGGAAAUUUACAAUAAAACUUACUCCAACUCAAACAGAAAUAACUAAAGUGGAAUGAUAAACGAUAGAGAAAUAAAAAAAGAUGUAGUUUAUUUGUUGCACGAGAAAUAAAAAAAGAUGUAGUUUAUUUGUUGCACCCCACUUUAGGGAUAUGAUGGAGUAUAAAUUAUCAUUAGUUGAUUACUAAGGAAUUGUCAAUAACCUCCUAAUACAUGGUCUCCUGACCUUUAUAACCAAUAUGAAUAAUCUUAAAAACUUGUGUCCAAACAACGUCAAGGACGAGAAAUCAUGUACUCUCUCCAUUGUUUGUUCCGGUGCUGAAGAACUAUAAUAGAUUUUUUGCCAUGCCCACAGUAGGCAAGGUCGAUUACUAUGGCAAUAUGCCACGGCCAAAGACUAUUUAUCAGGGCUACUGACCCUUGGCCAUGGGUUACGACUGUGCUAAACCGGUUUAAAUUUAAUGCCCAAGUUACAGAAAUUCUUCUCAGAAUCAGCAGAAGUACAGAGAGAAUCUAAGUUAGACGGGCCGAGCAUGAACAUAACCAGCAGCAGCUUGUGAUUAUAGCAGUAAUUUAUAUUAACUACUUAGAAAACAAAGCCUGACUUCUUUCAAUCAUUUCAUCAAACACUUUCUUUGCAAAACCCAUUUUCCCCAAUGUCCCAUAAUACUAAUGCAGUGAAUUAAAUCCACACUUCAACAUGGGCGUGCACUUCGGUUCCUUCAAAUACAGAAAAACUCAAGCCACAACACCAACAUUUCGCAAGAGUAUUUCACUAUUUUUCUCGUGUGAAGCAACUUGCAAUUAGCCAAUCACAUACAAGAUGAUUCAGUUACAACUCACUUGGCACCAUAUUCAGUCUGAACACAAAUGAAUGUGGAACAGAGAACAAGAAACGAAGCUUUUUAAAUUUUGGUCUUACAAAACAGCGAAAGCAGAAGAAGAUGAUUCAGUAUUUCAGUUAUCUCAAAUAGUGGUAGGACUGUAGGAGCAGUGAAGCUCGUGGCUGUGUGCGUUUUCGUAGUAGGGUGAACCGGUGAUGUCGUGAAGAUAACUAGCUGGAGGCAAUAAAGCGUCAGGCGUGGAGCUGUGGUUGCCGGCUGCGUGAGUUCGUGGUCUGUGUCUGUGAGUGUGAUUUCACUGAUUUGUGAAGUAAAGAGUAGGGUUUACGUCUCAUGACUCAUAUACUCAAUUUUAUUAUUCUAUAUUUCUAUAAUUUCUAUUAGUAUAAUAGUAUAAUACUAUGGGUUAUGGUAACUGGGCUGUGGGCAGUUGGGCUGGACGACUGGGUAUACUAAAUGUAUUGGGCAGAAUUUUAUUUUGGGCAGGAUAAAAAUAGUGGAAAGUCCAAUAACCAAUUGCUCAAUUAUUAUUAUUAUUUUUUUUUUUACGGGUAAUCGGUUCGAUUUCGGGACAAGGGCGCAAAUACCAUACCCGCCCCGCCCCAUAGCGGUUCAGCAAUAUCAAAUACCAUACAUGCUCUAUUGCACCAUCAGUUCGGUUUUUUUCGCCCCAUUCGGUUCGGUUAACCACGGUUUUCGGUUUUGACAGUUCGAAUUGCCAUCCCUAGCCUUUGUCCUUGUGACAAGGUCAAUGAGGCCUGCACCUCAAGCCUAAAAUCGGAGGAGGCCUCAGUUUUCCCCCUUUUUUAAAUAUUAAAUGAAGUAAAAGGAAAAUCCAUUUUUCAUUCCUUUUCCCUCCGACUCCGUUGUUUGCUCUACGGCCUCAAGCCUCCAACUCCAAUUGGACUGGUGGUGACCAUGCGACGGCCUCAUUUCCUUAUGCGGCUUCUUUUCUUCUUCUUUCGUUCCUUUCAUACUUUCACAAAUUACAAAAAACAACUAAACAAACCACAAAACAACUAAACAAAUCGACCCUUUUUUCAACCCAAACCACUCGAGUCGCCACCUCUAGGCUCCAGCCAGCAAUUGACUGCCAUGUAUGGAGCCACCAAGAGGGGGCUCGACCGGACGCUAGAGGCCCAACAAUGUAGUCUGUGCUCUACACCUGUGCGUGCAGAUGCAAUGUGGACGGACUUGUGCAAAAUCACAAAUUGAAUUUGUGAAAUUGUGAGUUGUACAAUUUGCAAAUUGAAUUUGUAAUCCGUUUUUUCCAAAAUUGUGAAUUGUACAAUUUCCUAUGGAUAUGAUCUUUUCUAUGGUUCGGUUUUUACAAUCUGAUUUUUGAAAAUAGUUAAAUUGGAUUUUUGAUUUUUGAUUUUGUAAGAUUUUUGAUGAAAUUGGAAUUUACAAUAGGAUUUUGAAUUUACGAUGAAUAGAUCAAUGUAAUAGAAUUGUAUAUUUGUAUUAGUGUUUGAUGUUAAAUUUUUAUUUUAGGCUGGUGAAUUGUGACAGUGGAAUUCUCAAGGGUAUGAUUUCAUAAUUUUCGUCUAAAUUCUACUUUUUAGUGAAGCAAUGACUUGCCUUAACUUGUUAUUGAAUAUAUUAAAAUUGUUUGAAUCCUUCUCGGCUUAUAUAAUUGCAGCUUGAUCGGUUUUUAUGAUUGGAUAUUGUAAGAUCAACAAUUGCACAGGCUUGUAGUAACUAUAUUAAAAAUUUUAAUUGUGAGAUGAUUGAGAUAUUUUGUAAUUGUUUUUUAAGUUAAUCAUUGAGCAUUAGAUAUAGAAUCAUACGCCAUACUUCCUCAAUAUAAGUCUGGUGCUCAAAAGAGAAAAAAAGGUAAUGAAAUGAAAUUGCAUUAACUCAAAGUCAAGCAGGGGAUAUUGACAAGUACUUUAAAAUAACAAUAUGAAUGUGUUGAAUAAGGAUGAAGUAGAAAUUCAACCUGCUCGUGUUAAUGAAAUAGAUGAUAAGAAUGAAGAAGUGAGUCGACUUGCCUAUGUUAAUAAAGUAGAUAAUAAGGAAGAAGUGAUGAAACCUAUCUGUGAUAAUGAAGUAAAUGAUAAGAAAGACGAGGGUUUCUUUUCUUUAGAUUGAAUGAUCCUAGGAAUUGUAAAAUCAUUGAUCAAAGAAUGAGGGAUUAUUUAGUUGAAAUGAGCCCAAAAAGAGUUGAUUCGUCUCAUUUCCCAAAGUUUUUACAAAUAGAUAUUUCAAUUCUUCAUAAGGUUGUACUUACAGAAAAACGUAUAAUUCCAAGAAAAAUGCAAUUUGAGAAAAGUGGGAGUGAUGAGGUAAAGCAAUCAGCAGAAGAAUCUUGUAGAAUAGAAUACUUUGCUUUUAUAAUUGAUCAAGCUCUAUCUUUUCUAUGGACUCGAUUUGAAUAAUUCAAACAAUAUGAGUCAGCAUUUAGAUUUUUGUUUAAUUUGAAGAGGUUAUAGGAUGCAACUUAUUCAAAUAUGUUGAGCUCUUGUAUGAUUUUUGAGAAAUAUCUGGAACAUAAUGGGCGUUCAAAUAUUGGUCGAGAUGAUUUAUGUCCGGAGAUGAUUUAACUAAUUGUUUGAAACAUUAUUGGUUUUGUUAUUUUAUAAUAUAAAUCUUUUGUAUAAUGUAUUUGUUUGUUAUUUUAAUGUUAAGUUUUAAGUUAGCAAUAUGUUGCAAAAUAUAUCGUUGAAUUUUAUAUUUACGUUGAUUUUGGGGGACCUAAUUUAUGGAGUUCGCCUUGAACCCCAACAAUCAUAGGACUGGCCCUGCUAUCAACAACACGAAAAUUGAAUUCUUAAAACAACUUUCCUGUACUUUUGUCUUUUUUUCAUUUUCUGAUGUGUCUUUAUAAAAGAACUUCCUCUUCUUUUGCAUACGCAUGAUCACCACCAAUGAUAAUAUGUCAACCGCCUCUCAAUUUCUUGGUGGUCCCAAAGGAGGUGGACCCUUCGUUUACCCGACUGGCCGACUCCAUCUAGAAAAUGAAGAGAUCGGUAGCCCUGUAAUUCCAUGGAAUUGCUUGCGUAUAUAUUUUAAAGAAACUCGUGUACAAGUUUUAGAGAUAGAAUGAAAAGAUAUGUCUAGAAUGAAAAGAUAUGUCCCCUUGACAACUUAGACAUACAUAUAUUCUAUUUAGUGCUUGUUUCAUAAAGGUUUGCCCAAAUUUUAUCAACUUUUAUUUAUGUUCAAUUUCAAUUUUAAUAUAUUUCACGAGAUCCACAACUUUGAUAAACUUCAUAAACACACUUUUCAAGUUUUAUCCAACAUGGGACUCUUUAAUUAGUCAACACAUCAUUUCUCUUCAUUUUCCUCGAGUUCUUUCGUCUCGGCAACUUCAAUUAAAAUUGAGUCUUGAUUUUACACAAUUUUUUUUUUUACAUUAUAAGAUGAUCAAAUUUUAUUUUUAAUUACAUAAUUCAUUGGAGUCAUUUUUAUCCAAACUUUUGAUCAACUUUUCUCAAAAUUGGCUAAAACUUGAAAAGUGUGUUUAUAAAGUUGAUAAAAUUUGAGCAAAUCUUUACGAAACAAACACUAAAUAGAAUAUAUGUAUGUCUUAAGUUGUCAAGGGGACAUAUCUUUUCAUUCUGUCUCCUAAAUUUGUGCACGAGUUUAUUUAAAUUAUAUACGCAAGCAAUUUUCAAGAAAUUUCAGGGCUACCGAUCUUUCACAUUAAAUUGUCUUCGGACAAAUAUUCAUCUCUCGUCUAUAUAUACCGAAACAUUUAGCUUUUCAUUUAAACUAUCUAUUUCUUUCUCAAACACUGAGAGUGACGAAGGAGUUGAUAAUCCCCCAUAGGUAUGGAGCAGAAUGGGAUGGAUGAGUUUAUCAGUUUUGACUACCCCAACACUACAUUUUCUGAGAGUAGCAGCAAAUUCAAAACAUACCCUUUUGUUACUCCGGUUCGAUCAGGAGCCGUCAAACGCAGAAUCUGUACAGGCAUCUUCUGCAAAUUAAUAAGUUUCUUGAAAAUCACGUUUCCCUGCAUGUUUUCGGGAUCAUGAAAACAUGCAUGCAUAUCAGCAAGCAUAUGAAAUAAUAAUCUAUUUCUUUGAUUUUCUGCAAGUAAUUGAUCAGUUCAGUUUCGAUAUGGUUACUUCUUGUUGGAGGCUUUGUUUUUGUUGAUAUUUUGCAUGUAGUCCGCUGGCAGUUUCAGUUUUUAAAAUGUAAAUACUUCUUUCUCUCUUUUUUCUUUCUUUGGGCAUACUACCAUCUACUAGUUUGAUUCUUUCUUCAAUUUUCAGAUAUAGAAAUUUGUCACUGCACUAGGCUAAGCUAAGCCAGCUUGGUCCUCAGACACACGAGCUGCUAGGGUAGAGUUGAACUCGAUUCGUGUGCACAAUCAAGACUUGGUUUGGCCCUUUCGCCGAUCGUGGGUCUCAUAGGCCGAGUUGAGCCAUCCACGAACCAUGACCCAUCAAAUGGAGAACAAGAAACGAAUAUCGUAAAUGUUUAUCGAAAGGUCAAAACUCAACUGGUUAUCACUAAAAUUAUGUAUUUGUUUACAAGUAAUGAUUUUGUUGAUGUAUCUAAAGAUGAAGCCUUAUGUGUAAAUGAUACUGAUAAAUGCCAAAAAAAAAAAAAAAAAAAAAAAAAAAAAAAAAUUGAUGAAAAGAAAAUCAACCAAAAUUGAAUAAAUUGUCUAAGCACCGGGUUUAAUUUGAGGAGGUGAAACGUGGAAAUAAAUUCACUAGAAACAAAAAUGCAUGUUGAUGAAGCUUUUCUUUAUCUUAGAACAUUUCUAAUGCAACAACGAAUUACUCAUAAAUUUUACAGCAUAAGCAAAAAAUAAGUAGUUUUUAAAAACAAUCUCUAAGAAGAAAAAAUUGUCUUCAUCGAUGUACGGGUACAGUUAGACAUGCUUCUCAGCAACUUAAUUAAUUCUGUUUCUAUUUUUAGAAUAUUAGAUUUUUUUCACUUCCUCUUUAUUUUAUUACCUUUUUCUUAAUUUAAUGAAAGACAUGUAGACGAAAAUUUAGAUGGAACACAUUGGAUACAAAUUUUAGACUUGAUCGCCUAUUCAUUAGACUCCAAUGCUGCGUUGGUUGAAAACUCGCCUAUUUAAAUGUCACAUAAAUUGCAAUCUUGAGAAUGCAUCAUCAUUUUGUGUUAAUUAGCACUUUCGAAAAGAGUUUGUAUGAUUCAUAUAUCAAAUACUAAAAUAUUAUCUAAUAAACUUGAUCUUAAUAGUCACCAUGUUAAUGUAGGAUGUCAACGAGUCGAGUCAAGUCGCGAGUUGAAACUUGAUGCUCGAGCUCGGUUCGGUUAAAAUUGUCUAGCUUUUUUUCAAGCCCGAGUCGGGCCAAGCAAAAGCUCGCUCAAAAUUUUUCGGCUUGGGCCAGCCCCUUUUUCUCUCUUUCUAUUUUUUUAUUUUUUAUUUAAACUGCUGCCUUUUUUAAGGUAGUGUUUGCUGCCUUGAAAUUUUACUGCCGCAAGGUCGUGUUUCUUUUUUUCUUUUUUUUUAAGUAAAAGGCUCGCAGGCUCAUGGGCUGGCUCGAGCAAAGCCCGUGUCCCAAAAUUUGGGCUCGGCCCGAGCCGAGCCAGCUAGGGCUUUUUGUGGGCUGAGCGACGGGCGACCCGAACCGACGAACUCGAUUGACAUCCCUAUGUUAAUAACAAGAAACUGUACAUUAAUGUCUUCAUAGGAUAGAAUUAUAAAGAACAGUUAUCACUUUGCAUCUUUACUUUUUGACUUGAUGAUAGAGGGAGUUCACGAAAGAACCCAAAGACGUUCGUAUCUAAUAUUCUCAUGUAUAUUUGUUGAUACAUAAAAAUUCAGCCUAAAUCGAACAGCCCAAGGAGUAAAGCUCAAUUGGAGGAUCCCCAAAUCAGAUAGCCCAAAGAACGAAAUCCAAUCAAACGAAUCAAGGUGAAGGCCCAAAUAAGGGGGCCCAAGAAUGUGGUAACGCCAUCGCCCAAAUUUGCAAGUCGCUCAGAAUCUGAACGAAUAGGGUGUCAUACGGUCGCCCAGAGCUGUUAUUCUAUUCUCGUCCAAACCUUCAAGUCGCCCAAGGUAUCAACAGACAUAACGCGUCGUGGUUAUUAAGAAAUGCAGUUACCAAGGCAGUUGUUAAAGCAGCCCUAUCACGUUCUACGACUCAAGGAAUUCAAUCAAAAAGCGGUUGAACGAUGAAAGGUAAUGGCAGCAGUUAAAAGGCAGUUUUCAUGACAAAAUGGCCACUACGAAGAAAGUGGGUAGUUAUAGGAUGAUCAAGCAGUUUUUAGAGCAGUUAAUCACAAAGAGAUAGUCUGUGAAGUAUAAAAGGGAAAAAGAACAUAGAAGCAAGGACCGAAUCCAAAACUCUCGAACAGAGAAUACGUAAUUUUCAUUUCCUUAGUUUUUAGACUUAAACACUUUUCUUUUAGUAACUCGUGUGCUUGCGCCCCUUGGAGGCACGUUGUUUUUCAUUUCCAAUUGUAAAGUUCAUCGCCAAUAAAAAAACACCCCUUUUUGGGACUUUGUCUCAAGAGGUUUUCGUCCCUUACACAAUCGUCUGAUCCUUUUUAAUUGUUAGCGACUUAACCCGCGCGAAACAAUUUGGCACGCCCAGUGGGACAGUGGUGUUAGGUGUUGAAAGUACAAAAGGUGAAACAAUAUGCCUCAGAGAUCCGACAAGGAAGGAGCAAGUCAGGGAGGAAUCCAGUCUGUAAUCGAGCGAUAUGAGAAGCAGCAUGCCUCUCCACGAACAGAUGGACAAAAUCAGAGCAGUAACAGUCGUUACGAACCAAUGACGGAGUUGAGUCCUCGAACCAUGCGUGCAUUGCUUGGAGAACUCACGCAAGACGUCGUUGAACAGGAUGCCAUUGAAUCAGGACGAAUUACGUUCGAUGAUAAGAAAAAGAUGGCAGUGGACGAGAAUCCAUUCCCACAGCCACUUGGGGUAAACAUGGUAACGUCUGGAUUCAAGAACAAGUUGCCAAAAUUCAAGUUGGUCAUAGACGAUAGAGAAGAGGAUACUAAAACACAUCCCAGUGUCUUCGAACGAAUCAAAGGGAAAGAACCAAAAAAGGACGAAAACGUCCUGUGUGCAAGGUGUAAAAGGGAAGUAAAUGGAAACACGGAGAAACCAGGGACAUGGCAGCAUCCUCAUCGCCCUGUUUUCUUCCCAAAUAUUCAGCCUGGUAGAGGGCAAGGUACAUCAUUCUAUAGAGGACCGCCUUUUGAAAGGCAGUUCAGACCAGCGGAUACUGGAAGAACAUUUAGGCCGCAACCUCGCCGGCCAAAUGUAUGGCAUUCAUUCCAGUAUAGUGCAGGAAGGGCAAUACCCUUCGAUGAGAUGACUAAGACCCAACAAAGGCAUUUCCACCGAAACUACGGACAGAUGAUGAGGCAGCAACAAGGAAUGCCAUAUCCUAAAGCGCCUCUACUACUCAAGGUAGCCAAUCAAAACGUCCUCAAAGGUAGUAAAGAGACUGGUACAGAUGAAUCAAUGAAGGAACUGCCAGAAACCUCUUCUGGGAGAUCAAGGUUUGAGAGGGACAAAAGGGAUGAAGAAGAUCCAGAUCAGCCCCUUGCUAUCCAAUUCGGUACGUUGCCUCCUGUCGUGGCCAAUAAUUACCUACUGACCAAUGAAUUCAAGAAUAAGGAAAAGGAAGAAGAGAGGGAGGACAACGAAGGAGAAGCCUGCGUGCUGGUAUGUGAAGAAGGCCAGACUUCUGGAGAGGCCUACAACGAUGAAGAGGACGAUGGGAUGACAGAUAUUGAAGAAGAAAUCGACCUAGAAGCAGAAAGGAAAAAGAGGGGAGUAUCGCGCAAUACUCUGUUUAAGCAACUACAUCAAGAGGGAGUUCGCGAAGUAGACUUGUUGGGGGAGCCAUCUGGGCGUCCUUUCGAUUUCUACGUACUAUACGGGACACCCAAAAGGAAGAAGAGAGUACCUCGCUCUGAAAAGUAUGGGUCACCUCCAAGGAUAAUGCCCCCUCCCACAGGUUGGAUAACUGAUGAGGAAGCAUUAGAAAAAAGUAAGAAGGAAGUUCAAGAAACAGAAGAUCAGCGUGACAUACUGCAUGUCGACUUAUCACAAGGAGAUAAUUCGACAGAAAACAAGCAAGAGGUAGAAAUAGAGGCUACCGAAAAGGUUAUUUUUAAAUGGCCAGCCAUGAAAUUAACAAAACACCUGAGGCCAUUAUACGUUAAAGCUCUAGUUAACGGCGUCCCAGUGGCAAAAGUGCUUGUCGACAAUGGAGCAGCUAUAAACACCAUUUCAUCUAGGAUGAUGAGGAAGUUCGCAAAGACGGAGGGUGAUAUGAUUCCUACAGAAGUCAUCCUCACUAGCUUCAAUGGAGGAGCAACUUCAGCUAAGGGAGUUAUGCCAUUAGACAUAACUAUAGGUACGACUACUAGGACCACUGUCUUCUUUGUAAUAGAUGGUCCUACUAGUUACAACGUGCUCCUAGGAAGAGAUUGGAUACAUGGAAGUCACUGUAUACCCUCGUCGCUCCAUUAAUGCCUGAUCUUUUGGAAUGACAAAGGUGAAGCAGAGGUGGUACAGGCCGACCAUAGGCCUUUUGUCGCGGAAGCAAACUCGGUGGAAAAAUUCAUGUACGAAGGAAACUAUGGACCUGUCAGAGUGGUACAAGACAGGGAAGAAACUCAGGUUGUCGCGCAAAGCGAAGAACCAUUCUCAGUGGACGCACUCACUGAGAUGUUCAAGCAGAUGAGGCCAAAUAUAGUGGCCCUGGAAGAGCCAGUGAUUGGCAAAAGAAUAAUCAAGGAAUCUUGAAUGGAUUCUGAGUUACAAAAGCAAAUGGCCGAUAUUCAGGCCUUCAAAGCCAGACUGAUGGCUUUCAAUAAGGAAUGCAAUGACAAAGUGAAGGAAGAGACUGCCCUAAAAGCGCUGAAGGACAAGUUGGCAGUAUUCGAGUUAGAGCAAAGUAUUGGCCGAGAAGUCAACAAGGUGGACUGUUUAGAAGAGGAAGUACUUGCAAAAGAACUGGACGACGAAGUGAUGCGGAUUGCCAAACCUGGAUACGCUCAAGCGCAAGACCCUCUGAUCAAAGUAAAUAUUGGCGAUGAAGGAGAAGAUCACCCAACGUUCAUCAGCUAGAUGCUCGACCAAAAUGUUAGUAACAAAUUAAUCGCUUUGUUAAAAGAGUACAAAGAUUGUUUUGCUUGUGAAUAUGAACAAAUGUCUGGUUUAGAUAGAGACUUAGUGGAACAUAGAUUACCAACUAAGCCUAAUUUUAAACCUCAUAGGCAACCUCCUAGGCGUUUUGCUCCUAAUGUACUCCCUGAAAUUAAGAAAGAGAUAGAGCGAUUAUUGAAAGUAGGUUUUAUAAGAACAGCCAGAUAUGUUGAAUGGUUGUCGAAUAUUGUGCCAGUACUAAAAAAGAAUGGUAAACUAAGGGUGUGUAUAGACUUUAGAAAUUUAAACAUAGUUACACCCAAAGAUGAGUAUCCAAUGCCCACGGUGGAUUCUUUAGUAGAUUCAACUGCCGGACAUGUCAUGUAUUCUUUCAUGGAUGGAUAUUCAGGAUACAAUCAAAUCUAUAUAGUUGAAGAAGACAUACACAAAACUGCCUUUAGAUGCCCUGGAUCUCUAGGAUGUUUUGAAUGGGUGGUUAUGCCUUUCGGCCUAAAAAAUGCAGGGGCAACUUAUCAAAGGGCUAUGAACUUAAUCUUUCAUGACAUGAUAGGCAAGUUUGUUGAGGUGUAUGUGGAUGACGUAGUGAUCAAGUCCAUUAAAGAAGAUGACUAUUUCGAACAGUUAAGAUGUUCAUUUGAACGAAUGAGGCAAUAUAAGCUAAAGUUGAAUUCCUUGAAGUGUGCAUUUGGUGUUAAUGCAGGGAACUUUCUUGGUUUCUUAGUACACAAGAGAGGGAUUAAACUUGAUAAAAAUAAAGCGAAGGCUAUCUUAGAAGCCAAACCACCUAGCAACAAAAAGGAGUUGCAAAGGUUUCUAGGCCAAGUAAAUUUUCUAAGACGCUUUAUUUCUAACUGUGCAGGGUGAACUAAAAUCUUUUCGCCGCUAUUAAAGCUGAAAAAUCAGGACGAAUUCGUCUGGAAAGAAGAACAUCAAAAGGCUUUUGAAAGCCUGAAGACAUAUCUAUCAAGUCCACCAGUGUUGGUGUCACCAAUCCAAGGACGGCCGAUGAAAGUGUAUGUGUCGACUGAAAAAGAAUCAAUAGCUGGAAUGGUCGCGCAGGAAGACCAAGUUGGUGAAGAAAGGGUAAUUUACUAUUUAAGUAGACGGUUAACGAAAUGUGAAUGCAAUUACUCUGCUGUUGAAAAAUUAUGUCUUGUAUUGUAUUUCACAUGUACAAAACUAAGGCCUUACUUACGGCUCGUGACCGUUUAUUUAAUUUCUAAGGUAAAUUUAGUUAAGUAUAUGUUUUCGCGCCCUAUUUUACACCAAAGGGUAGGCCUUUGGACACUAGCUUUAUCAGAAUUCGAAAUACAAUAUAUACCUCAAAAGGCAGUCAAAAAUCAGGCUUUGGCUAACUUUUUAGCUGAUCAUCCAUGCCUUGACAUGCCUGAAGAAAUCGAAUUAGAAAUCAAUUCGUUCGAAUUAAAACCUUGGGUGUUGUAUUUCGAUGGGUCAAAGACCUCUAAAGGUGCAGGAGUAGGAGUAGCGUUGAUUAAUCCUUUAGGGAUUUGCUACAAGUUUGCAUUCACCUUAGACAGAAUGUGCACCAACAAUCAGGCCGAAUAUGAAGCCUUAAUUGUAGGCCUAGAACUAAUGAUAGAUAUGAGAAUAAGAAAUGUGAUCGUUAGGGGCGAUUCUCAAUUGGUGAUCCAUCAAUUGAUCGGUGAUUUUAAAUGCCAAAGUGAUUCCAUUAUGAGUCAAUAUGAGAUCGCCCAAGAAUUAAUAGAAGAAUUCGAUCAAGUAGAACUCCAAUGCGUUAAUAGAAUAUAUAACGACAUGGCAAAUGAGUUAGCCCAAAUGGCAUCAGGAUACUCAAAGGUUUUGAAUUGGACGUCUACUUGUGAAUAUUGAAUCAUACUGCCCGUGAUUCAAAGAAGGGCGAGAAAAAUUGAACUUCAGUGUAUACAAGAUGGAGAUGCAGUGGAUUGGAGAACAGAGAUUAAAGGGUUCCUUCAAGAACCUGAUGGAGGGAUUAGCAGGAAGACAAAGCUAUGUUUGCUGAAUUACACACUAAUAGAUGAAGAGUUGUUUAAGAAACGCUCUGAUGGUGUAUUACUAAAGUGUGUAAGUUUGCAAGAAGCCAAGACGAUCAUGACUGAAGUGCACGAAGGGAUAUGUGGAGCUCAUCAAGCUGGCCAUAGGAUGAGAUGGUUAAUUAUUAGGAGUGGAUAUUUUUGGUCAAAGAUGGGAGAACUAUGCGUUCAGUAUGCAAAAAGUUGUUUAGCAUGCCAAAAACAUGGUCCAAUACAAAGGGCGCCAACACGAGAGAUGGCACCUAUUAUUAAACCUUGGCCGUUCAAAGGUUGGGCGAUAGAUCUAAUAGGGAAGAUCCACCCUCCAUCGUCCAAGCAACAUACUUUUGUUAUAGUUGCAACUGACUAUUUCACCAAAUGGGUGGAGGCGGUACCUUUGAAAGAGAUCACCCAGAAGAAUGUUAUAGAGUUUAUUCGUGAUCACAUUAUUUAUAGGUUUGGAAUUCUACAAACUUUAAUGGUAGAUCACGGAACAUAUUUGAAUGGGGAUCAAGUGUACAAAUUUUUGAGCGAGUUUGGGGUUAAAUUAGUAAACUCCACACCGUACUACGCUCAAUCCAACGGACAAGCGGAAUCUUCUAAUAAGAUUCUGAAAAAUAUCAUCAGAAAGAUGAUAGAUGAGAACGCCAGAAAUUGGCACGAAUGUUUGAACAAGGCCUUGUGGGCUUAUAGAACAUCACCUCGGUCAAGUACCAAAAUUACUCCUUUCCAACUUGUUUAUGGACAGGAGGCCGUUUUGCCUAUGGAAAUCAACGUGCAAUCUAUUCGAGUGUGCUUGCAACAUAAGUUGAAUGAUGAUGAGUAUGCCGAAUCACUAGUUCAAAAUUUGUUGAGUUUAGACGAAUUGAAGUUGGACGUCUUAGAUAGGUUGCAAGUUCAAAAGCAAAGAAUGACUAAAUUUUAUAAUAAAAAAGUCAUAGCCAAGUCGUUCUGCCUGGGCGAACUAGUUUGGAAGACGAUACUCCCUUUGGAUACCAAGGAUCCAAAGUACGGGAAGUGGUCGCCCAAUUGGGAAGGACCAUACAAAAUAAACAGUGUGUUGCCUAAUGGAGCGUACCACUUGGAAGAUUUAGAUGGCACCAAGCACGUAAGAUUUAUUAACGGCAAAUAUUUGAAAAAAAUAUGUUCCUUCUUUAUGGGAAUGUGAACAGAUAAAAACAUAACCAAACAUUCUGGACGAUCAAAAGAUAAUAAAGACAGAGCGAAAUACGUUCGAAUAAAGUUCUUUAUUAUCAAACGUUCAUUACAAGAAUACAAAAGAUACAAAUAAUGGAUGUGUUACAAAAUACAACUAAAGUAAGAUGAUCUCCCAACUGAUCGCUGAGUAAGCUUCACACCGCCUUCCUAAAUGCAUCGCUGCAAAGGUGGGGUUGACGAGUGAGAGGGUGUACUGGCCUCACAACCUUCCUAAAUGCAUCGCUGCAAUGGCGAGGCUGAGAAACACUCUCAGCAGGCAAGCUGAGCCUACAAGCAGCCCAAAAAUUGCCUCCCAUCAUUGACUCCUUGUGAAGAACGAAGAGACGAUGGGAAGAAUUUUGCAGGAAAGAACUUCGCUGCUGGCCAGAAAAUAUUUCCUAUACCUCCCAUACCAGAGGUGACAUCAAGGUAAAUAUAAGGCGGACGGACUAAACAGUCCAUUUUUGGAUCAGGUUGCUCGUCAGAAUGCCAAGAUAUGGCAGCAAAUUGGUUUCGAAGAAGAAAAUGAAGAGAUGAAGAUAGAGGAUGAAAAAUGUGAAGCAUUUAUAGGGGGUGAAGAUGAAGAGAUAGAAUAUGAACAGCCACAUUUCUGUCUAAUAAACGGAAUUAAAUAGCCCUAAGUCUUGGGAACAGUAGUGGGAAUAUCAAAAGGGAAUGGACAAGAUUCUUAGUGCAAAGCAGUUAAGUGCUUAAAGAAUUGAUGACUAAAAAAUAAACGUCAAAUAAAUGCACAAAAAGUUAAUGUUUAUUAAUAAUGAACAAAGUUACAAAGAGAAAAAUUGAAUUACAAAAGAAAAAAGACAUCGUAUGUCUUAAUUACAGUCUAUCCCAUAAGGAACGAAUUCGUUCCCUAAGUUUUUCCCAAUCCUUGUUCUGUCGAGAGGAAGUGAUGUUCAAUUCAGCCGCGACGUCAUCAUCAUCAACCUCCACCUUCUUGUACUGCUCGACCAAGGACUUAGUUCGCUCAAUUCCCUGGGAGGUGUUGCGCUUUUUAGCAGCCAUCCUCGCCCUGCAGUCAUCCAUUUUAGCUUGAAGUUUCCUCAUCUGAGCAGCCAAGUUAACCAUCAAAGAGUCUUCAAUCAUGACUUCGGAGGAUAUUUCUUUCAAUUCGUCCUCAGCCUUGUUAAUCUCCAUACGCAAAGACUCUUUCUCAGCUACGGCUCAAAGAUAUUGAGUACGCUUGGUCUUUAAUUCAGUAUUCUUGGCCAGCAUAGAAAGGACCUCGGAGUGGAUAACCUUCAACGUCGCUUUAAAAUCGGCAGAAAGAUUGAGCGACGGAAGUGUCAAUGCUUGCUCCAACUUUGCACUCAAAUGCUCAAGUUCAUCCUUAUGCCUGGCAGCACUGGCCCUUCCAAUAUCCAUAUCCAUGAAGGAUACGUACUCAAAUAUAAAUUCCUUCAGGAACUUCAAGUCUUCCUCUGAAGAAGCAGCAGGAUGAUCGGAUGGAGCAGGGCGAAACGUCUGAAUUUGCCCCCAGGAAGCGAACAAGUCUUGGAUAGAACGCACAAUCCUGUCAGCAUCCUGCAAAGAAGACUGCCAAUAUUGAAAAUCCUUACUACAACGAACAAGGUGGAAAUAGAAAUGAAGCAAAAAGAAAAACUACCUUGUCGACAAUCGUAGAAGAUGGCGCGCCCUCAGCUAAGCUUGCCACCAGCGACUCAUCCAUUCAUGAGGACUUCCUCUUGUCCGAGCGAGAAGAUGUUGCCACAACGGGCGGACUCAUAGGAGUAUCUGCAAAGCUCAAGAGCAACAAAUCAGAAACCAGUAGCACGAGCAAAGGUAAGGCAUCAAAAAAUUGAAUUACCUUCUGCUUCGAUAUUUGGGGGGUCGACGCCCUGGGAAGAAGGUGGCUCAUCCAUGGGUUGUGAUGAAGACUCUGGGACUGAAGAUGUAUCUUUAAGCAUGGUCCCCUCAUCAACCGGUUUGGAUGAAAUAGCCUCAGCAGAGGAUGAUGGAGCAGGAGUUGUCGAUGCCAAAGCCUUUGAAGGAGAUGCUGAGCUUUUCUGAAAAGUCCAAAAGAUCAUCAGUACACAGAAAAGUUUCAAAUGUGGAAAAACAUACUUGUAAAUAGACCAAUUUAAUUACCUUCCUCCUGACUAUAAGAGGAGCAUCAUCAUCAUCAUCAUCAACAUCAUCCUCCAGAAUGGGAGAUGCUGAGGCUGGCCGUUUGCGGCUUGGAGCACUCUUGGCCGUAGUAGGCCUGGCAGGGAGAGAAGAAGAUGGACGAGCAGAUUGUUUAGUGCGACGAGAAGGAGAGGGGCUCCGAAUAGACAAAGGAGUGACCAAAACAGGAGGAGGAGAAGAAAUACUCGGUUGGUCUAAUGAAUGAAAGGCACGAUUGGCCUCAGUCGCAAAUAAUCUGAGCUUCACCGAUGGCCAGAGUUGUUCAAAAAGAGGGUGAGUGGCAUGACAAGAAUUAAAAGAGGCUAAUGAAAAGUGGCUUGAUAAAUGGAGGUUGCGAGCGUUUAUAGCCUCUGCUUCCGCCUUAUUAAUGGUAUGAAAACGGUCAAUUAAGUUCUUCGAAUAGCAAAGAGGAACAGGCCAAGUUUGGCCAAAACCAAGCUGACGAGCAAAAAAUUGGGGAGCAUAAAUUUCUACCCCCGCUUUGGCAUUGGUCCCAGUUAAGAUAUCAUGGAAAAGCUCCCUCCCAGUUAAAAAUUGGAUCCAAAUGAGUAGAGAGGUGCUCGCGCUAUCUAUAGUGGAAGGGGGAUGUACAUAGUUUGGAGUCAAGAAAUGAGGGAAAGGAAAAAAGGAAGAGAUUGAAUCUAAAGAAUAAAAGAAUGAAAAAAUGUCCCUUCUGGACAUAUUUACAGGAGUUAAGGACUCCAUAANNNNNNNNNNNNNNNNNNNNNNNNNNNNNNNNNNNNNNNNNNNNNNNNNNNNNNNNNNNNNNNNNNNNNNNNNNNNNNNNNNNNNNNNNNNNNNNNNNNNNNNNNNNNNNNNNNNNNNNNNNNNNNNNNNNNNNNNNNNNNNNNNNNNNNNNNNNNNNNNNNNNNNNNNNNNNNNNNNNNNNNNNNNNNNNNNNNNNNNNNNNNNNNNNNNNNNNNNNNNNNNNNNNNNNNNNNNNNNNNNNNNNNNNNNNNNNNNNNNNNNNNNNNNNNNNNNNNNNNNNNNNNNNNNNNNNNNNNNNNNNNNNNNNNNNNNNNNNNNNNNNNNNNNNNNNNNNNNNNNNNNNNNNNNNNNNNNNNNNNNNNNNNNNNNNNNNNNNNNNNNNNNNNNNNNNNNNNNNNNNNNNNNNNNNNNNNNNNNNNNNNNNNNNNNNNNNNNNNNNNNNNNNNNNNNNNNNNNNNNNNNNNNNNNNNNNNNNNNNNNNNNNNNNNNNNNNNNNNNNNNNNNNNNNNNNGCGAAUACCUCUUUCGCGAAGUGGCCCCAGCGGUAGAGAGUUCAGGAAUGGAGGACCCUGAGUGCAGGGAAACAGCUGACCCACCUCCGCCUGUUCAACUACCUCCGCAUUGUUGAAGAAAGGACCCAAAUAGAACACAUUACGUCCAACGUCGACGGGUGCGAGAAAACUUGGGGUUAUGUAUGGGCGACUCAGAAGUCUCUGAAAGUCAUCAAAACUAAAGGAGUCGCUAGCUUGAGAUUGUGAAGCAGCCAUUGGAGAAGGAACGAAGCUUUCAGGGUUACGUAACAAGGAAGCAAAAGAUGAACAGUGAAUCAUGAAAGAGACGCAAAAAAUCUGAGGCGUGGUUUGGUAGCAGUGAAAUGGCGUGUUUGGGGUUUAUAAGGGUUUGCAAAACGACGCACCUUUUCAAGUUAUAGAAGGAAACAAUGAUUGAAAUUCUUGAAAAUUUCGAACGUUGCUGGAAACACGAAGUGAAUAUGGCAAAAUUCAAUAAUUGUUAUUAAUUCUGCCAUAUUGGGGGGUAAUUGUUGAUACAUAAAAAUUCAGCCCAAAUCGAACAGCCCAAGGAGUAAAGCCUAAUUGGAGGAUCCCCAAAUCAGAUAACCCAAAGAACGAAGUCCAAUCGAACGAAUCAAGGUGAAGGCCCAAAUAAGGGGGCACAAGAAUGUGGUAACGCCAUCGCCCAAGUUUGCAAGUCGCCCAGAAUCUGAACGAAUAGGGUGUCAUACGGUCGCCCAGAGCUGUUAUUCUAUUCUCGCCCAAACCUUCAAGUCGCCCAAGGUAUCAACAGACAUAACGCGUCGUGGUUAUCAAGAAAUGCAGUUACCAAGGCAGUUGUUAAAGCAGCCCUAUCACGUUCCACGACUCAAGGAAUUCAAUCGAAAAGCGGUUGAACGAUGAAAGGUAAUGGCAACAGUUAAAAGACAGUUUUCAUGACAAAAUGGCCACUACGAAGAAAAUGGGUAGUUAUAGGACGAUCAAGCAGUUUUUAGAGCAGUUAAUCAUAAAGAGAUCGUCUCUAAAGUAUAAAAGGGAAAAGGAACAUAGAAGCAAGGACCGAAUCCAAAACUCUCGAACAGAGAAUAUGUAAUUUUCAUUUCCUUAAUUUUUAGACUUAAACACUUUUCUUUUAGUAACUCGUGUGCUUGCGCCCCUUGGAGGCACGUUGUUUUUCAUUUCCAAUUGUAAAGUUCAUCGUCAAUAAAAGAACACCCCUUUUUGGGACUUUGUUUCAAGAGAUUUUCGUCCCUUACACAAUCGUCUGAUCCUUUUUAAUUGUUAGCGACUUAACCCGCGCGAAACAAUAUUACGUUGAAAAUUUAAGGCCACCGACAAAUGGAGCUAUGGAACUUUGAUUAGUUAGAUAAAUAUCCUCUAUUUUCAAACAUGGGAUGAAAAACCAUCAAACAUUCACCAAUAAAACAUGUUCAGGUGUCCAAUGCAGUAUUUCUUUGUUAGGUGGGUCCCCUUGUUUUGACUUAUUGUCUAUUGCAAUUUCCAUUUCACAUAUGAUUCUCAUUGACGGGUUGACUUCCCAUUUUCCUAUCGUUUUCUCAGUCAAACCUUUCACAAGAAGAAGUUUUCAGCCAUAAUUGUUAUCUAGAAUUACUAAUACUAAAAAAAAAAAAAAAAAAAAAAAGUUGAACCCCAACCUUGAGGGUCCCCACAGCCCCACCCCUAGAAUUUUGUGAGGGAGGUAAAUCGCGGGAUGUGCUCCAAUAGGCCAGAGAACAAGAGUUGCAUGUACACUGCGCCUACAAGGAGUCAAAUUCCAUGUCUCAGAAAUCGAACUCCCACGCUGCGGUUAAAGAAGUACUAAUACUAAAUGCCAACUUAGAUGAUAUAUUUGUAGAUGUCAUUAAUUAAUAGAUGAACUUAAAAUAGAAAAAAUGUGUCACAUUUAAGACAUCUUGUCACUUACAGUCACAUAAGCUAGCUUUUACACAUAACAUUAUUCCCUUAGAAAUAACAAAUAUACAUAAUUAAAAAUACAUAUGUUAUUAUAAAAUUUUCCAUUAACAACUUAUAUCGUUAAUAUUAAUUUGAUUCGAAAUGCAAAGAGAAGUUUAAUAGAUCAAAUGCAUAUGAGAAGCUUUAUAUUUUCGCCCUUAUGUCUCAAAUAAUGUUUCUGACAAAAUAAUUUUCGGGAACACAUAAAAAACUUAUUUUUCACUUGUAUUUUUAUAUAAUCAAAAUAAAUAACAAAUACAGAAGUUUGACAAAAUAUUUCUCUCUUAUUGCAAUGUGUGUUAGUGGAAUAUUUGGACAAAAAUAAUAGAGAUGAGAUGUCCUAAUUAAUUGAAAGUUAAAGAUAAAAUGCAAGACUUAAGUGCUAAAAUUGUAUAAUUCUUGGGGAUCUUCAUUGAAAUUAAAAUAUGGUGCAGAUAAUAUUUAAAAACUGUGACAUAAAUAUAAUUACUUGUAAUGAAAUACAAUUUACGAUGUGAAGAUAGAAAAAAAAAAAAUUACAACUAUAUCAAUAUAAAUAGUUGAACAUACAAAUAUGUCUUUUAGUGUAGAGUAGUGUUAUUUAACCUCAUUGGUAUUAAAACACCAGUUUAGGAGAAGUUAAGUAUGUUUGGUAGCAAUUUUUCAUCUCAAAAAAUUAAUUAUUUGAUCGUUAUUUCACUAUAUAAGUCGUCAUUUUUUUACUUCCUUCUUUCACAUGUAGGACCUACUUUUCUAUUUAACGGCCAAAAAAUCAAUUAUCAAAAUCACGACCAAACAAACCUAAAUGUCAUUAAAUGAAAGGUAAAAUUAAAUUAAUAACAUAAUUUCACCUUUAAUUAAAUCCAUCACAUGAUAUCACAUAAAUUGGUGUCUAACACUAUCACAUAUAUUGCAAUAAUUAUCACUUUACAUAGCUUUUAAAUUUUAUAACUACUAUUUCAUUCUCAUUCAAACACUCGAAGUGUGUUUGGAUUGUUGUUUUUAGUUUUCAAUUUUUUAAAACAUCGAAACUUUAUUGGUCUAAUAUUUUUGAAAAUAAAUUUUCAAAAAUAAAGUUAAACCUAUAAAAUAUAUCUCAAAACAUUUUCUUGAUGUUUCCAAUGUUUUCAAAAACACAAAAAGUACUCAAGACAAGGGAAAUAAGCAUUUAAAUAAAAUUAUAAAAAAUAUACAAAUUAUUUAAAAACAAUUAUACAAAAUAUAUAAAAUUAUAAAAAAGGUAAAAAAAUUAAAAAAUCUAAAAAAUAUAGUACUUUCAAAAAGAUAAUAAAUAUAUUGUUUAUUUAAAUAAAAAAAUUAUUUAAAUGAAGAUUAAAAAAAUUAACUUCACGUCAUUAAUUUGUUGGAUAUUGGUUAAAUAAAUCGAGAAUUGAAAAUCGAUUAAAGUGACUUCGUAUCGAUUUCGGCCAAAUACUCAAAAGCUCGACUCAAUCCGUUUAGGCAAAAUUGUUCGCCACUUCGCCGUUUCGGGGCGCACAAACGGGGAUCGACCUGCCCGGUCAGGUCGAGGGGACAGCGCCCCCCGUGGGGGCUCGAGGGCAACGCCCCCGAAAGAGAAUUUUGAUUUCUCUGCAUGUAUUGAAGGGUAUAUUUGGCAUUUCGAAAACCAAUAUCGGAUGAAUGAGAAAUUACGAAAAAGGACGAAAAUCAAGUCAAUAUAUUUGACCGUGCGACCGCAUGGUUGGUAAACCGCACGGUUGUCCGGUGAAUAGACACCUUUUCAUAAAGGUGCAUUGUUUGGAAAGGGUGCAUGGUUUGGCCUCAACCAUUUCGUCCACACCCUUUCAUGGUCUAUAAAUAGGACCCUUUGGGUGUCCUAUUCCUCACAAUUUGAUAUGCAAAACAUCUCUCAUCCUCUCUUCUAUCUAAAAUCAAAAUCAUUUCAUUUAUUUUGAUUUUCCUUCAUUUCAUCCUUGGAGUACAUAAGCCUAAAUUUGGUUCGUUGUACUUGUGUUUUGGAGUGCUACAAACACAAGUGUAGCCGUUGUAUCUUUAGAGUCGAUUGCCGAAAUCUGUAGGCACCGUUGCGGGGCAAAUUCGACUUAAGGACAAAGAGUCCAACUCUUGCCUCGGCUUUGUCCUUACUUUCUUCUUCUUCUUGUUUGUGUUUUCUUUAUCGUUACUCUGUCCAAUUUUCGGCACGGAUUUACAAACCAUCAUUAUACUUAUUUUGGCGUCACUAUUCACAAAAUUCCUCCAACAAUCUUAAGUNNNNNNNNNNNNNNNNNNNNNNNNNNNNNNNNNNNNNNNNNNNNNNNNNNNNNNNNNNNNNNNNNNNNNNNNNNNNNNNNNNNNNNNNNNNNNNNNNNNNNNNNNNNNNNNNNNNNNNNNNNNNNNNNNNNNNNNNNNNNNNNNNNNNNNNNNNNNNNNNNNNNNNNNNNNNNNNNNNNNNNNNNNNNNNNNNNNNNNNNNNNNNNNNNNNNNNNNNNNNNNNNNNNNNNNNNNNNNNNNNAUAGGGCAUCUUUGAUUGCUUUGGAUGCAUGGAAAUAUUCGGACUUCUUAUGCAAGAAUUACAUUCUUAAUGGCUUGGACAACGCCUUAUACGGUGUAUAUUCCUACAAGAAAUCUGCAAUGGCACUAUGGGAGUCCUUGGAAAAGAAGUACAAGACCGAAGAUGCCGGAACCAAGAAGUUCAUUGUGGGAAAAUUUUUGGACUACAAAAUGGUAGAUUCGAAGACCGUCAUCAGUCAAGUGCAAGAAUUGCAAGUCAUACUCCAUGACAUUCAUGCGGAAAAUAUGUUCGUGAGCGAAUCAUUUCAAGUGGCUGCAAUUAUCGAGAAACUUCCACCCAUGUGGAGGGACUUCAAAAACUAUCUCAAGCACAAGCGCAAGGAGAUGAACAUUGAAGAAUUUGUGGUCCGAUUGAGGAUUGAAGAAGACAACCGAAGUUCGAAAAAACGAGUUGGGAAUAGCAUACCACAAGCAAAGGCAAAUGUGAUAGAAUGUAGCAACAACAAAGGAAAGAAGAGAAAGCAUUCCGUUGAAUCUACAAAGAAGAAUGCAAAGAAGUUCAAGGGCAAUUGCUACAAUUGUGGAAAGGCUGGACAUCGCUCGGUUGAUUGUCGCAAACCUAAGAAGCAAUCCCAAGCCAACAUUGUCGAAUCUGAUGCCAUAUCAAAUGGCAUGUCCGAUAUGAAUUUAUCGACAGUUGUUUCUGAAUGCAACCUUGUUGGAAAUCCCAUGGAAUGGUGGGUUGAUACGGGUGCAACCCGUCACAUUUGUGCCGAUAGAGGAAUGUUCACAUCAUACACUUCAACUGAGGGAGAAAAAUUGUUUAUGGGGAACUCCUCAACAUCCAAAGUGGAAGGACAAGGCAAAAUGGUCUUGAAGAUGACGUCGGGAAAAGAACUUAGCCUCAAUAAUGUUCUUCACGUACCAGAUAUUCGCAAGAACCUUGUGUCGGGUUCUUUGUUAAGCAAGAAUGACUUUAAACUAGUCUUUGUAUCGGAUAAGUUUGUACUUACCAAAAAUGAUAUGUAUGUAGGCAAAGGCUAUGUAAAAGAUGGACUAUUCAAAAUGAAUGUCCUAACUGUUGUGCCAAAUGCUACAAUCAAUAAAACGUCAUCUUCAGUUUAUAUUCUUGAGUCAUGUAAUCUAUGGCAUCAUAGAUUAGGACAUGCAAACUUAAAUUCAAUAAGAAAUUAAUGAAUUUAAGUUUACUUCCGAAUAUGCAUUUUAAUAAUGGAAAAUGCGAAACAUGUGUAGAGGCAAAAGCGGCCAAAACACCAUUUCAUUCGGUUGAACGAAACACCACACCAUUAGAACUAAUUCACACGGAUGUGUGUGAUUUGAAGUUCGUACAAACAAGGGGUGGUAAAAAGUACUUCAUCACAUUCAUAGAUGAUUGUACAAGGUACUGUUAUGUGUACUUGUUGAAAAGCAAAGAUGAAGCUUUGGAAGUGUUUAAACACUACAAAAAUGAAGUUGAAAAUCAACUUGGAAAAUGAAUUAAAAUGAUUCGUAGUGAUAGAGGUGGAGAAUAUGUUGCACCGUUUGAAGAAUUUUGUGCAGAAUCUGGAAUAAUUCAUCAAACAACGGCACCAUAUUCACCACAAUCUAAUGGAAUUGCUGAAUGCAAAAAUCGAACGUUAAAGGAAAUGAUGAAUGCAAUGUUGAUUAGUUUGGGCUUACCUCAAAACUUGUGGGGGGAAGCCAUACUUUCUGCAAAUCAUAUCCUUAAUAAAAUACCCCACAAAGAUAAGGUUGAAUCACCUUACGAAUUAUGAAAAGGUCGGAAACCUUCCUACAAAUAUCUCAAAGUGUGGGGGUGCUUAGCGAAAGUACAAAUACCCAAACCUAAACAAGUUAGGAUUGGACCAAAGACAAUUGAUUGUGUCUUUAUUGGAUAUGCUAUCAAUAGUAGUGCAUAUCGAUUCUUGGUUCACAAAUCCGAAGUACUUGAUGUACACGUAGGUACAAUUAUUGAAUCAAGAAAUGCGAUCUUCUUUGAAGACAGUUUUCCGUGUAAAGAAAAGGAAGUAAGUUCAAAUAAACGAACUUAUGAUAACAUACAUGGAAAGAAUGAUGAUCUUCAAGUAAAUGAAGAACCGAGACGUAGUAAAAGGCAACGAAUUCCAAANNNNNNNNNNNNNNNNNNNNNNNNNNNNNNNNNNNNNNNNNNNNNNNNNNNNNNNNNNNNNNNNNNNNNNNNNNNNNNNNNNNNNNNNNNNNNNNNNNNNNNNNNNNNNNNNNNNNNNNNNNNNNNNNNNNNNNNNNNNNNNNNNNNNNNNNNNNNNNNNNNNNNNNNNNNNNNNNNNNNNNNNNNNNNNNNNNNNNNNNNNNNNNNNNNNNNNNNNNNNNNNNNNNNNNNNNNNNNNNNNNNNNNNNNNNNNNNNNNNNNNNNNNNNNNNNNNNNNNNNNNNNNNNNNNNNNNNNNNNNNNNNNNNNNNNNNNNNNNNNNNNNNNNNNNNNNNNNNNNNNNNNNNNNNNNNNNNNNNNNNNNNNNNNNNNNNNNNNNNNNNNNNNNNNNNNNNNNNNNNNNNNNNNNNNNNNNNNNNNNNNNNNNNNNNNNNNNNNNNNNNNNNNNNNNNNNNNNNNNNNNNNNNNNNNNNNNNNNNNNNNNNNNNNNNNNNNNNNNNNNNNNNNNNNNNNNNNNNNNNNNNNNNNNNNNNNNNNNNNNNNNNNNNNNNNNNNNNNNNNNNNNNNNNNNNNNNNNNNNNNNNNNNNNNNNNNNNNNNNNNNNNNNNNNNNNNNNNNNNNNNNNNNNNNNNNNNNNNNNNNNNNNNNNNNNNNNNNNNNNNNNNNNNNNNNNNNNNNNNNNNNNNNNNNNNNNNNNNNNNNNNNNNNNNNNNNNNNNNNNNNNNNNNNNNNNNNNAUGGUUUGUCAUUGUCUCAAUCACAUUAUGUUGAGACUAUACUUAAGAAAUUUAAGGCGUAUGACGAUAAACCGGUUAAGUCACCAGUUGACUUAGGUAUUUACUUAGCCAAGAAUACUGGUGAGCCCGUAUCUCAAUUGGAAUAUUCGCGUGUCAUUGGUAGUUUAAUGUAUAUUACCAACUGCACAAGACCGGAUAUAGCAUACAUAGUCAACAAGUUGAGUAGAUUCACUAGUAAUACAAGUGUUGUACAUUGGAAGGCAUUAAACCGAGUUCUUAGAUAUUUAAGACACACGGUUGAAUAUGGAUUACACUACUCAAAAUAUCCUGCGGUAUUAGAAGGAUAUACUGAUGCAAAUUGGAUAUUUGACACUAAGGAUUCAAAAUCCACGAGUGGUUAUGUAUUUACCAUUGGAGGUGGAGCCGUGUCCUGGAAAUCGUCUAAGCAAACAUGUAUUGCUCGAUCCACGAUGGAAUCUGAGUUUAUUGCGUUAGACAAAGCCGGUGAAGAAGCAGAAUAGCUUCGUAAUUUUCUUGAAGAAAUUUCAUGUUGGGAAAAGCCGGUUUCUGCGAUUAAUAUACAUUGCGAUAAUCAGUCGGCAAUAGCAAGGGCACAAAACAGUAUGUAUAAUGGUAAGUCUCGACAUAUCCGUCGGAGACAUAAUACCAUUAAACAGUUAAUAUCGAAUGGUAUAAUCUCUAUUAACUAUGCGUCGGAGACAUAAUACCAUUAAACAGUUAAUAUCGAAUGGUAUAAUCUCUAUUAACUAUGUGAAGUCAAAAGAAAAUUUGGCUGAUCCUUUGACGAAAGGACUUGCAAGAGAUCAAGUAUACCAUCUUUCGAGGGGAAUGGGCCUAAAGCCUAUUGAAUAGAAUUACUUUGACGGAAACCCAACCUUGUAGAUUGGAGAUCCCAAGAUCUUGGUUCAAUGGGACAACUAAGUCAUAAAUGAUUCGGAAUAAAGCAUUUAUUCCCAUUCCUAAAAUUUAAAGUGCUAUGUAAAAUGUGUAUUGAGAUAGAAAGGUAUGAGAUCACAUAUAUAAGUGUGAAGUGGGGCCGUUUCUACGAGAAUUCGAGGCUUAAUUCUCUCAGAGCACUUAUGAAACCAAGAGUUGUCCAGGGCCAAAAUGGACUCAACCAUGAGAACCGAAUAGGUUAGAUGAGUCAUGGUGUUGGUACAGUUGUUUGGUUUUACACGAACGGCUGGAUGAUUCAAGACAUUGCGUUCACCAACUAGCCUAGUAAAUCUGAUUGUAUUCAAAUAAAGAAGGUUCAAGGCCACAAGCUACCUAUCUUGAUGCUAUGACUUGACUUGUGUACUCCAUUUGUUAGAGUCCGCAUUUCAUUUGCAUUGCAUUCGCAUUGUGUUGCGCAUAUCGAGGAAUUUCCAUUCAUGUGGGGGAUUGUUGGAUAUUGGUUAAAUAAAUCGAGAAUUGAAAAUUGAUUAAAGUGACUUCGUAUCGACUUCGGCCAAAUACUCAAAAGCUCGACUCAAUCCGUUUAGGCAAAAUUGUUCGCCACUUCGCCGCUUCGGGCGCACAAACGGGGAUCGACCUGCCCGGUCAGGUCGAGGGGGCAGCACCCCCCGUGGGGGCCCGGGGGCAACGCCCCCGAAAGAGAAUUUUGAUUUCUCUGCAUGUAUUGAAGGGUAUAUUUGGCAUUUCGAAAACUAAUAUCGGAUGAAUGAGAAAUUACGAAAAAAGACGAAAAUCAGGUCAAAAUAUUUGACCGUGCGACCGCAUGGUUGGUAAACCGCACCGUUGUUCGGUGAAUAGACACCUUUUCAUAAAGGUGCAUUGUUUGGAAAGGGUGCAUGGUUUGGCCUCAACCAUUUCGUCCACACCCUUUCAUGGUCUAUAAAUAGGACCCUUUGGGUGUCCUAUUCCUCACAAUUUGAUAUGCAAAACAUCUCUCAUCCUCUCUUCUAUCCAAAAUCAAAAUCAUUUCAUUUAUUUUGAUUUUCCUUCAUUUCAUCCUUGGAGUACAUAAGCCUAAAUUUGGUUCGUUGUAUUUGUGUUUUGGAGUGCUACAAAUACAAGUGUAGCCGUUGUAUCUUGAGAGUCGAUUGUCGAAAUCUGUAGGCGCCGUUGCGGGGCAAAUUCGACUUAAGGACAAAGAGUCCAACUCUUGCCUCGACUUUGUCCCUACUUUCUUCUUCUUGUUUGUGUUUUUUUUAUCGUUACUCUGUCCAAUUUUCGGCACGGAUUUACAAACCAUCAUUAUACUUAUUUUGGCGUCACUAUUCACAAAAUUCCUCCAACAUAAUUUGUGUAUUCACUUUUACGUCAUUAAUUUGUAUAUUCACUCAACUAGUUAUUUGUUUGUAUUUUACAUUUGUAAAAAGAAAAAAUAUUGUAAGAUUCAUCAACUCUAAAAUGUAUAUAUUAAUUGAUAUAUAUUAGCAUAAUUUUUCUUUUUAAUUUUAUAGAAUAAUCAAAUCAAUAGAAAAAGUUACAAAACAAUUUCUCAAAAUUACAAACCAAAUGUGAUUUUCAGUUUUCUAUUUUGAGAAACAAUUUUUCAAAAUUUCAAAUCAAACAUAUUUUCAAUAAUCUUAAAACAAACCGUCAAAACAAAAGUUGAAUGUAAACUCGAAAUUGUAAAUUGAAAUACAAAUAAGAUGCUUUCAUUUAUUUUCUCCAUAAAUUAACUUAUGUCCGGGUCUCUUAACUACAUUAAUAACAUAAUUUUUAUUUGAUCACAAAUCUUAUAUUGUAGUCUCUUCUAUCAAGCUUCAUUGGAGGGGGAAAAAAAAAUCGACAGCGAAAAUCCAAGAAAUUUAUGCACGCUUUUUUGAAAAUUUUGAAACUCGAAAUACAACAUAAAUUCAUAAGAAAUUAUUUUGGAACUUGUUAUGGUGACUAUCUACAGUGUCUUCGGAUUAGCUUAAAUGACUUCCUUUGUUUUCACUCAUAUUACUUUCUAGGUUUUUUGGGCUUGUACGUCCACUCAUGGUUUUCUGUAUCUGAUUCUCGCUGACACGAUAUUUUUACCUCUGAAAUCCGAUCGACCAGACUCUCAAGAGUUAACUUUCAUGUCUACAUAAAUGUUGCUUGCUUGGAGAUUGUUGGAAUACACGGGCCAUCAUUUCAAUGAAAGGUAUGACAAUCGUUUGCAUUUAGAUGAUAAAGUGAUUGCAAUGAAAGUAUAAUUUGAGUGUGGAAGAAUCGACUAGGGAUCGAACGGAGCAUACAUUUUAUUUAUAUAAAUCAAAUAACAAACUAUCAUGUAUAUGUAAUGUAGGAUGACUAACAAUAAUAUUCAGUAUGAAUAACAUUACUUAAAAGAUAAAGUCAAUGGACACGUGUUUACCUUCAUUGAUUCAGCCAUUAUUACAUACUAAUACUGUUUACUUUUAACAUUUAUUAAUUUAUACACAUGGCAGUGGUCUCCUCACCACGUGGCAACAGGAAUUUUCGAAUGUUUUUUGUUCCCUUCAAACAAGGCAUACUAUGCGGCAGGAUAUACGGAGUCACAUAAUUCUUAUCUAUUUGGGAAGAUCAUGUUGAUCCCUACUUUUAUUGUCAUAUAUGGGGUAGAGAGAGAAGUUAAAAAGAGAAUUUUCUUCAAGUCAAACAGUUUCUCCAUUUACUUCAAUCUUCGGGUCGAAAAUGGUUCAAGCUCAUCCAUUAUCACCUAGCCUGGAGAGGGAACCAAUUGUCGACUCCUCUACAAUAGAUGAUACUAAUGAGGCUUCAUACGCUUAGCAUAUCAGUCCUAGCUCAAGUUAGAUGUUCAAGCACCUUGAUGAGGCUACUUGAUUCUAGGAACACACUUGUGUUGACUUGCAUAUGGCACCAUGCGUGGCAAAAUAAAAACUGAUCUUACACUAGUCUGAAUGACACUAAAUGAUAUGUUCAGUAAGAAAUAAAAUUAUGUGAGUUAUUUAGUUGUACCUCUCAUUUAAUGUUAGCAUCAUCUAAAUUGAUAUUAUUACUCUAGAAAUUAUGAGAACCAAUUACAUAAUUUUACAUAGACAUAUUCAUUGUUUCAAUAGUAUAAUAUUCUGGGUUUUUAGAUGUUUAAUCAUUAUUAUAUCUAAUUAAUAUGGAUUAAAAUAACUUAAGUUUACAUCAAAUUGUGUUCGAAUUCUUUAGGUCGAAGUUCAUCAGCAACCAACAACAUUUGACAGAAAAAGGAUUUUGUUCACCUUAUUAGGUUUACCUAUUUUCUAAUUCACUUUGUCAAUUUCGACUUUUUCUUAGCUUAGCCACGAACAAUUAGGUGUACAUUCUAUAGUGCUAAAUGACGUAAUGUUACUAAUAUCACUGUCCCUGCAUCCACAACUUAUGCCAACCACUUCUGCUUGUGGUCGUGCUUGUGCUCUUACAACAUACAACAAAAUUAAUUUUUUUUUUUUUUUUUUCAAGAUUCAUGUAAACGGAACAUAAAAAGAAAGAAAUAUAUGACACGAAUGUACUCAACAAAUGUAAACUGAUCACUUAACUGUCAGGAUAGAGCAAUUCAUCUUCCCAGUAAUGCAACCCGAUCCUUUUGUACUUCCCGUGCCAAAUUCACGUCAAACAGUUCACAACUAAUUGGCAUCUCCAUCUCAUAGAAAAGGUUCUUUAAAACAUAAUCAGUGUAUAACUCGUAUAUGUGUUUCAGGAGAGCCUCCAUAUGAAGUGUUCCAGGCUCACACACCACAAAGAAUUUGGUGCCUAUAAAAAAGGAACGAAUAACUUCAGAUGUUAGAUUUAUGUUACGAUGUGAGUAUUUAUAUCUAUUAACAAAUAUUGCAAGUUCACUAAACUUGGAUCCUCCCGAAGCUAAAGAGAACUAUCCAAUUCAAUACCUGUUUGACAACCAUUAUUUUCAAACUCUAUUUUUUACAUACUUAUUUUCAAUCAUACAUUCAUCCAAUAAAAUAUCCUACACGUAAACUCAAUAUUUUUCCCAUUUUCUGAACACACAUUCUCUUAAAAAUCACUAUUCAAAAUUCUGUUUUGUCCUAAUAAUGGUUGUCAAACAUGCAAUAGAAAUAUCAUGCAGUACUAUUUCAGUUCCAAAAAAUGUAAUAAUUCUAUACACUACACAAAAAAUGAUCAUUUAAAACACAUAAAAGGCAAAUUCGGUAGUUAAGUGUUGCUAAAUGGAUUUAUUGCAACAUUUUAAUAAGCGAAUGUUGCAAUUAGUUAAUGUAAUUAAAUUUUGGCUUUUGGCAAUGUUUAUUUAAUAAAUGUUGCAAAUGUUACUUUUCGCAACUUUUUUGAACAUUGCAAAAAGUUUUAUUUUUUUGCAACGUUCAAAAAAUGUUGCAGAAAGCCAUAUUUUUGCAACGUUCAAAAGCUCUAUUUUGCAGUGUGCCGCGUCCUCCAUCUUCCUCUUUGUAAUGUGCGGUCUUUCAACGCAUAACAAAUUAAUUCUGCAAAUUGGAAGCAAAAUUGGUUACAUCUUCUCCGCUCACCCCACUUUCCACUAAACUAUUUUCUUCCUCUUUUCAGCCUCAACCUUUCUUCACAUAAAAAAUGAGGAAAAUUCAGUUCGAAAUUUCUGCAAAUAUAGGUUUGUAAUAGACUUUAUUGCAUAAAUAAUAUAUCUUAAUGUUGUUAUGUUGUACUGGGUACUAUUGGAAAUAUUUGCAUCAACCGAGGAAAAUGGAGAAGAAAAUUUCAGAAAAUAUGAUCAAGAAGAUGAAACAAAGAAGAUGAAGAACACAACGAACAUGAAGGCUCGAACGCGUAAUCACUGUCCUCAAACUAUAUUUGCCUCCUCUCGGGAUUGUUUGAGUUGCUUAAGGAUUUUGACAAACGGUUUGUAGGAUUAUAUCAAGUUUUGUAAAGAAUCUAGCACUAAAGCAUAAAAAUGAUCCUCCAAAACUUUAAGAACACAAGGAAGAAUUGAAUAUGAAUGAGAAAUCAAGUUUUGAUUUAAUGUGGAAUAAUGUUUGGCUUGCAAGAUGUUUUUCUCAUGUUUGUAAUGGUUUUUCACACCCUUGAAAUGAUCACAAAUCACCUAUAUAUAGCCAUGAAACAAGGCUAUGCGAAGUGGUGCCAAUUCAUAAUUGAAAAGCCGUCAAUUUCAAACCACAACCGCCUCCAACGGUCACUCCGGAACUACCAUGCGACCGCAUGGUAUAACUUCAUUCGGUCGCAUGGAGUACUCGAAACUGGGCCUCCGUUCUCGGGUGAUGGACAUGCAACCGCAUGGCCAAAGUGCCUUGCGGUCACAUGGCACAUGUAAUGGGCCUCCGGUUGGUUUUCCAUUUCGCUUUUGUUCCACUUCCAUUCCACUUCGUUUUUCCAUUGAAUUUUCGAACAACAAUUUCAGCAAUCCCCCACUUGUUCAAAAUUCAAUUAAAAAAAAACCUCAUAUUCAAAUCAUACGAUACUCAUGUACAAGGACUAGAUAUCUUUCGAUUUGAAUCUAGCCAUAGUGUAAUCCAAACAAAGUAUAGUCGGAAUCAAAGGUAGCUGUAGCUUUGAACCAGUUAUUCCAUGUGAUAAUACCGGUUUAAACACACACACACACACGAGUACCACGUGUUCUCAAGUUCUUCAUAACUCGCUUAGCGCUGUUAUGGCCUUGUGCUCAUCCUACUCAACAAACUUUUAAGAGAGAAACUCGAACUCUCACUUGAGGCGGCACCACCUCGAAAUUUGUUUAGGCGAAGUUCUUCCAAUACCUUUGUUACUUUUAGAGGUACUUGUGUUUUAGUACUGAACUUCAUUAAGAGCUUUAAUGCUCAACCCUCACUUCAGUAACAACUAACAUUAUUUUACUUAGGAUAUGGUCAAUGCGGAUUUCAAUAAUGCUGAAACCAUCCCACAUAUCGAAUGACUUAUUUUUUACCCUUUGAGUCCGUAGAUUACCUUUUGAGUAAUGACAGGUAGGGUUGCCGUCAUUGGUGGACCUUUAUAGAUUAGGAGUUUUAACCCCAUCCUACUCGAAGUAGAUACCACUAAAGUUUUAUUUAGUGGUCUAGUUAAAGGAUCCGCUAAAUUCUCUUCGAAAAUUAUUCCACCUUUGAUAAUUUCCAUGUGACGUCACCUUUAAGACUUAUAUGUUUUUACUUCUCAUUUCAUGUGAUUUAGUAUCUUAUCAAAAUAUAGCUAGCCAAUGAUCGAUUCAUUUGAUAGAUACAACUUGUCACCACCAAGAAGCCACAUGCUUCUCAAUCGCUUUAUAUAAAAAGCCUUAUUGAUUUUUAAAACACCGUUGGAUGACUUCCAUUAAUUCAUUACACUAGUCAAUCACUUCUAUUUGUGGAUUUUCAUACUUGGGUGUUCACAUAUCAUCAUUGAAUCAUUACAAUGAUCUUCAAUGAAUAUUUUUUAAAUAUUCCAUUAGUUUUGCAAGCGCCACAAUCGGUCUUUGCCCAUUUAAUCCACCUUAGACUUAGUGUGUUUCAUCCUUACAAAGUCUUCUCUACCUUUUUCAUCAUAGAUGUAUUUCUAUGAUUAAAAGGUAAAGGAUAUGGCAACUUUUUAAACUAAGUUACCCCGCAAAUUCCUAAAAAUAGGAAUUCUUCUGCAAUCUUGUUAUGUUGCAUCCAUAUAUCUUUGAACUUCUCAUAUAAGUUCAUAAGAUUGAUGUUUACCCCCACAUUUCGGGUUAUACUCGAACUUAGAGUUCCUCACUAUGUCAACCCCCACAUUUGGGAUUGUACUUGAACUUUGAGUAUAUUAACUCUUUCAUAGUUCAUUCACUUAUCACUUUGAUAAUACCCGUGAAAGUUUUAAGUAUUUCAGAUAGUGAUUGUUAAGUCACAAUGUACUUUUAAUUCACUAUCUUUAAUUUUGAUCACACCAUUUGAUUAAGGUCAUCUCAUAGACCAUUAAUGCCUUUUCAAGCAUAAAUCAACUCAAUUAGUUCCACAUUUGAAGUCAAAUUCAAUUAAUAAAUAAGACCGUGCUUCUUGUUUCAUAAGAAUUGCACUUUGCCACUUUCACAAGACAAAAUUAUAUCAUCUCGAAUAAUAAGGCAUCUAUUUACCUUAUUCACAUUUGGACAAAAUCACAUUUUGUCAUAUUUGUAUACAAACACGAUUUUACAUAAGAUUCUCUCACUUAAUUUUGGCUAUCAACAUUUCAAUAGAACAUGAAAUCAAUCAUCAAGUUUAUCAAGUGAUUCUCAUAUUCCAAUAGAACAAGUAGUCAUGAAAUUUCAUGUACUUCCAACAAAUGGUAGGCAUCCUUACACAUCCUUUAGACCUAUUAAAGAUUAAUAGGCUGGUCUCAAAGCAUAAAUAUGGAUGUGCUUUACUUGCACUUCGAAGUCCAUAAACCAACAUAAUGGCAAAUACACCGUGCAACAAAUGAUGCCCUACAGAAACAUGUGGGCUACUCAAGUCGGUUCGUGUAUUAUUCAAGCAAAUGUGACAGCCCAUAUAUUGAAAUUAAUCACCGCCUAACAACCAUGAUCAAAUAGAUCUUUAGCCACCACAAUUGGUUUAAAUUGUAUUCUUUAAAAUGUCGUGCAUAAGCCACUCCCAAUUGUCACAGCAAAGUGAGAAUAAUCAAUUAAUCAAAAUUGAUUUCCACAAUAUCCUUUAUACAUGAAGGUUAAUUAGAGCAUAUUAUAAAUUUUGUCAUACUAGUAUGCAAACACAAUUUAUGCUCUACAAAAUAUUUCCAUUUCUCAAUAAAUGUACAAGCAUCUUCUGCUUUAAAAUAAAUUAGGACAAAUCACAAUUUGUCAUGCUUUUAUGCAAAUAUAAUUGACAUAUAAUCAUCUCACUUAAUUCCAUAGGAUUAAAUGAGGCUAUCGAUUUAACCCAAGUUAAUAUGAGUUCAACAAGACAUGAAAUCAAUCAAACAAAUUUAUCAUGUCAUUUUUAAUUUUCUAGUAGAGAAAUGGUCAUGGAAGUUCACAUACUUUUUUUCAUAAAAUUCUAACACUGUAGAAUUUUCUCCUAUGUAACAUAUACAAUAAAAUGAUGAAUUUCAUUGCAAUAAUAUAGUAUGCAAUCAAAAACUUCAACCAUUUAACCAUAUGACUGAACGCCAUAACAUGCAUCAUUAAGUAAGCAAGUGCUAGUAAUAUACUCAAAUAUUCUCCAAAGGAAAGAACACACUUUUUCCUUUAUGCACGUACACAAGCACUUGCACACAUCAAUUAGUGAAAUGCUACUCAUUAUAUCAAUUUCCAAUUUCAUGAUAAGGUGAAAAUAACAUAUUCAUUUCAUAUUCCAUUAAAAGAAAUAAUGAUCAGAUUUAUCCAAUCUAAUUCAAACAUUUCCUACCAGAGGAACACACCUCUUCCUUCAUUGCACCGUUUCAAUACCAUAUGUUAGAAACCAGAAUUCAACAAUCUUAAAUGAAAAGUCAUUAAUCACUAAAACUGUCAUAUGCUCUUGUAUAAACUAUCACGUGCCGUUUCAUACACUAGGAUAGAUAAUUCAUGCUCAUCAUUCCAGAAAUUAAUAAACAGCUUUUGACUUGGAAAGAUACAUCUCUUCAUACAGUAUGCAUGUUUAAGUUCCAUUUCUCUUACUAAUACAACAUUUUCAAACAGAUUAUAUCAAUCAAUGUUGUGUAACGCAAGCAUACAAAUUCAGACUAAAGUUGACUAUAACGAAAAGGCACCAAAGGAACCUAAUCAAAAAAUAUGGUCGUUUUUUUGCCUUUCCCCAGAUUUCUCACAUGCAACCAGUAUGCUUAAUUUAAUUCUCAUGCGAAAAUUCUAGAAAUAUGUAAUCAGGUUGCAGAGACACCAUUCAAUUCAUGCACGUUUCAAGUUCAUAGUAAUUUAAUUCUUCCAAAACUAAAACCAUGUACGAUUCCAGAUUAUAACGCACAACGAACACAAAAAAAUUCAUCUUAGGGAUAUAACGCCGAUGUUGUGUAUAUUUUAUAUUCACAUACCGCAUGUAUGCAUAAAAUCAAAACGCAAUUUGACUUAUCGAAUUUGGAGAGCAAUUUCGACUAAACACAAAAUCUGGAUUCAAGUUCUUCUACAAGUUGGGCCAUUCCAUGAAAUUAGUGCCAUCAACUUGAUCGUUGUCGAAGUAAUUUUUUUCUCCAUCGCCAAAAUAUAGUUUGAGAUUGUUGGAAAUAUUUCCAUCAACCGAGGAAAAUGGAGAAGAAAAUUCCAGAAAAUAUAAUCAAGAAGAUAAAACAAAGAAGAUGAAGAACACAACGAACAUGAAGGCUCAAACGCAUAAUCGCUGUCCUCAAACUAUAUUUGCCUCCUCUCAGGAUUGUUUGAGUUGUUUAAGGAUUUUGGCAAACGGUUUGUAGGACUAUAUCAAGCCUUGUAAAGAAUCUAGCACUAAAGCAUAAGCGCGAUCCUCCAAAACUUUAAGAACACAAGGAAGAAUUGAAUAUGAAUGAGAAAUCAAGUGUUUGAUUUAAUGUGGAAUAAUGUUUGGAUCACAAGAUGUUUUUCUCAUGUUUGUAAUGGUUUUUCACACCCUUGAAAUGAUCACAAAUCACCUAUAUAUAGCUAUGAAACAAGGCUAUGCAAAGUGGUGCCAAUUCAUAAUUGAAAAGCCGUCAAUUUCAAACCACAACCGCCUCCAACGAUCACUCCGGAACUACCAUGCGACCGCAUGGUAUAACUCCAUGCGGUCGUAUGGAGCACUCGAAAUUGGGCUUCCAUUCUCGGGUGAUGGACAUGUGACUGCAUGGCCAAAGUGCCUUGCGGUCGCAUGGCACAUGUAAUGGGCCUCCGAUUGGUUUUCUAUUUCGGUUUUGUUCCACUUCCAUUCCACUUCGUUUUUCCAUUGAAUUUUUGAACAACAAUUUCAACAGGUACAACAUAUAGUAUGUACUGAAACACAUAAUUGCUUUAGGGAGAUGGUUUUGGUAUUGGUAGGGGAAGGAGAGAAUGAGGUCAAGAAAGGAGGGAAGAAGAAAUUUAUCACCAAAGAAGAGGAACUGGAACAGUUAAGUCCUUUUUUACACUCGUUUUGGUUCAUAAUUUUUUAGUUUUGAAAGUGAAAUAGAUUUUUUUUUUAAAUUCUUUAACAAAAGUUUAGUUGUUGAAACAAAUGUUGUCCUAUUAUUACUUGGCGUUAUUUGAAAUAUGAAAUGCAUUACUAUCUUUACUAUCUGAAAGUUGCUCUUUUUGAACCCAUUUUUCUGAAGGAAGAAAUCCAUUUUCAGCCGGAUUUGUUGUCAUUCACGAAGGAAAAUAAAGAAAGAGUGACUCUUGAAGAUUUCUCUUUAUUGGUUUGCACAAAAAAGCUGUGCAGUUAUUGGUAAAUUUAGGGGAAAAAAGGGAGAAAGGAGGCUCUUGAGUUGCCUAAUUUUUUUGGUUCUGAAUAUUGUAUGUGAAGUCAAAGGUUAAGUUGAGCAAAUAUAUCAUUUAAUAUUAGUUCUAUAGGAAAAUGUUCUCUCCAGAGUAAUUUUUCAAAAUUGUGGAAGUUAAAUUAGAACAUUGUCGGUGGGCAGUUUAUAAUUGUACAUUUAUCCGUGCUUGCUUUUCUACCUUCCAAAAGUUCUAUUAAGAAUAACCUUGUUUUUUUUUUCCUUUCCCCUUUUCUAACCUGAACAAUUGAAUAGGAUAUUUGAGCUUUGUGGAACCCCUGAUGAGAUUAAUUGGCUUGGUGUUUCCAAGAUCCCCUAGUAGAGAAAAUUUAAAUAAGAAAAUUUUUCAUAUUUUUAACAAUUUAAGACUAGACGAAAAACUUAUCCAUAUAUCAUAGCAAACAAUGUUAUUAAGAUUAAUCUCAAUGUCAUUUUCUUUUGUCAUUUUGGGAAUUUACUUAAACAUGCGCAGCGAAAAUAAAAACAAUUUAAUUUCCCACUAGGAUUCAUCUUUGUACUUAGAUAGGAACUGUGAUAAAAGUUAUACAUUUUCUUAAAUCUGCAAACUCCUUUGAGUUAUCUUUGUUCCAACAACUUGGAUCUAUCUCUCACAGCUGUCCAAUUGUCCAGGUUCCAAUGAAUUCCACAGAGAACAGUUUUCAGCUGUCAGGGUUUUCUCCUCUUGUGAUAGCAAGAAAUUAUGAGAUUCUCUACAAAUUGAAAACUCUAAUCAUAUAUUUAUAUAAGUCCAAACGGGCUUGGUUUGAUCCGGUCUAAUAUUUAAUUAAUCCACUUAAUUAAAUCCCAUUCGUGAAUUAAUUGAUCCAAUUAAUUAAUUUGGACCUAUAAAUAACGAACCCAAUUAAUUAAUUUAUCCAACGAUUGUUAAAUUAAUUAAUUGAUAAAUUGCAAUCUUCCAAUUCUCUUUUGUGUGCGACCCAUUAGGUUCCCGACCACGAUACCUAACGACGUUAAAUAUUAUUUUGAUCUAAUCAAAAUUGAUAAAUUAAAACACCCUCUAGUUUAUCACCUAUUCACACUCGUCGUCCCAGAUUGACAUCUAGCAAUGUAUCAAGGCAAUACAUGUGACGGAAAAUAUCACGUGGUAUAACAAAACCAAACUUGUUUGUUUACCAUGAAACUAUAAUCCCUUCAUCGAUAUGAUCCGAUCAAUUACGAGAUAUGGAAGUGUGUCAAUCUUGAUUAUCGAUCAUAUCUUUCAUUCUACUAUUAAAUCAACGUGAGUCGAAACCUCAUUUUCAAUUUAUGAGUAUACCUUCGCGAAUGAUUUCGUUAUUGACUUAAUUGAAAGAAAUACAGAUCACAAUCUCUUACUAUCUAAGAUUGACGAAUCCUCUAUUGGUCAUUUACAACCUUCACAUGGUUCUUGACAUACCCGAAUGAUACCGUAUUAGCAGCCCUUGGCAGUGCAACAUCCAACACUGUCAAAUUAUGACUGUCCUCAUACAAGGCACUAUGAUGACCUCAAGUCAAAAAAUCAAUUUCACUACCGAACGUUAGAGAUUAACCACUGACACUCAGAUAGUUAUCCAUGUGAAAUCUCUUAGCGAGUUUGCAAUGUUUCGUUCUAUAACAAAACAUCCACUCGUUCAUUUAAGUGUGACCACACUUUAGCUCGUGAUAUCAGCUAUUUACUUCACAAGUAAGAAAUGCCACAUAUGAUGGUCUAUCCGUAACUCAUUAUUACUUACGACCAUGGAUUAUUCAAGAUCCAAUCAUAUGUAAUUUGUAUCUCACAAUCACAACUCCUUGUGAUUGACAAAUCACUUAAAUUUGAAUAUUCAAACUCUAUUGUUUAAUAUUAUUUAUCCGAAUAUUAAUUUAAAUAAAUAAUAUAUCUUACCAAAAAUAAAUGCAUUAAACAUAUUAAAAGUGUUUACAACCUAAAUCGAUUGGAUUUAGGGCAUAACAGUUACAGCCAUAUCAAGUAUUAUAAAUCCAAAAUGUUAAUGUACCUUGUUAUGUUUUUGAGUAAUUGUCAGGCUUGUAAAAUGGCCCUCCUUAUGGGUUUAUAGAAACUUUAGGCACCUUCCUCUUACGAAGUUUUGGGUAUAAUGGUUAUUGUGAUGUUAAGAAAUUUCUAGGAGAUCCAUGCCAAUUUCUAAGAACCUGAAAUAUGCUUAAUUGUUAUUAUAAGCCUACUAAGUUGUUGAUAAGUGUAUUUUUGCACACUUAUUAGGCACUUAAUUUGAUACAAUUAUUGAUUAAAAGAAUGGAAUUCUACUCACAAUUAAGUAUUAUUUGCUUUUGUAGGCUAAAAAUUACUCAAGUAAAGAGAACAAGGCAAAAGGAGGAAAAAUGAGGAAAAAAGACUAAAAUUGUACAAAAUUGUGAAGUUGGAGGCCAAGGCAAACAAGUCAAAAAGUGGAGGAAUUGUGAUGAAAUUUAUGGAGGGCAAAAGUGAAAUGAAAGUCAAAAUUCGAGGACCAAAUUGUACAAGAUCAAAAGUUGAGGGACUUGGCUACAGAUUACACAAAUUCAACUUUUGUGGCUGCUGAAACAGAGACCCAGGCACUGCAGCGCCACUGUUCCUACACUGCAGCACCGUUUUGUAAUUAUAAAGAAAACUAGGGACCUUUUUGCUAACUUUCCAAAAGUCCAGGGACCAAAGCUGCAAUUUUCCUUAGGUUUUAAUAUAAAAACCAGAAGCUGGGCAGUUUUGGGAGAGCUUCAUUUUUUUGGGUUCCGUCUUCUGCUGGGACGAUUCUGCUUCUUCUUUCUUUCAUUUUUUUUUCUUUUGUUUUGCUUGAUAUUUUGGAGAUUCAAUAUAGAGCAACAAGGAGAUUACAUCAAGGAUUUGGCAAAACUCUUGGAGAAUCAAGUUCAUGCUUCAAAAAAGGGUUUUAUCUAUAAACUUGUAUUUUCACAAUUAUUUUGUCAUAUUUGUAAUGUAUUGCUAUAAACAUUCUCCUUUCCAUCAUAUGUAUAAAAUGGGCUAAGUAUUUCGUUGGGAUUUAUGGUAGUAGUUUGACCUAGGUUUAAUUGAUUUUCAAUAUUUGCUAUUUGAUAUUAAAUUGCCUAUUUCCAUGUGUUUCUACUAUUGUAUUUAUUGUAUUUUCAUUUAUGUGGCCAAUGAAUGAAUAUGUUUCGUGAAGUGUACAUAGUUCGAGAGAAGAUUGUACAUUUUAGACCAAAUGGUAGAAACCCUAGGUUUGUGUAGAGGAUAGACAUAUACCUCUAGCCUUAGGUGACUGUUCGUGUGAAACCCGCAAGCGUACGGGAUCGUUGUACAAGUAAUAAAAUUUAUGAGUUAAGAAUAUCGUUCCUACGAGGAAUAAGGUAUAAUAUUUAGUUAAGUAGCUUUUACUAAAUUCGAAGUAAUAUAAAAUCAAAAAAGUUGUGAUUUGUAUGUUUUCUAUGCUAAUCUUAAAUUAAGAAAGCAAAUAAAAUAUUUAUUUAAUAUGUGAAUAUUUGUAUUGGAAUCGUGAAUCCCCCUAUUGCCAUUUAAUUCAACUCUUAAUUUAUAAUAUAGUAAAUUCAUGCAUUCAAGACAAUCGAUAAUCCACUUUUAUUCAAUAUUCUUUCUCAAGAUAUAUUAAACCUAUGUUUAACACGACCCGAUCCUAUUCCUAGUCCGAAUUCAUAUGAAAAAUAUGCAUUGAUUCAUAGAAUUUAUCACACAUGAUUACACAUACCAUAGAUAUUAUUCCUAACACCUAUUGUCCAUAUGUUAAUUUUACCGCGUUCUAGAGUUAUUGUGAGUAUUCCUACACUACAACAAGCAACUUACUAUCUAAUUGGUGAUCAAGCAAUUAAAUAGUUCAAUGGGAAUGCAAAACCAAUCAAGAAAAAAAUCAUGAAAUACUAAAUUAAUUGUCUUGAAUUAAAAUAAACAAACGAUCAGGUUCAUCAUUCGUCCAAUACAAUGAAAAACUAAUAAAUCAUAUUAAUAUAUAAAUUACAAGAAGAAAAAUAGAAAAAUAUCACCCGGAUCAUGAAAGAUUACAAAAGAUGUUGAUCUUCAUGUCCAAAGUUGAAUUCUUCAAAACUUGAUGUAAUUGAACUUCAAUUUCUUGCUAUGGCUUGAUCAUCUUUCUUAAAAUAUAGCAAUUGACCCCUUGUUCUUGAUGGAUUUGAUGAAACUAUUGUGUAUGAAAAGGCAAGAGAGAGAACCUUUCAUUGAUGCCCAUAUCUUGUAUUUAUUUGAUGAAAUUAGGUCAAAAUUCACGUCCAAAUUGUCUUCUAAAGGAGUUUGAAUCAAAUAAGGAAAGUUGCUUUCGCGCGCACAUAAUUUUGUCUUUGCACAGCCUUCAGUAUUUUGAUCAUAACUUUCUCUAUCGAUAUCCGAAUUGGGUAAUUCAAAGUGCAUUGGAAAAAUAAUUAAAAUAUCUAUAAUCCUUCUGGAAAUAUAAUGUUUCCAAUUCAAACGUUCUCCAUCCGAAAAAUGGGUCUCAAGUUGACUAAAAAUCUUGAAGAUAUCCUAUAUGAUUGGAAGUCGAUUUAUGGUAAUAUUCUAAUCAUAUCCCUUUCCUUUUUUACUCCAAUUUGUAUUCAAUUGACUCCCAUCAAUCUUCAAAGUAUCUUUUAUGGACCAAAUCAACCAUUAAAUAUUUACACUUUGGUCCCCAUACAUUGGAUUUGCUUCAUUUAGCCUUUUUCCAUUAUUUUUUUCAAUUCUUCUUUGAAACGUGAACUUUUCCUAAUAAAAGUAAUAAAUAACAAAUCAAGUACUAAUACGUUCAAAAAAUAACAAAAUAUAAUCAUUUAAGAUCCCAAAUAAGUGUAGAAACUACACUUAUCAAACCCCCAAACUUGAAUUUUUAUUUGUCCUCAAACAAAACUAAAAUCCAGCAAACACACAAACACACAGUGCUAAUUACUUAAUUGGUGGCCAGUCAAUCAAGCAAUGUAAAAUGAUUUAGCUAGCUGACCCGACUUUUUAUCUCAAGAUUGAAAUCAUAAAAUCAAAUCUGUGCAUAGCUUCAAAAUCACAAUACAGAAAUUAAAAUCUACUUUUCCAAAUGUAAAAUUGACGUGUGUGUGUGUGGAGAAUUAAGCAUAUCAUCAUGAAUUCAUAAGUAGUUUCAAUUCCCGGCCCUCAAUGGUCAAAUAUGUCAUUUCCUCACUUGUAAGACUUACAUACCCCCAAACUUAUUCUUUUCGUUAUUUUCAAGUGUGUGACCUAAUGUUGAAUUUUUGUACUAUCCUCACCUCUCUAGUUUAGGUAAAUCUUACUAAUUGCAAGUCGAUAUAUCAAUAAAUAAAGAUUCUCCAUAGUUUGAUUGCUUCAAUCUCCCGAACUCAACCAGGCUAAUAAUCCUUUAUCAAAAGUUAAUUUUUUUAAACAAGUGUUUGGGACUUAGUCAAGGCAUCUAGUGCGUCUUCUGUUUCAUGCACCAAUUUUUUCCUUCCUUUUUUUGUUUCAAUUUUCAUUUCAACAUUUUUUUUGCAUCAUUCUCCCCCUUAAGCUUUCUAAAUGACCCCUUUAGCGAGGUUUAAGCCGAUAACUCCUAAGUUAGUUGAUUUUAGGGCACCAGGUUUUAACACCUCUACAGGCUUAAUAACUCGAGUCAUAAAGGCUACGAGAGCAUUUUUCAAAUAAAAUAUAUUUUUUUAUUUUUUUAUACCUUGAUUAGUGCAAUAUCCCUUAUUAAACACCCAUCCAAGUAAACCAACUUCUAACUUGAGACUUUUACCCAAUUUCAUUCUAUUGACCUUAGACAAUCCACACAAUAUUUUUUUUAAUUUUUUUUUUUAUUUUUAAUUUCACACAUGGAAUCCUCAUUUAUCUCAAAAUCUUCCUACAAUAGUGAAAUCCUCCAAAUUAUUCUAAAUUUGGUCUAAGGAUGUAACAUAUAGUCGUUUUGGGUUUAGCAUCUAUGGUCCGCUAUUUCAACCUAUCCAAUUAUAAAAUCAACUCAUUCUUACACAAUGCUUAACUUAAUUCAUGUGCUCAAUAUAUAUCAACUUCACAUGGAAAAGCAAAAAUCAACUUAAGUAUGCAGCUUAUUCACCAUUCAUAGAUCAAUUCAUAAUUCAAUAUAUACAUUAUUACCAGUCAGGCUAACUAACUCACACAAGCACACAAAAAGAAAAUAUUUUUGAAAAUUUUCAAUUUUUUUCUUUUGUCUUUUUGUAUUUUUAAUAUUUAAAACAAUAAAACACACACAAAAACACACAAAACAAAGGAAAACUCACGUUUUUCAACCCCAAACUUAAAUUAGACAUUGUCCUCAAUGUCUUAAAUCCUAUGUCCGCAUAUAAGGGGUGGGGGAAAAAAUGAAGAAAAGACUCCCCGAUAUGGCAAUGAAAUUCAAUGGCUAGCUUUUCCUUGUCUCCCGUUGUUUCCUUGGUAAUGGUUGGUUCAAGUGUUUCACAACGUCAUGUUCCUGCACAAUACAGAUAAAUAAAGCAUUAAGACACAAAAGAUCUGGAACAAGUGGUACUUGGCUCAAACAUCAAUAAACCAACAAGUAACCUAAGGAAAAAUGGAAUAUGGAUGAUAAUUCCCUAAUUAAAACCAUAAAAAUAAACUAAAUUAUCAUAUAAGUAGAAAGAAAAAUAAAUAAAAGGGAUAGAAAGAUUGGGUUACCUCCCAACAAGCGCUUGUUUAUAGUCUUUAGCUUGACUUUAUUGUUUCAGCAUCAUGGAAUUUUGAAGAAUGCUUUUGAUGCCUUGCUUAGUUUGCCCCUUUUAAUUUUGCUUCACUUUUCGUUGCUCCUACAAAUUUUAGCACUGCCCAUUCCAAUGUUAUAUGACUUGUCUAUCUCAUCCGAUUCAAAUCCAACUAUGUAGACUUCUUCCUCCUCUUCGGGAUUACUUACAAAUUCAAUGAAAGGGCAAUCAAUUAAGUCGAUGGAGUGUGAGUGAACAUCUUCUUCAUUAAUUACCUUCCCUUUAUUUUGUUUAUUUGUAAUUGAACUUUCAUCGUCUUCGUUCUCGUCUUCCAUAAUUGAUAUCUCCUCGGGUUGAAUAGCUGUUUCACAAUCUACAUCCACGGGCAAUGAAAACUCUUUUCUUUUAAACGUCUUGAGUGGAUUAUAUCCCCACCUUUUAAAUUCGAUCCAAAAUAUGCCAUCUCCCACGCACAUUUUAUUUUCAUCUAAUUUGGCAAGAUCAGUGUAGUAUUUUGCAAGUACCUCUUCGUUCAACAUGGAAGGACCAACUCCCACAAGCGUGUCUGAAGGGACACACUCGCCUAAAGGCAUGUAGUCUUCAUUAGCAUUGUCAAAUGCUAAUCUUCGACAUCGCAAGUAUUGUUGAAACUGCAGGAGCUUGAGCCUUCCUGGGUCAGUAAAUGUAUACAAGUAGUAGCCAGUAUAAUGCACUCCAUAGCAGAACUUACAAUAUAUAUCUUCUUCCUCAUCGUCCAUGUCGAGAUUAAUUAUUGCAAAAAUAAUUCUACUAUAUUAAUGUCAGAAUCUUGCAUAUGCUACUGAACAGCAUGUGGAAAGAAUAUCAAAUAAGAGAGAUUGGGGUGGGUAGCUAAAUUCAACAAAAAAAAAAUUAAUAUAGUGAAAAAAAUCGAAUCUAAUAUAAACUACUAAACUAAAAUUAAAUCCAUUAUUCCGCGGCAACGGCGCCAAAAACUUGUUCGUGUGAAACCCGCAAGCGUAUGAGAUUGUUGUACAAGUAAUAAAAUUUGUGAGUUAAGAGUAUCGUUCCCACGAGGAAUAAUGUCUAAUAUUUAGUUAAGUAGCUUUUACUAAAUUUGAAGUAAUAUAAAAUAAAAAAAGUUGUGAUUUGUAUAUUUUCUAUGCUAAUCUUAAAUUAAGAAAGCAAAUAAAAUAUUUAUUUAAUAUGUGAAUAUUUGUAUUAGAAUCGUGAAUCCCCCUAUUACCAUUUAAUUCAACUCUUAAUUUAUAAUCUAGUAAAUUCAUGAAUUCAAGACAAUCGAUAAUCCACUUUUAUUUAAUAUUCUUUCCCAAGAUAUAUUAAACAUAUGUUUAACACGAUCCAGUCCUAUUCCUAAUCCGAAUUCAUAUGAAAAACAUGCAUUGAUUCACAUGAUUUAUCACACAUGAUUGCACAUGCCAUAAAUAUUAUUUCUAAUAUCUAUUGUCCAUGUGUUGAUUUUACCGCGUUCUAGACUUAUUGUGAGUAUUCCUACACUAUAACAAGCAAUUUACUAUCUAAUUGGUGAUCAAGCAAUUAAAUAGUUCAAUGGAAAUGCAAAACCAAUCAAGAAAAAAUCAUGAAAUACUAAAUUAAUUAUCUUGAAUUAAAAUAAACAAACGAUAGGGUUCAUCAUUCAUUCAAUAUAAUGAAAAACUAGCAUAGCAUAUUAAUAUAUAAAUUACAAAAAGAAUAAUAGAAAAAUAUCACCCAAAUCAUGAAAGAAUACAAAAGAUGUCGAUCUUCACGUCUAAAGUUGAAUUCUUCAAAACUUGAUGUAAUUGAACUUCAAUUCCUUGUUAUGGCCUGAUCUUCUAUCUCAAAAUAUAGCAAUUAGCCCCUUGUUCUUGAUGGAUUUGAUGGAACUAUUGUGUAUGAAGAGGCAAGAGAGAGACUCUUUCAUUGCUGCCCAUAUCUUGUAUUUAUUUGAUGAAAAUAGGUCAAAAUUCACGUCCAAAUUGUCUUUCAAAGGAGUUUGAAUCAAAUAAGAAAAGUUGCAUUCGCGCGCACAUAUUUUUGACUCUGCACAGUUUUCAGUAUUUUGAUCAUAACUUUUUCUAUCGAUAUCCGAUUCAAGUGAUUCAAAGUGCAUUGGAAAGCUAAUUAAAAUAUCUACGACUCUUCUAGAAAUAUAAUGUUUCCAAUUCAAACGUUCUCCAUCCGAAAAAUGGGUCUCAAGUUGACCAAAAAUCUUGAGGAUAUCCUAUAUGAUUGGAAGUCGAUUUAUGGUAAUAUUCUAAUCAUAUCCCUUUCCUUUUUUACUCCAAUUUGUUUUCAAUUGACUCCCAUCAAUCUUCAAAGUAUCUUUUAUGGUCCAAAUCAACCAUUAAAUGUUUACACUUUGGUCCCCAUAUAUUGGAUUUGCUUCAUUUAGCCAUUUUCUGUUCUUUUUUUCAAUUCUUCUUUGAAACCUGAAUUUUUCCUAAUAAAAGCAAUAAAUAACAAAUUAGGUACUAAUACGUUCAAAGAAUAACAAAAUAUAAUCAUUUAGGAUCCCAAAUAAGUGUAGAAACUACACUUAUCAGUGACCCAAUGAGCUAUUUUCAUAAUAAUUUAAUGCGAUUGUUUGGUUGUAAUCGACAUAGAGAUAUAGUAGGUUAAACAAAUCAAUUAGAGUUAAUUUCACUCGAGAGAGGUAAUUAGUUAAACUGAAAAAUUGGGUCUAACAUCGUAAAUUCAUUUACUGGAAAUAAUAUUUAAAGUGUUCUGAAAAUAGGAUCAUUUAAUCUUUGGUCGUUUUCUCCCCAGUUCACUAGCCGGCUUUUUUAGUGGAUGAUACAAACAACCAAUAGAAGCAGCAAAAAUGACAAUAGAAGAACUAUCCAAUUUGUCUUAGCAUACUUCUGUAAAUUCCAUCCUGGCUCAUUUAUCUUAAUUUGUAGAUAUUGGAUUGUAUCCUUUUACCGCUUCGUUGCUAUCUAUUUCCAUGUUUCAAUGCAUGCUUUAUUAUUUCAUGGGUAAAAUAUUUCUUUCUCCUGUAAAGCUACCAUUUUUACAAAAUAUUUCUAUUAUCGUGUACGAACAUGUUGUAGACAUGCGUGAUGAGGCUAAAAUUCUAUUUUUUUUUUUUUAUUGUUUUCUUUAUGCAGUAGUAUCAACUUUUGGGAAGGAAGAAAUGUGUUCUUUCAUUCUCUCUCUUUUUUUUUUUGGGAGGGGGAAACGGGUUGGUGAUUUGGGUCAUAAAUUUAUUUGUGAUAAAUAGUCAAGUAUGAGUACUGCUUUAUCAUAGCUUGUUAGUAUGCUUUCUAUUGUGCAAGUUAGCAAUUCUUGUUAUUUUGUUGACUACUUGAAUGAUGAUACAAUCUGCUAAGAUUUCUUUAUAUCUAAACUGGAUGUAAAGUAAUUCUAUCAUUAAAUUAAUCAUGGAUUAUUCACGACACAGAAACUUUCAUCUAUAAAAGAAAACAUUUUGUCAUAAAAAAAUAGACAUUUCCAAAACUAUCUCAUGGAAUGGGACACAGUAAGCUAAACGACAUUGGUGAAGAUCUGACAGGAAAGUCCUUUCAACAGAUUUUAAGGUAGAUUUCUAUAGCAUCCUGCGACAAUGCAAUGAACCAAACGAUCAAAUUUCACCAAACACUUCGAAUUUUCAACAAAUUUUGGAAAAUCUACUAUUUCAACGCUAAUAAAAAUACAAUAAAUACAAAAUUUGUGCAACGCACAUGACAACGAUUAGUUUUUAUAGAAAAAAGAAAAAGGCAUGCAACAAAAUUUUACGGGACCAUAGAGCAACCACACACUCUCCUUAUUUUCUUCAACUCCCUCAACCUCCAUAAACCAAUUUCUAAUCCAUUUUGUUCUCAUACAUUUUCAGUAUAGUUCUCAUCUCGUUUUCUAGUUUCUCAAAGCGUGUCUUCGAUUUCAUCUUUCUAUUUUGGUUCAUAAAAAUCAUUGACCAUGGUGCCAAUUAUUAUCAGUAAUGAAGUCAAGCCAAUAACUUGUUCAACUUACUCAAUAUGCAACUACAAUUAUUCCAAUACCUAGUAUAGAUCACUUGAGACAAUCAAAAUACUCUCCCUAGGACCUACAAUUAUAAAAAAAUGGCACUUUCCUGUACUUUAGUAAUCAAAUAAUUAAUAUGGGGCAUUUGCAAAAAUGUCCAAUUUUACAUAUGUCAAUUCAAAAAGUCCAUUUUUGAUAAUCUUUGCAAAAAAGGCCAAAUUUGAUACCAAAUUCUCUACUUUACCCUUAAUGAAAGAAUAAAUAAUUUUAUAUUGCACAUGUCAAAUCACAAUUAAUGCUAGACACAGAAAUGUCGAGAACAACAUUUAAAGUGUAGAGAAAUGUCAUGUUCAGAAUGAAAUGUUAUUCUAGACAUUUAAUAUGUUGAGAACAACGUUUGAAAUGUCGAGAACAUUUAAUAUUAUGAUUUGACAUGUGUACUUUUGAAAUAUAAACAGAUUUAAUUAUCGAGAACGACAUUUGAAAUGUGAAGAAUAUCAUUUUAAUGUAACUUCUCAUGGAAGAUACUUAGGGAUACUCUCGUCCAAAUAAUUGAAAAAUGGACAUUUUUUGUAAUUUUCCUCAAUUAAAUAUUUUUCUUAAGUUUAUGUCAGACAGCCAGGAUAGUGACUCAUCAAAUAAUAAUAAUAAUAACAACAACAACAACAGCAAUAAUAAUUCCAUAAUCCAGCUCCUUGGCACUAUACUCUAAAAGCCCAAAAGGAGCAUAAAUGCCGUCUUGGCACCAGACUUAGGAAACAGUUUCUAUUGGAGUCCCAACCAUCACCACAUGGAGAUGUUCAUAUGAAAACCCAAUGUGAAAAUCACACAUAAUAGAGGAGGGAUUAGAUCUUCACUUGCCCAAAAUAUAAAUGACGGUGAUUUUAAACUAAUGAAAGAUAUGCAAUCUAUCCAACUUACAUUAAUUACCAUAGAUGAUUGGAUCAAUAAUGGAGUAAGGAGAGAAUACAAGAUGAGAAUGAAAGAUCAACUAACACGAUGAAACAAAACAAGUCAAAAGCACUAAAAGGGUAGAUGAGGAUAGAAUACAAAUUAGUUCAAUAGCGUAAAAUUUAAAGAUUGUAAAAGAUUGAUCAACUAUUAUUUCAUGUAGUCUAGUUUGACACGUCAAAGAUUGAUCAACAAUUAUUUAAUGUAGUCUAGUUUGAUGAUCCCAUUGUGUACGAUUAAGAUGUUAUUAUCCAAGAUUUUCCUCAUUUGACCAAUAGACUAACAACAUGUUAUAACCAGCAAUUUUCCACAUUGUUGUAAGCUUUAUGGUGCUACAGUGCUAAAUUUUGCAGCGCAUUCGAAGGACAUAUUCCUAGGUUUUGAUUAUUAGAUUGUCACGUAUCAAGUUGUCAGAGACUCUUGCUAAAUUCUUUAUGUCACACAAUUCCUUCCACUUUGCAAAUUAAGAAUUAGCUAAGUAGCUAUUUCAUGAUUGGAAAGAUAACUAAUUAACCUAACGAGGCCAUCAAGUAAAUAUUUUUCCAGAAGUUCAUUAUUAGCUUUAAUAUAAAACAAUGAUAAAGAGAAGAAUAUAGCGUGUGAGUUAGCUUUAAAUAUAUUUUUUUGAUUUAGAUAUAAGUUGUUUAGCUUAACAACUGAUGAGGAACUGGUUAAAAAAUUAGCAUUUGGAAUUCAAUGUGCUAUACUUCCCAAGAUCAGAAAGACCUUUGUCAUUUUCCACCGAUCAGUCACGUAGAAUUAAUUUUUAAAAAUCCUAUAAAUUUCAUUGUUCCCACUUUCCUUAUAGACCUUUGAUUUUCUUCAAAUUAAAAAAUAUACAUCACGGUUGCUUAUAUAAGAAAUUAUCUUACACUUACUGAGCACAUGAGUUUCAUCAAAGUUAAUUAAGAACUCACAAAAAUACAAAAAUCAUAAACAUAAUCACGACAAACAUUACUAGAAAUGUAGAAAAAUGUUAAUAAAGAAAAUAAAAGGCAAAUAAAGGAAACUUUAGUACCCGGAAAAACUGAAAACAGUGGAGAUCAAAGGUGUCGCUUGGAGGAGCUCGAUUCCCAAGUUAUUCUUAACAUUUAUUACAAAUAUGUUAAUUUUGCUGCGUUCUAAACUUAUUAUGAGUCUCCCAACAAUAAACAAGCGACUAAUUAUUUAGUUGUGGCCAAUCUAUUAAAUAAUACAAUGGAUAUACAAAAUUAAUUAAGAAACACAAGAAUAUAACUAAACCACUGGUUUUGAAUAAACAAAUAACCAAUAGGUUUUUAUCUCAUCCAACAUUCAAAAUUGGAUCUAUCCUAGCAUAGUUUUAAAUAAAUUAUAAGAAGAUUAAGGAAAAAAUAUCACCUGGAUCAUAUAAGAAUGCAAAAGAUGUUGAUCUUUAAGUUCAAAGUAUUUAUAUGGGUUGAAUUUAGAUCAAGAAAUCAUCUCAAAGUUGUUAUCAAUAAGAGUUUGAAUCAAGAAAGGAAACUGGCACGUCAACAUAAAAUUUGGUGAGGGCAAUGCGUAGGUAUAUCUACCACGCACGCAUGUUUGUUGAGUUGUUCUAGGUCAUGAAAUUGUUAUCUUGCUCACACACCAAAAUAGACAGAGUACGAGCUAAUUUGCGUCGUGUUGUGCCUGAAUAGCUUUUGGUAUUUUGUUCAUAACUUUUUCUCUCGGUAUCCGAUUGAGAUAAUUCAAAAUGCGUUGAAAAGAUAACUCCAAGGGCUUCAAUUUUUCUAAAAAUAUGAUUUCUCCAAUUUGAAUGUUUUCUAUCUGAAAAAAUGGUCACAAGUUGAAGCUAAAAAUUCGAAACAUAACUUUUUUUGCUGUAAAUUAAUUUGUGAGAAUGCUUCAACUAUAUUUCCCUCCCUUGACCUCCAAUUGUAUCCAAUUGACUAUAUGUGAUAUUCAAUAAUCAUUUUAUAGUUUGAAUCAAUCAUUGAAUAUUUACAUUUUGAUCCCCGAACCUUGAAUUUCUUUCGCUUUUGCUCCUUUUUGUUUCUUUCUUCCAAUUCCAUUAAUUUGUAUUGAGUUUUACCUAAUAAAUAAAAUUAACAUCUUAUUGAGUCAUAAAAAAUCAAAAUUUAUUAUAAUUAAUCUCAUUUGAUAAUCAAAUAAGUAUAAAACAUACACUUAUCACCUUGCAAGCGUAAGGCAAUUGUCUCUUGCGCACAUCUCUGAAUGCAGUAUUUUGGGACCGAUUGUCACCUUUAGGGUAUUUUUGGUCAUUUUUCAGGCAAUUUUCAUCUCUCAUCUUUAUUAUCGUCCAACUGAUCCAUAUGAUCUUCAAUCAUCAUUAAUAUUUACAAUGUGAUCCUUAAAGUUUGAAUUUUUUUUUUCAUUUUUGCCGAUUUUCAUUCAUUUCUUCCAAUCCCACUAAUCUGUACCGAGUUUUAUGUAACAAACAAGAUUAACACAAAAUUAAGAUAUAAAUUUUUACAAUCAAUAACAAAAAGUGUAAUUUAAUGACCCUUCCUCAAACCAUCUCAAAAAUAUUUAGUACCAUAGACAUGGAGCCAUAAAAUGAUCACGUCCUUCAUUUGGGUGUUGCCACUCAAAAUUGUUUUAAUAAUUGAAACGAGCUCGAGUUCGAGGUAGGGUAUGUUAGAAAUAUGAGCUAGGAUUUCGGAAUAAGUUAACCACAUUACCUAUUGAUAUGAAGAUAUUCAGAAAACACAAAGAGCCUGUUGGGGAGUGAUUUUUUCCCCCCAAAAAAUUGAUUUUUUGAUCGUUAUUUCACUAUUUCAGUCGUCAUAUUUGACUUCUUAUCUCACAGAUGGACCUCAUUUUUCUCAUAACGGUCAAAAAAUCAAUUUUCAAAAUCACUCCCAAACAGGCUCAAAAUAACUAUCCUACAGUUUUAUUUAGAAGCAGUGAAGAGAAUCCUAAAGUAUUUAAAAUAAGUUAAUUUUUAUAAUUUAGUGAACCUCCCAACAUUACAACAAGUAAUUGAUUAUCCAAAUGGUGCACAAACACUUUAAAAGUACAACGAAACAUGCAAGAUUAAUCGAAGAACACAAUAAUUAUUGGAUUGCUUUUCUUUAAAUUAAAAAUAAAUAAUCAAAGGAUUCGUCUUUAUUCAAUACAAAGGAAAAUUUAGCCUAGCAUGUUUUCUAUUAUAUUGUAAGAAGAAUAGUUAAUAGAUAUCACCCGAAACAUGAACGAAUGCAAGAGAUCUUUAUAUCCAAUUUCAAGCUUGAAAUUUUCAAGUUUUUGAAGUAAUUAACCUUAAUUUCUUGCUUUGUUGAUCUUCUCCCCCCAAAAUAUAUGAUGUGGCUUCUUGUUCUUCAAUGAUAUUAUGAUAUGAUAAUGGAUUAAGAGGCAAAAGAGACAUCCCUAAUGUUUAGCCCUUAUUUUGUAUUUAAUUGUCAUAGGAUUUAGGUUAGGAAAUGACCCCAAAACUUGUUUCAAAAGAGUUCAUAUCAAAGAAGGAAAAUAGUCGGAUCUGCGAAAAAUGUCCAUGUGCACAUAUCCUCAUCCUUAUCACGUGCACAUGGAGGAAGCAUUUUGCUUUCGGAUUGUAUAAAAAAUAGUUCUUUGUGUUCGUGCCAAACUUACAAGUAUAGGGGAUCAUUGAUAAGUAAUAGAUUUAAUGAGUUGAGAGUGUCGUCUUACAAGGAAUAUUAGUGGUGUAAGCAGUUUGGUUUUACUGAUUUUUGACAAAAUUUUAAACCAAACCAUUAAAACCUGUUUGAGAAAAACUCAAACCUAAAUCAAACCAUUUUGAAUGGUUUGAAAGAAAACUCAAACCUAAAUCUAACGGUUUGGUCCGAUUUUAAACCGUCAAUUUCGUAGCAUAUUUUUUGGUCUGUCUACUUUUAUGACGUUAAUUCAUUGAAUUCAAUAUAUAUUUAUAACUUACAAGCAAUAAAUCUAAAACAAUCUAAGCCCUUGUUUGAACCAAAUUUUUGGGGGAAAAAUGAAAAUUUGGACCAUUAUUCCAUAAGUCCAACCGUAUAUGUUGACUUGUUGUUUCAUACGUGGGAUCCAACCUUCUCUCCAAUGGUCAAUUUUCUCAUUAUGAUAACAUGAAAAAUAUGGCUCGAAUAGGGGCUAAAUAUCUACUAUAAAUUUGUAUAUCUAAAAUAAAGUGAAAUCACAAUAAAUUAAAAUAUAAUUUUUUUUGUUCACAUUUUUUAGGCUAAUGAUAUUAUGAUAAUGUUACAAUACAUGUCUAAUAAAUGAGAUAUAAGGCCCAAAAAACAGAUAUAAGGCCCAAAAAACAUAACGACAUCCAAUAAGAUCUCGUGAUCAUCAUAUCUUAAAAAAAGAUUACUAAUUAGACAAAGAGAAUAACCAACCACAAUAAUAAAAUAGUUGUUUAUAAUAUCUAAACAUAACAAUUAUGCAAGCUUAGGUUUGUAUGUUGUUAUGAAACGCAUUUAAUUUCAAAUUCUUACCUCAUUUUGCUCAAAAAAAUUAUUGAUUUGAAACUUUAUUCGUAGCAAAUAUUAUCACCGAAGGCCUAGGAUCUUUUUAUCUUCGAUUUGGUGUAAUGGACUACAAUUCAACUUUGAAGAGGCGUAAAAAAUCUGAAGAAAUGUGUGUGUGGUGCCGGUGGCUCAAAACUGUGUCGGAUGUUGGCUGGAGUUCAUCUGAAUUCUGAAUAGAAAAAUGAUUUUUGAUAGAAUAUGUUAGUUUUGAGAUUAUUAUAUAUAAAUUAGGAUUAUUAGAUGAUAAUAAUAAUAUAAAUGUAUUAGAAAAUUAGAAAUCGACAAAAAUAUCUACAAAUGACAAAAUUAAUGAAUUUUUUACAUAUGUGGAUGAAUUUUCAAGAAAAUUCAUUUUUUUUUUUUUUUUAUAUAUUUUUUGCCAAUCCGGUUUGGUUUUAAACCACAAUUAAAAUUCUCAAACCUAAACCAAACAAUUUUGACCGAUUUGGUUUGGUUCAGAACCAUUUCAUUAAUCGGGUCCACGUGGCACCAAACCAACUGUUUCUAAAAUGUGGUUUCGAUUCGAUUUUUCGAUUUUACAGUUUUUGAAUUAUGUAAAACAAAAAGAGAUUUUGAUUUGAUUUUUGCUAAAUUAAUCUAAGUGAGUAAUAAAAGUUUGGUUUUUAUCAUAUUAUGGAUAAUUGAUAGGAUUUAGAAUCCACCUAUUUUUAUCAAUUUCAAUUCUUGAUUUGUAAUCUAAUCACGUUCAUGUGUUCUUGACAAUCGAUAAAGUUAUUGUAUUUAACUUUUUUUUUAAGACAAAUUAAUUCUAUCUUGACCACGACUCGAAUUUAUUCCUAUCCCAAAUUUGAAUUGUUAAAACGCUUUAAAUUUUAGAUUACUUAUAUGAUUGCACUAGUAAUAAAUGUUAUUCUUAAUAUCUAUUAUAAAUAUGAUAAUUUUGUCGCGUUCUAAACUUAUUUUGAAUCUCCCAAUAGUAAACAAGCAACUAAUUAUUUAAUUGUGGCCAAUUAAUUAAAUAAUUCAAAAGGUAUUCAAAAUUAAUCAAGAAAUGCAAGAAUUAAACUAAACUGCUAGUCUUGAAUUUCAAAUAAAUAAACAAUAUGAUUCAUCACAUCCAAUAUAAAAAAUGGAUCUAUCCUAGCAUAGAUUUAAAUAAAUCACAAGAAUAAAUGAGAAAAUAUGACUCAGAUCAUGAAAUGAUACAAAAGAUGUUGAUCUUCAAGUCGAAAGUUGAAUUCUUCAAUUUCUUGAUGUAAUUGACCUUUAAUUCUUAUUAGGGCUUGAUUCUCCCAAAAGUAAUGAAUUGUACUUAAUAAAUUUGAUUAUAUUAUUGUGUAUAAAGAGGUGAGAGAGUUCUCUCACGUGUCUCUCAACAUCUGUAUUUAUUAGGAUCGAAUUUAAAUCAAGAAAUAGUCCCAAAAUUGUUACGAAUGAGAGUUUGAAUUAUGAAAGGCAUCUGGGCCAUCAGCAGAAAAUUUGGCUAGGGCAUGUGUAGGUAUAUCUACUGCGCACACAGGCAUGCUGACUUGCUCCAAGGUCAAGAAAUUGAUGUCUUGCGCUAGUGCGCGUUGGUUUGCUUUGUGUCAUCUGUGAGUAACCUUUGGUAUUUUGGUCAUUACUUUCUCUCUCAAAAUCUGAUUAAGAUGAUCUAAAAUGCGUUUCAAAGAUAACUCCGAGAGCUAUAAUUCUUAUAGCAUACAAAUUCUCAAAUUCGAACUUUUGCUAUCUGAAAAAUGGAUCUCAUGUUGAUGCUAAAAAUUCAGAGCAUAGUUUUUUUGUCUAAAAAUUGAUUUGCAAGAAUACUUUGUCUAUAUUUCACUCAUUUAGCCUCUAGUUUCAUACAAUUAAUCAUAUGUGAUAUUCAAUGAUCAUUUUAUAGUCCAAAUCAACAAUUGAAUAUUUACACUUUGAUCCUUGAACUUUGAAUCUCUUUCACUUUUGCUUUUUGUUUCUUUCUUCCAAUUCAAUUAGUUUGCCUCAAGUUUAACCAUAGAGUUGAAAAGAGCUCAAGUUUGAGUACGGGAAUGUUAGAAACAUGAACUAGGAUUUCGGAAGAAGGUAACCACAUAACCCAUUGAGAUGACGGCAUUCAGAAAACUUAAAAUAACUUUCGUAACAUUUUUAUUUAGAAGUGGCGAAGAGAAUACUAAGGUAUUUAAAAUAUGUUAAUUUUUAUUAUUUAGUGGACAGAGUGGGAGAGCCUAGGACUUUGAUUGAUUUAUUUACUAAUUGUUUAGUCAUAGUUCAAAAUAAUUCUUAAUUUGUCGUUUUAUUUGAUUAAUUCGGGGGGCAAUAUUAAAGUUGUUUAAUUAUCAAGCUUCUUGUAGCUUUUGGUAUUUAUUUCUCGGUCGCUUUUGGUUGAAUUUGGAUAAAUUAAUAAACAAUUUGGGCAAUUGUUUUUCAACUUCAAGAUACGUUAUACGAUAUCGUAGUUCUACAGAAGAAAAAGACAGAUGAAAAACUCAUAUUAAUGAAAAAUUAAGCUAAACUAUCUAUGAUUUGGGCUUGUUUGUUUCCCCUUUUUUUAAUUGCAUUCAUCCGACACUAACAUGACAUUUUAUUGUAGCAUUUAUUGUUUUCUUCUUCACUUUCCCUACCCUGCCUUUCUCUCCAAGAACACUACUUUUUACUACAUUCCUCAAUAUUGGAUAAAAGAGUGAGCAUAGAAAAAAUUACAAAAAUGACAACUACAGGUAUUCAAACCAAUGACGUAAAUGGUGGGACCCAUAAUGUGAUGUGAAAAUGAAAUCCUACAAUUUCAGAAUUGGAAACAAAUGAAGACUUAAUUUGAUAACCAUUAAUUACUUUCAGUACUAAACAUAAUGAAAUCAUAAAAUUCUUUAUAUUUGAUUAAUAUUCAAUUAAUACAUCUUUUCUCCAAGGCCUUUUUAAUUUGAUCCUAAACUUACCCCCUCAUCAAAAUUAUCUAGGAACUAUCAAUGCCCUACACAUGUAGUAUGCCUUGUGCUGCAUAGUCACAAACCAAAAACGAUGAAAAACUACGAUGAGCUCGAGUUUGAGUUUGGGAUAUCUCAUAUAACCACCUUGCCUUUUAUGUGUGAAUUGGAGACCCCUAUUUUCUUGUACUUUUGUCUUUACUUCAUUUUCUAACUUGAUUUCCAAUUAUCUCUCAUUUUGUUGGUCCACUCUAAAGGAGGUAGACCCCUUCAUUUUAACUUUUCAUCAUUUCUCUUCAUUUUCCUCUAACUCUUUUAGCACGAAAGCCUCGAUCGAAAUUGAGUUAUCUAAAUCAUAUUUUUCAUUCUCAUUUAACCAUACAUUUUAGGGGACUUGCAAACUUAUGAUCUUAAAAACUUUUCUGAAUUGGACUUAUGUAAAACUAAAAUUUUAUCUUGAACUAUGAUUUAGAUUGUAUUAGUCCAUUUAGAAUUGUAGUAAAUUCUAUAAAACUAGAUAAUAUUAUAAAUAAUAAUUAAGAGUUUAUUAGUAUAUCUUUUCGAUUGACACAAAUUUGUCACCGAGUCUCACAAAGCUCCUUGUAAAUUAAGAGUUGACUGACAAAGAUUUUGAUGAAAGUUUUAACAAAUUUUGAUAAAUUUAAAUAAGACGCGUAAUUAAAAAUUUGAUAAAAAUUGUGGAUCACUUGAAAUUUAAUUAAUUCAAUUUGUAAAUGAUUACGUACACACGAUGCCAACUUCCCAACACUAGGAUGGAUACAUGCAAGCAAUUUCCAAGAAACUAUAGGGCCGUCGAUCUUUCACUCUGAAUAACGUCGUCUUAAAAUAUUCAUCUCAUCUCGUCUAUAUAUGGAGAAAAAUUGACUUCUUUUCGUUCAAUAUCGUACGUUUGACAUCAGAGUCACGGACUCCCGUUACAAAAUUAUGAAGGAAAAUAACCACCUUGUAUCUUAAUUUUUGUGACUUGAAUGGACGAAUUUUUCCCAUGUCCUUGUGUAUAUUGUUGUUCAGUAAAAUUUCGAGAGCAUAUGUGAUCGUUGACAAAUAAUAUAUUUAGUGAGUUGACAGUAUCGUUCCAUAGAAAAUAAUUUUGAAUUCAAGUUUACUAGUUUUUAUAGAAUUCGAAUUAUGUAAACAAAACAGAGAUUUUGAUUUGAUUUUAUGUUAAAUUAUAUAAGAACUUGGUAAAAAGUUUUUUGGUAUUAAAUUAUGGAUGAUUGUGAAGAGCAAGCAGUUGUCGUUGUAGUGUAUUUUAAGAAAGGGAAAUAAAUAUUAGAAUAAAUCUCUCUGUCCCGGGUUGGGGACAGGGUUAAAAACAAGGGCGCCACAUGUUUUUAACCUUGUCCCCAACCCGAGACAGGGAGUACGGCUGUAAAUAUUAAAUGUAGUUUAAUAUUCAAAGUAAUACAUAUUUUAUAAAGCUUUAUUCCUUCUAAAACUCCAUAUAUCCAACGAAGUAUAAUUUGAUUAAUCAGUAGCAUAACCAUAUAGCAUGUAACUUUGACGCUAUGUCCUUGAUCUGCAUAGUCGGAACACGAAAAUGACGAAAAUCUAUCAUAUGCUUAGAUUUGAAAUCGGGAUAUCUCCAACACGAAAAUUGAAUUCUUAAAACAACUUUCUUUUGCUUCUUCUUUACUUCAUUUUCCAAUAUGUCUUUAUCAAGGAUUUUCCUCUUCUUUUACAUAUACAUACAUGACCACCACCAAUNUAUAAGAUUAUCAAACUUUAUUUUUAAUUGUAUAUUUCACCGGACUCAUUUUAUCCAUACAUUUGUUCAAAAUUUUAUCAAAAUUGGCUAAAACUUGUAAUGAGUGUUUAUAAAAUUGAUAAAAGUUGUAGGUGUUAUAAAAUAUAUUAAAAUUGAAAUUGGAUCUAAAUAAAACUUGAUAAAAUUUGGGCAAACCUUUAUGAAACAAACACUAAAUAGAAUAUAUGUAUGUUUUAAGUUGUCAAGGGGACAUAUCUUUUCAUUCAAUUUAUGUUUAAGUUGUCAAGGGGACAUGUAUUUUCAUUCUCUAUUUCCUAAAUUUGUACAAGAGUUUCGUUAAAAUUUAUACGCAAGCAAUUUUCAUGAAAUUACUGUAAGUAUUAUGUCCUAGGUCCAAUCAACUUUGGACAUAAAUAUUUUUAUAUAUAAUUAAUGCAAUUAAAUGGCAGAUCUAUUAUUUAAUUAAUAGACAAUUAAAUAAAUAAUAGAGUCCGUAGAUUCAAAUAUUUGUAAUUUGUUAAUCACAAGGAGUUGUGAUUGUGAGAUACAAAUUACAUCUGAUUAAAUCUUAAAUCAUCCGUGGUCGUAAGUAAUAACGAAAUACGGAUAUCGUUAUUACGGAUAGAUCAUCACGUGUGGCAUUUCUUACUUGUGAAGUAAGUAGCUGAUCUCACAAGCUAAAGUGUGGUGACACUUAAAUGAACACGUGGAUGUUUUUGUUAUAGAACAAAACAUUGGAGACCCGUCGAGAGAUUCCACAUGGAUAACUAUCUAAGUGUCAGUAGUUAAUCUCUAACGUUCGGUAGUGAAAUUGGUCCUUUGACUUAAGGUUGUCAUGGUACCUUAUAUGAGGACAGUCAUACUUUGACGGUGUUGGAUGUUACUCUGAAAAGGGCCGCUAAUACGACAUCGUUUGGGUACGUCAAGAAUCGCAUGAAGGUUGUGAUUGAUCAAUAAAGGAUUCGUCACUCUUAGAUAGUAGGAGAUUAUGAUCUGCGUUUUAUUCAAUUAAGUCAAUGAUGAAAUUCUUGGCCAAUGUGUACUCAUAAGUCGAAAAUGAGUUUUCGAUUUAUAUUGACUUAAUAGUGGAGUGAAAGAUAUGAUCGAUGAUCGAGAUUGACACAACUUCAUAUCUCGUAAUUGAUCGGAUCAUACUGACGAAGGGAUUAUAGUUUCACGGUAAACGAACGAGUUUGGUUUUAUCAUACCACGUGACAUUUCCCGUCACAUGUAUUGCCCUGACACAUUGCUAGAUGUCAAUCAGGGACGGCGAAUGUGAAUUGACGAUAAAUUAAAAGGGUGUUUUAAUUUAUCAAUUUUGAUUAGAUCAAAAUAAUAUUUCACGUCAUUGGGUAUCGUGGUCGGGAACCUAAUGGGUCACACAUAAAAGAGAAUUGGAAGAUUGCAAAUUACCAAUUGAUUAAUUUAACAAUCGUUGGAUAAAUUAAUUAAUUAGAUUUGUUAUUUAUAUUUUCGAAUUAAUUAAUUGAAUUAAUUAAUUCACGGACCGGGUUUAAUUAAUUGGAUUAAUUAAUUAUUGGACCGGAUCGAGCCGAGCCGAGCCUGUUUGGGUUUAUAUAAAUAACAAACUAGGGUUUGAGGUCCAUUAGGUUUUCAUUAUUCUUGCUGGCGCAAGAGAAAAUCCUAGAGGCUGCAAUCAUAUUCUCUCUGUGGAUCACCGUUGGAGGCUGGACAAUUGGACAGCUGUGGUGGCGAGUCAAGGUUGUGGAACGAAAAGAAAAGCAAAAAGAUUGCAGAUCUGGAAAAGGUACAAUCUUAUCACAAUUUCUAUCUAAACACAAAGGCGAUUCUUGGUGGGAAUCGAAAAUUAUUUUAAAUUCCGCUGUGCAUGUAUAAGUAGAUUCCCAACAAUUACAGGGCUACCGAUCUUUCACAUUAAAUUGUCUUCAUACAAAUAUAAAUCUCUCAUCUAUAUAUACAUUAACAUUGGGCCUCUUUUGAUUUACACUACCUAUUUCUUUCUCAAACUGUCGGAGUGACGAAGGAGUUGAUAAUCUACCGACAUGGAGCAGAAUGGGAUGGAUUACAAGGCCAAGAAGUUGAUCAGUUCUGACUACCCCAACACUACAUUUUUUGAGAGUAGCAGCAAAUUCAAAACAUACCUUUUUGUUACUCCGGUUCGAUCAGGAGCCGUCAAACGCAGAAUCUUUACAGUCAUCUUCAGCAAAUUAAUAAGUUUCUUGCAAAUCGCGUUUCCCUGCAUGUUUUCUGGAUCAUGAAAACAUGCAUGCAUACCAGCAAGCUUAGGAAAUAAUAAUCUAUUUCUUUGAUUUUCUGCAAGUAAUUGAUCUGUUCAGUUUUGAUAUGGUUAGUUCUUUGUUGUUGGAGGCUAUGUUUUAGCUGAUAUUUUGUAUGCACCGUUGGCAGUUUCAAUUUUUAAAAUUUAAAUAAUUCUUUCUCCUCUUUUUUCUUUCUUUGGGCAUACUACCAUCCAUUUGUUUGAUUCUUUCUUCAAUUUUCAGAAAUUAUAGAAAUUUGUCUUUGCACUAGGCUAAGCUGAGCCAGCUCGUUCCUUAGACGCAUGAGCUAGGGUAGAGUUGAAUUCGACUCGUGUUCACAAUCAAGACUUGGUUCGGCCCUAUUGCCGAUCAUGGGUCGAGUUGAGCAGUCCACAAACCCGUGACCCAUCAAAUGGAGAACAAGAAACGAAUUCCUAAAUGUUUAUCAAAAGGUUAAAACUCUACUGGUUAUCACUAAAAUUAUGUAUUUGUUUCAAUUAUAUCACUAUCUACGGAAGUAAUGAUUCUGUUGAUGUAUUAAAAGAUGAAGCCUUAGGUGGUAAAUGAUACUCACAAAUGCACCCCCCCCCCCCAAAAAAAAAAAAAAAUAAAAAAAUUGAUGAAAAGAAAAUCAACCAAAAUUGAAUAAAUUGUCUGAGCACCGGGGUUAAAUUGGGGGGGGGGGGGGGGGAAAAUGUGGGGGGGGGGGGGGGGGGGGGGGUGAAACGUGCAAUUAAAUUCACUAGAAAAAGAAAUGCAUGUUGAUGAAGCUUUUCUUUAUCUUAGAACAGCUCUAAUGCAACAACAAAUUACUCAUAAAUUUUACAGCAUAAACAAAAAUAAAUAGUUUUUAAAAACAAUCUCUAAGAAGAAAAAAAUGUCUUGAUGGACGUCUAGAUGUAUGGUUAUUGUUAGACAUGCUUCUCAACAAUUUAAUUAAUUCUGUUUCUAUUUUUAGAAUAUUAGAUUUUCUUUCACUUCCGCUUUAUUUUAUUAUCUUUUUCUUAAUUUAAUGAAAGACAUAUGUAGGCAAAAAUUUUGAUGGAACGCAUUGGUACGAAUUUUACACUUAAUCACCUAUUCAUUAGACAUCAAUGCUAUGUUGAUUGAAAACUCUUCUAUUUGAAUGUCACAUAAAUUGCAAUCCAUAUAAUGCAUCAUCAUUUUGUGUUGUAAGUAGCACUUUCGAAAAGAGUUUGUAUGAUUCAUAUAUCAAAUACUAAUAUUAUAUAAUAAAUUCGAUCUUCAUAGUCACUACGUUAAUGAAAAGAAAUGUUCACAAACAUUACAUGUGACAUUGAUGUCAUCCUGGGAUAGAACUAUAAAGAAAAAUUAUCACUUUGCAUCUUUACUUUUUGGCUUGAACUAUAAAGAAAAAUUAACAAGCAUGGGUUUCAUUCCGGUUGAUGGUAGGUUCUUGAGUGCCUUGCUUUUGAUUUCACAUUUGCACGCACCUUUUGUAAGUGUUAUGUCCUAGAUUCAAUUAACUUUGGACAUAAAUACUUUUCUUAUAUAAUUGAUGCAUUGUAUAAUAGAUUUAUUUAAUUAAUAUUCAAUUAAAUUAAAUAGAGUCCGUAGAUUCAAUCUUGAUAAUUUGCUAAUUACAAAGAGUUGUGUUUGUGAGAAACAAAUUACAUAUGAUUGAAUCUUAAAUCGUCCGUGAUCGUAAGUAAUAAUGAGAUACAGAUAUCGCUAUUACGGAUAGACCAUCACGUGUGGCAUUUAUUACUUGUCAAGUAAGUAGCUGAUCUCACAAGCUACAGUGUGGUGACACUUAAAUGAACACAUGAAUGUUUUGUUAUAAAAUAAAAUAUUGGAGACCCAUCGAGAGAUUCCACAUGGAUAACUAUCUGAGUGUCAGUGGUUAAUCCAUAAUGUUCGGUGGUGAGAUUGGUCCUUUGACUUGAGGUCGUCAUAGUACCUUAUAUGAGAACAAUCUUGUUUUGACGGUAUUGGAUUUUUUCUGCCAAGGGCCGUUGAUAUGGCAUCGUUCAGGUAUGUCUAGAAUCAUAUGAAGGUUGUGAAUGAUCAAUAGAGGAUUCGUUACUCUUAAAUAGUAAGAGACUAUGAUUUGUACUUCAUUCAAUUAAGUCGAUAACGAAAUCCUUGGUCAAGGUGUACUCAUAAGUCAAAAAAGAGUUUUCGCCUUAUAUUGACUUAAUAGUGAAGUGAAAGAUAUAAUGGAUAAUCGAGAUUGACAUACUUUCAUAUUUCGUAAUCGAUCGGAUCAUAUUGACGAAUGGAUUAUAGCAUCACGGUAAACGAACAAGUUUGGUUUUGUCAUACCACGUGACAUUUCUCAUCACAUGUAUUUCCCUAACACAUUGCUAAAUGUCAAUCUGGAACUGCGAGUGUGAAUUGGUGAUAAAUUAAAAAGGUGCUUUAAUUUAUCAAUUUUGAUUAGAUCAAAAUAAUAUUUCAUGUCAUUAAGUAUCGUGAUCGAGAACAUGAUGGGGUGCACACUAAAUGAGAACUGGAAGAUUGUCAAUUAAUUAAUUUAACAAGCGUUGGAUAAAUUAAUUAAUUGAGUUAUUUAUUUAUAGGCCUGAAUUAAUUAAUUGGAUUAAUUAAUUCACGAAUUGAAUUUAAUUAAAUGAGUUAAUUAAAUAUUGGAUCGAGUCAGGCCAAGCCUGUUCGAGCUUAUAUAAAUACGGCUAGAGUUUUCAAAAUCUGGAGAAAAUUCAUUAUUCUUGCUAACACAAAAAGAAAACAUUAAUCCUGUAAUCUUGUUCUUUGUGUGGAUCACCGUUAGACAACUGAACAACUGUGGGUGACAAAUCAAAGUUGUUGGAAUGAAAAGAAUGGUAAAAGGUUUGCAGAAUUUUUCAAAGGUUCAUCUUUUAUCACAAUUUUUAUCUAAACAAAAAAACGAUUUCUGAUGGGAAUUAAAAUUAUUUUAUUUUCAGCUGCGCAUAUUUAAGUAGAUUCCCAACAGUGGUAUCAGAGCCAACUUUGUAUUUGUUAGAAAUUGAAUUACCUGUUGAAGAAAUCAAAAGUUGAUUUUGUUCUUCUCUUGUUUCUAGCAAUUAGAAGAAAAUUAGAUUUUCAAAUUUUAAAAUCUAUUUUGACAAGAAAAUCAAUUUUUUGAUCAAAAGUGGAUAGGAAUUAAUAACUUGCUGUGGUGGUGAUCGACGGCUGCAACUGUUGCCGACGAAGCACGAGGGCACUGCCGCACGUGAGCACCGUGCUCGCUGUCCAGUGGCGACAGGCGUGCGCUACCGCACACGGCCACCGUGCUUGCUGUCCAGGAGUUGCUUGUUGCCGCUACAGUAGCAAUGAGGUAGCAGUGCAUAUCGCUGUUGCUGCUUGCACUUGCUGUCGAAGGGUGGCGUCGGCGCACGGGCAGGUUGAAAAUGAAGGCAUCGACACCAAUGAAAGAGGAAAGAGAAAUAAUUUAGGGUUUCAAUUACUUGGAACAGGUGGAGAGUUUUGGGUACGGGGGCUUGUCACGCAAUUUAUGAAAUUGCAGGCCCCCGCCUACAAUUAUGUAAAGAGUCAUUUUGCAAUUUUAAAUGAAGGAGCUAUGUUGGAAAUUUUUAAUAGGGUCAAAAUUGCUAUUUUAAAAUAAAGGGCCUUCUUGCAAUUUGAGAAGUUGAGGGGCCUUGUUAAUAAAUUUUAAUUGGGUCAAAUUGCAAUUUCCAAAAUGAUUUUGAAUUUGAAUUUUAAAAUUAUAUUUUAAGUGGGUUCAACCCAUAAUUUUAAUUUUGACCCAAAUUAAUAUUUUUAUUUAAAAUUGACGCCUUUUCAUAUUUUAGUUAAAAUAUGAUUUUAACUUAAAUAUUAAAUUUGACCCUAAAUUGAAUUUUAUUUUAUUUACGAGUGUUAUUCCAGAUUAAAAUAUUAAUUCAAUUUAAAUUAGAGUUGGACUCUAAUUUAAUACUUAAUUAAAAUUUGAUUUUGAUUAAUUUUUCUCCCAAAUACAUUCUUUAAAUUAGAAUUAGAUUCUGAUGUGAUAUUUAACUAAAAUUUGAUUUUAAUUAAAUUGUCUUGUCCUAAAAUUUUUCUUAAAAUUAGAGUUGGACUCUAAUAUAUUGUUUAAUUAAAAUUUGAUUUUAAUUAAAUAAGUUUGCCCUUAAAUCUUGGAGUUAGAGUUGGACUCUAAUUUUGCUAUUUAAUUAAAAUUUGAUUCUAAUUAAAUAAUCUCGCCCUAUAAUGUGGAAUUAAAGUUGGACUCUAAUUCGAUAUUUAAUUAAAAUUUGAUUUUAAUUAAAUAUGCCCGUCAAUUAAAUUAAUUAAUUAAUAUGAUUAAUUAAUUAUUUAACUAUUGCGAUUGAUUUGUCUAAAAGAGUAUUGACAACCUUAAUUGCUAGAAACUAGAAACAUAUUUGCAUAUAAUAUUAGAUAUUAUAUAGGCAUACAUUUAUGUGAUGAAUGUAUUAUUAGUGGACGAUUAUGGAUUCGACCAUAUGGAUGUGUUUAAUGGUUAAUUUUAUUCUUGUUGUUUUAUGAGCCUGCGAGCUCUUAAUUGUUUUGGGCUUACGAGCUCGUUAUUAUUGUUAUUAUUAUGGGCAUGCGGGCUUUUAAUCAUUUUGAACCUGCGAGUCCGUUAUUGUUAUUGUUACUAUGGGUCUGCGAGUUCAAUUUCAUUUAGACUUAUGUGCCAACUAGUAUAUGAUACAUAUUGCAUUUGGACUAAUUGAAGAAUCAAGAACAGGAGGAGACCAGAGAGAUGGAGCAUUGUAUGAGUCAAUGCAAUACCCCCUAGGAAUUGACCAAUUAGUCUUCCUCAUGGCUCGGAGAGACUAGAUAGUAAAAAUCCAUAAUCGUCCACACUAUUAUACUAUAUUAUAUAUGUUUAUUUGUAUGGUAGAUUAUAAUAAAAUAUAUAUAAUUGUUACGAUGAGGCUUUUGAAUGCAAAAUCCCUCCAUAAAAUAUUAAGUCAAUUUAUUAUUCGUCUUCCAUCAUUAUAGUGAAAAAUCAGAGUCCCAAAUCGUCUCAACUUGUUGAGUACACUCAAUGCUGGUCUAUUAGAGAUAUGUUUGACACUAUGAAAUAUUAGAUAUUUCUAAAUGAUGGGUUUGAUUUAACUAAAAUUUAUUUUUUGUUGAAUACACUCAAUAAGAUCAAUUUUAAAGGCAUGUUAAGCUAACACAUAAGAUGUGUUAAGAUAAAGAGUUGUCAGCUUAAUGAUCUGGGAGUUGUAUGUGAUACAAUUGAUAAUAGUAUCUACCCAUAUGUUAUAUUAAGGUUUGUUGAGUACACUCAAGGUCUUGGUAUAACAGAUGAGAUCCCAGCCCACCAGAAGUCAAGUUUAUGCUCCAUAAAUUUAUGUGAGGGGGUCAUAAAUUUGAAUUAAACAGUGGGAGCAUAAUUAUUUUAAUAAAAGUCCAUGUUAAAUUAAUUAAUGCAUUUUAUAUAUUAUUCUUUUUCCUUUUCAUCUUUUAUAUUUAUUGAAUUGUGAGUAACCAUGUGUAUUAGAUUGGCAUAAUGGAUCCCAACAACCAAAUUGAAUCUUCUUGAUUGGCACCACAAUUUGAGAAUUGUUCUCAGGCAUGGGAAAGUUGGUUGUCCUUAAGCAGCCCUUUCCAAAGACACCUGGUGAUGACUCAAUUAAGAAAAAUGUUGUUACUAUAAUAACACAGUGAUGACAAUAGUACUAUAACAUGUGUGAUGUUUGCAUUACGUCACCUGAGUUACGAAAGCAACAUGAGAGUAUAAUUGCUAGCACAUGAUUUUUCAUUUCAAAGAGUUGUGUGAUAAUAAUCAUAUGUGGAAGAAUAUGAGACUUCCAAACAACAAUACCGAUGAAAAAUGACAGAUGAACCUUUAGUCAGUGCUCGUGUACUGAAGAUGAUUGACAUUGAGAAGUAGUCUCAAUUAGGUUCAAUCAUGAACUAUGAACUAAGUAUUGACUUAGUUUUGCAAUCUCUGUCAUAUAGUUAUUCAUACUAAUUAUGAAUUAUGAUAUGAAUAAGCUCAAAUGCAUACUCAUUAAGUUAAGCACCUGCUUAAGACUAUUAAGCUCGAUAUCAAAGUUAGUAGUGGGCAAAGCAUUGAUUCUUCUAAGAGUGUUAAGAUGAAAUCUAAAGGGGCUUUGGGAAAACAUUCAAUAUGGUUAAGACAGUCUAAGUGAAAGACAAUACCAAAUCUAAUGACCCUUGUUUUCAUUAUAAAAUGAAAGAUCAUUGGAAGAAAUAUUGCAAGGCUUACGUCUACUUCAUGAAUUUCUUAGGUAUUUGAUACCAGAUAUGGAUCUCAUAUUCAUAGAAAUAUGGGGAAACUAAAUAGAAGUAGACUACUGCAAAAGAAAGAAGUUGAUCUACACGUUGAAAAUGAGCAAAGGUUGCUGCAUUGCCCGUAGGAGCAUACUUCUUGCCGUUGCCUUUUGGCUUUGUAUUAGAGUUAGAGAAAUGUUACUUUGUACCCACCAUAGCUGAAAUAUUAAGAUGUAUUUCAAGUUCAAACAUGAACUAUUUGAAUGUUAAGGACAAUUGUUGUUCCUACUUAUCUUAAUUAAGAUCUUAAUGAUUAUGGUAAGUUACAAAAAUAAUAUUUAUAUUCUAAACACUAAGUAUUCUAUAAUGAGUAUAGAAGUUAAGAGGCAUAAAAGUAAUAAUCUGAAUAAUGCCCAAAACUGGCAUUGUAGAUGUGGUCAUGUAGAUGAAAUGCAAUUCCAAAAUUACAUAGAGAUGUAUACAUGGAGUCAAUUAAUUUGAAUCAUUUGACAAGUGCAAAUCAUGCUUGUUAGGCACAAUGACCAAAUCUCCUUUUACUUGAAAGGGAGAAAUAUCUGCAUGAUUACUGGUUUAAUGCAUAAGUGAUGUAUGUAGACCCAUGUCAAUUAAUGCUAGAUAAAGUUUCUCUUAUUUCAUCAAUGAUCAUGUAUACUUAAUGAAACUCAAACAUGAAACUCUUGAAAAGUUCAAGAGAUUCAAACUAGAAGUAGAGAAACAAAUAGGUAAAGAUAUCUUCACGUCAAGAUCCGAUCGAGAUGGGAAUAUCUUAAAGAUGAAAUUCUAGAUUAUCUAAGAGAAAAUGCGAUUAUCUUGCAGUAGACUCCUCCAUAUACACUACAGCAGUGGUGUAUCUAAAAAGAUGAAUUGUUAACUAUUACAUAUAGUACGAUUAAUAAUAAGCCAUGCAAACUUCUCAAAAUCGUUUUGGGGUCAUACACUGAUUGCAAUGUGCUGCACACUAAAUCAUGUUCCAUCUAAAUUGGUCAACAAAACUCCAUACGAGUUAUAUAAAAGCAAUAGUCCCAAUUUAUCUCAUAUGAAAGUUUGGGACUAUGACGCUAAUUUGAAGCGCCCUGAAUCGGAUAAGUUUGAGACUGUAUUUGAUAAAAACAUAUUUGUGGGAUAUUCAAAACAAAUAUUUGGAUAUCAAUUCUAUUAACCCCUUGAGAAGAAAGUCUUCGUCUCACGACAUAUCAUUUUCUAAGAGAAAAUGUUUACUCUAGGAGAGGACAGUGGGAGCAAAAUAGAUUUUGAAAGAGUUCAAGAGUUCACAGAUAUAGUUAACCAAAUAGAUGAAUCCAAGUUUGAUCCCAUAUCUGAUAUGGGGCAUACUCUUGAUCAGGAAGUAGAGAUUCCUGAUGACAUGUCAGUUCUGUAUGAAUCUAGUAGGAUCAUUCGACCUUCAAGAAGGUUCGAAUUCGUGAUUACUAAUCAGGUAUUACUGAUCCAGGAUGAUAAACCUACUAGUUGUACAAAAAUAAAGUCAAGUGUUAACUUAAAAGAGAUAGCAAAAGGCUAUGAAACCCGAUAAGAACUCGACGUAUGUGAACAAGGUUUGGACCUGAGUCAACCCUCCUGAUGGAAUAAAACCCAUAGGUUGUAAAUGAUUUACAAUAAAAUGGUUGACAUUGAUGGGAAUAUCCAUACAUACAAAGUAAGGCUAGUAGCAAAAGGUUAAGUGUUGACCUUGACGAAACCUUUCGCCUGUAGCCAUGCUGAAGUUCAUUCGAAUUUUAGGUGCAAUAGUUAUAUACCAUGAUUGCUGGUUAAAUUAAACCUCUUGGAGUUGAAAUCUUCGAUUUUAUAGAAAAAUCAAAAUAUUUGAUUUUAUCAAAUAUAAAGACAAUUACAAAAAGAUAGUGGGAGUAUUAUCGUAUUCCUAAUAUUAUUCAUAAAUGAUAUGGAAGAAGCAACUUAAUCUAUAAAGAUAGAUCUAGAAUAUUGAUUUAAUCAUCCCAAUCUGCAUAGGUAAAAUCUUAAGAAGAUUUUAUGGAGAAACUGAUUUACCCCUAAACGAUGUGAUGGAAAUGUUCUAAUCAUGAAACAACCGUUGGUUAAAUGGCAGAAACCUAAUACAUGAUUGUUUCAAAAGCAACAAUGAGUUGCAAUGUGGAUCAAGAUAUUCAUUAAUGAACUUGGAGGAGUUCCUAAUAUUGUUGAUCACGUGCCAUUGUAUUGUGAUAACAAUAGAGUCAUCACACAAUCGAAGGAACUAAGGUCUCAUCAAUGAUCUAAACAUGUAUUGUGACGGUAUAAUCUUAUUGGAGAGAUAAUAUAUAGAAAUGACGUGAAGAGAAGAACGAAUUUGCACAAUUAAUUGUAGAUCCAUUGACAAAGAGUUGUCGUAGUAUAAACAUGAUCGUCGUGUAGACUCUUAUGAUAUUGGAUACAUAAGUGAUUGAAUCUAGUACAAAUGGGAGUUUGUAAGUGUUAUCCUCUAGGUCUAAUCAACCUUGGACAUAAAUAUUUUUAUUAUAUAAUUGAUACAUUGUAUGACAGAUCUAUUUAAUUAAUAUUCAAUUAAAUUAUAUAGAGUUCGUCGAUUUAAUCUUGAUAAUUUGCUAAUUACAAGAAGUUGUGAUUGUGAGAUACAAAUUACAUAUGAUUGAAUCUUAAAUCAUCCGUAGUCAUAAGUAAUAAUGAGAUACGGAUAGACCAUCACGUGUGGUAUUCUUACUUGUGAAGUAAGUAGCUGAUCUCACAAGUUAAAGUGUGGUAAUACUUAAAUGAACCGUGGGUGUUUUGUUAUAGAACAAAACAUUGGAGACCCGUUGAGAGAUUCCACAUGGAUAACUAUUUGAAUAUCAAUGGUUAAUCUCUAACGUUUGGUGGUGGAAUUGGUCCUUUGACUUGAGAUCGUCAUUGUAUGAAUUGGUGAUAAAUUAAAAGGGUAUAUUAAUUUAUCAAUUUUGAUUAGAUCAAAAUAAUAUUUUACGUCGUUAGGUAUAGUGAUCGGGAACCUGAUGGGUCGCACACAAUAGGAGAACUGAAAGAUUGUCAAUUAAUUAAUUUAACAAGCGUUGAAUAAAUUAAUUAACCGGGUUGCUUAUUUAUAGGCCUGAAUUAAUUAAUUGGAUUAAUUAAUUCAUGGAUUGGAUUUAAUUAAAUGUGUUAAUUAAAUAUUGGACUGGGUUAGGCCAAGCUCGUUCGGGCUUAUAUAAAUAUGACUAGGAUUUUCAAAAUCUGGAGAGAAUUCAUUAUUUUUGUUAGCACAAGAAGAAAAUUCUAAUCCUGCAAUCUUGUUCUCUCUGUGGAUCAUCGUUAGACGCUGGACAAUUGAACAGCUGUGGGUGACAGAUCGAAGUUGCUGGAACGAAAAGAAUGGCAAAAGAUUUAUAGAAUUUUUCAAGGGUACAUCUUUGAUCACAAUUUCUGUUUAAACAUAAAGACUAUUCCUGGUGGGAAUUAAAAUUGUUUUAUUUUCGCUGCACAUGUUUAAGUAGAUUCCCAAAACCUUUGUUGGUUGUUCUUUGAGUUUGAUGGAUCUCACCUUCCGUGUGCAAGUAUAGAAUUUGACCUGAAAGAAACCUUGGAUUCUAUGCUCGAGCAAGGGCAUAAGAGUGAUAUAGACUAUCUCCCAUCUUCUUGAAGAGAAAAAAGACCACUAACUGUGGGGUUAGUUUCCUUAUCGAAUGUUAUUAAUGCUUAGUUUUCCUAUCGUCCUUGAUACAUGCGUGUUGCUCUCUAAUGUGUACAAUUUAAUUUGCUUUCUCUUGCACAACUUUCUCCAUUUAAUCGCGUAUUGAUAUGUAGAAAAGACAUUCGACUGGAGCAUGGCUUGGUUCAUAGUGGUUAAUUGUCGACUGUAGGCCAUCGUAGGGUUGAUGAGCGUGGGUCGAUUGUUUUGUGGUCCACACCCGAGUAAUGAUUUCGAUUUUUAUUUAUCCAUUGCCGAUCCUUAAUCAAUUUUUGGCUCGUUUGCUGGUCGUCGUCUAGCCCUUCGAGGUUAUCUCGAAUGUAGAGCGUAGGGUCUAGUGGUUUAGGGUCUUAACCAAUUUUUGGUUUUGAAAGCUCUCCACUAGGACCAUAGAGCUUUGUUGGGUAUGUACUCGAUCUAUUGGUUUUAUUGACCUUCGCCUGGCACCUUAUGUUGCGUCGAGUGUAUUGUGUAUUGUCUAAUGGUUUUGGGCCUUAGCCAUUUUUUGACUCUUUAGGCUCUCUACCGAGAUCGUAUGACUUUGUUGGGCGUAUACCCGAUCGAUUUCGUUGUCCCUAGCCAACCCUCUUGGGUUGCAUUAGACUCAAUUUAUUGGUUUUGUUGAUAUCUGCCUCGAGCAUAGAGUGUGUUAUCGAGUGGUUUAGGGCUUUAGCCAUAUUUUGGCUUUUUAGGCUCUCCACUGAGAUCGUAGGGCACUGUUGGGUUUGUACGGGGAAUUUAAAGCCAGACAUUGACAUAUAAAAUGUCUGGAUUUGGGAGAUUAGGAGGCACACUGGGACGUCCCAACUUGGCUGGCCUUUCUUUAGCACCUUCAUCAUUUGUCACCACCCAAGAACUCAUUAAAUAAAGUCAAUAAUUACAGUGGGAUGUGCCUUUAGCAGGCAUUACAUUAGGGAAUUUAACAAAACCACCUAUCUACUGUAUUUACAGGGACUAUGACUUAUUAGUCUACUUGACAGGGCCUACUUAUAGUAUUUUUUAAGAUGCUCGACGUUCUACGGCCUACUUAGCUGUUUCUCUUUCAUGUCCUUCAGACUAUAAGCCCAUUUUUCAUGGUUGCAAAUCACUUCAUAUGGUCUUUCCCAAUUUGGCCUGAACUUAGGAGGAGGAUGUCCAACUACGCCUGUGUCCCUUAACACAAGGUCUCCCAACUGGAAAACCCUUGGUAUUACCUUUCUGUUGAAAUACUCAACAGCUCUUGACUUGUAAGUUGCCAUCUUUAUGAUCGCCUGCUCUCUCAUCCCUUCAAACAAGUCAAGUUCCACCUUGGUGCUUCGCCAGUCGGUUCCCGAGGGAUUGGGUGGUAUGCCCAUAGCACAUUGGGCAAUUCGUCUAUCGAGAGCCUUUUCUCUUUUUCUAAUCUUAUAUUUAGAUCCCACAAUAUGGUAUGAUUUGUCACUUCAGCUCGUCCUUUCGACUGUGGAUGAGCAAAUGAAGUGAGCCUAUGUUCGAUGUGAUAGCUCUCGUAAAAGGCUCUGAAGCUAUGAUUGUCAAACUACCUGCCAUUAUCUGUAAUAAUCACUCUGGGUAUACCAAACCUGCAUUUAAUAUUUCUCCCCAUAAAACCCCGUAUCUUGGCUAUCAAGAUGGUGAAUGAUUCCGCCUCCACCCACUUAGUAAAGUAGUCGAUGACAACCAGUAAGAAUUUUCUCUGUCCUUUAGCCAAAGAUUACUGUCUGUUGCUCAGCUAGAACAUGAAUCAAGUUCCUAUAGAGUUGACAAGUAUCACACUUUCUUAACAAAUCUUUAGUGUCUUCUUUCAUAAUGGGCUAGUAGUAUUAUUGUUGUAGAGCUUUGAAGGCAAGGGAGGUCGUCCCUUGACGGUUACCACAAAUUUUUGCAUGUACCUCGAAUAGCAACUCUCAUGCUUCUGCCGGUCGUAGACACUUCAAAUAGGCAUGAUGAAACCUUGCUUGUAGAGUUGUCCAUCGAUGAUGGUGAAUGAAGUUGUUCUAACCCUCAGCCUCUUUGCCUUGAACCCAUCCUCUGGUACUUUGUUCUCUGUGAGAUAUUCAAUCAUCAGGUCCAUUCAACUUUUUUUGUGCUCUAUGUUCGCAACAUCAACCAUGUGUUGUACUCUAGGUUGCACAGGACUUGCACAUUUGCUUUGCGGGGCAAGUUCCUCAGGCUAACAGAUGCAAGCUUGGCCAAUGCAUCUACCCGUUCAUUGUCUUUUCGAGGGACCUUAGUUAUCUUGAAUCUUAUAAACCUCAUUUACAAAUCUUUUACUUUCAUCAGGUACGCCACCAUCUUUUAGUCCCUUGCUUCGAAUUUUCCCAUCACCUAUCCAACUAUCAGUUGUGAGUCGCUGUAAAUUUCCACCGAGCAUACCCCCAGUCUAGCUACCAAGACUAGGCCUGUGAUCACAGUCUCAUAUUCAGAAUCAUUCUUUGUAGCCAGGAAUUCGAAGCGUAAUGAGUAUUGAAACUCUUCGGAGUUCGACCCUAUCAUCAUGACCUUUACUCCGAAUCCUUCACCACCAGAGGACUCGUCCACAAAAAUUAUCCAAUCUGCCUACUGUCCCAUAGGCUAUUCUAGUGGGAUGGUGAACUAGAUGAUGAAGUCUACUAGAGCUUAUGCUUUUACAGUUGUUCUUGGCUUGAACUCAAUGUCAAACUACCUCAACUCAAUUUCCCAUCUCAACAGUCGCCCUGAAGAUUUGGUCGAUGUAGGAUUUACUUGAUAGGCUGGUUAAUUAUUACCUACACCGUGUGAGAUUGAAAGUAUGGCCUCAACUUUAUAAUUGCAACCAUCAAAGUGAGCACUAGUUGCUCGGCAAGCUAUAUAUUGUCUUCGUGCUCUUUAGCACUUGGUUUGCUUAGUAAACUGACUUCCGUAUUUUCAAGAAUUUCGUUUCCAUACAACACUGACUGCUUGAGGUAAAAUUGCUAGGAAACGACACAGCACGUCCCCUGGGCAUGGGUUGGUUAAAACUGGAGGUUGUUGUAGUGAUCGCUUGAAGGACUCUAGUGACGCUUCAUAUUCUUGAGUCCACUCCAAAAUUGGUAGAUCCCCUAAUGGCCUUGAAGAAAUGAUAGCAUUUAUCUGCUGCUCAACUCAUGAAUUAUUUCAGCACUGAUACAUGUCCUACUAGCCGUUGUACCUUCUUUUUACUGGUAGGGCUCUUCAUCUCUAGUAUCGCCCGUAUUUUGUCGGGGUUCACCUUAAUGCCUCUUUGCGUGAUCAUAAAGUCUAGGAACUUUCCACAAAUAGUAAAAAAAUACAUUUUUUUGAGUUGAACUUCAAAUUAUUCUAUUGGGCGAUUUCGAACACUUUGUGUAAGCAGGAGACCAUGGUAAUUUUGACCACAAUGUCAUCGACGUAAGCCUCUAUAACAUUUUCAAUCAACUCACGAAAGACCCUAUUUACCAUCCUCUGAUAAGUUGCCCUAAUAUUUUUUAGCCCAAAUGGUAUGGGCAUGUAGCAGUAUGUCCCAAAAUCCGUAAUAAAUGAUGUCUUCUUCUGGUCGGACUCGUCCAUAGAAAUUUGGUGAUACCUGGAAAAUGCGUCCAAAAAAUUGAGCCUCUCAUGAUCUAACGUGGCGGCAUCUACGAGGUGGUCUAUUUAGGAGAGUGGGUACGAGUCUUUUGGGCAAGCCUUGUUCAACCUAGUGUUAUCCAUGCACAUAUACCAUUUUCCAUUUGACUUCUUCACAAGCACAAUGUGUGCCAACCAUUCAAGGUAUUGCACUUUCGGAAUGAAACCAACCUUUUGCAAUUUGUCUACCUUUGCUUUCACAAUAACUUGCCUUUCCGGGGCAAGAUUUCUUUUUUUAUAUUCCACUGAUUUGGCCCCUAGUAGGACGCUGAGAUGAUGCUGGGCAAUUGUCGGGCUGAUCUUGGGGAUAUCGCUAGGACUCCAUGCAAAAAUAUCAAGGUUACCUGCUAGACAUCUUACCAAUUCUUUCUUUUCAUCAAAUUUCAAACCUGCCUAGAUACUGAACUCUCAUCCUUUUGAUACAAAGAUUUUUUCAAUCGUAUCAAGUGGCUCGAUCUGUCCCAUUGGAGGCUAUACAUCUAAUAUCAUGAUUGGUGGUGAACCUUUGGCUUGUAUGCUGUUGACAUAGCAUUUUUUUGAUGCCAAUUGAUCUCUUCGUACGCAUCUAAACACUCUGCUAGUUAGGACUUUCAUGGCCCGAUAAUAGGUUGAGGAGAUAGCCUCAGCAGCGUUCAGUAAUGGUCAACCAUAGAUGGUAUAGUAGACCAUGAGGGUCUUGACAACUAGGAAAAUUUUCAUAAUUACAACGAUCAUCGGUUAUGUGACUGAAAAUUCUCUACAAUUCCCGCCGGUCUCAUCGUCGCCCCUCCAAAGCCCUAUAAGGGGUGGUCACCAUUUUCAACUUCUUGGAGGAGAUCUUCAAGCUUAGAAAAAUGUUCCAAGUGAGAACACUGUUGCACUUCCUCCGUCAACCAGCACCUUUUUAACAUCAAAGUCUGCUAUAUUGCCUACCACCACCAAGGCAUCACCGUGGGAGUGUGCUACGCUAAUCAAGUUUUCUUCACCAAAAGUGAUGUUCUGACUGAACCUUACCUUUUUUUAUAGAGCAAAUUUCGACAGAGCGUGUGUAGCUUCUGAGUUUGAGUCUCCGUCGGCUGCCACCCAACCUAUGAUCAUCUUUAUCACUCUAAUUCUGGGUGGGAAACGAUCCUCUACUUUUUGUUUACCUUUGUUAUCUUUCACAUAAUUGCUUAAGAGUCCCCAUCUCAGAAGGUGCUUGAUCCCUUCCUUUAGCUGCAGGCAUUCUUCGGUGUCAUGUCCAUGAUUUUUAUGGAAAUGGCAAUACUUGUCUUGGUUUCUUUUGUUGGCUGGAAUCAUAAUUGGCUUCGGCCAUUUGAGCUAUUUCAUGUCUCGUAUCUCUAUAGACAACUUUUUGCGUGGGAUAUUCAAAGUUGUGAAGGCCUUGACCUCCUCUCAUCUCUGCCUAAUUGAUCGAUCAUGGGUGGUCCCCUUGUUUACACGCUCAUUCUUUAAUUUUUUUGUCAGUAAAUCUUGACUCAUCACUUGUCUUUCGCUUGUGACUUUCCAUCUCCCAUCCUUCUUUGGGACUUUGCGUGACCUUUUCUACUUCCUCAGUAUCAAUAUACUUGUCUCCCUUCUUUAGCAGGUUAUGCAUCUGGUGCAAGGGUUCUUAGAGAGUGAUAUCUUACAGGCCUAGUUCCAUGUCUCGUUCAUUAGUUCAAUUACCACCACCGAUAUCUGAAGGUCCUUUAUUCCAAGCGUCGCUUAGAUAAACUUGGCCAAGUAUUUCAACAAAGAUUCGUACUUUUCCUGAACGACCUACAUCAGCCCAAUAGAUGUCUUCCUCUUCCUUUUGCUGCUUACAAAGUAAGCUACAAAACUCUUGGAGAGCUCAUCAAAUGUUCUAGUAGAUCAGGGGGCUAGAGUUGCUACCCGGUCUCUGGCUUCCCUCCUGAGUGCCAGGGAGAAGGUCUGGUACAUCACUGCGUCAGGUGCUACAUAGAGUCUCAUUAAUUCAAUGAAGGUCCGCACGUGGUUAAGCAAAUCCAUGACUCCGUCAUAUGCCUCUAUCAUAGGCCGUUUGAAGCCCUUAGGUAGAGAUACUGCCAUGAUCUCGAGUGCAAAUAGGUCUUCUUCCAAAACUGCUAUUUUUGUCCUUCAUUCUGGAUAGUGCAUCAUCUACCUUCUGGGUCAUUAUUUCCUUCAUCCUCCGUUCCAAGUGUACCAUAGGCCGUGGAGGUUGUAGAACUAUUACCCUUGGAGCCCCCGAGUCUAUCGUAACCAGUUGGAUAACAGUGAAGGCAUUUGCAGGUGUCCUUUAAGGCGGCUGCGCAGCCUCCGCCGAGUUCAGAGGUGGGAACGUGGCUCUUUGUGCUUGAUUCUGCAAGAGAGUCAUCAUUGCUGCCAAUCGAACCUCCAGAGUUCUAAAUUGGUUUUGUGUUACAUACUGCGGUUGUGGAUCGGGACCCCUUAUGACUGACUCCGAUUCUGACACCAUCUCCACCGUAUUCCCAACUAAGCGCUUAUAUCACUUCAUCUUUGUCUUCUUGAUGUAGCUUUUCUGUUCAAUGGUUUCCUACAGAUGACACCAAUAAAGUAAUAAUGAAACAAAACUCCAUACCUUUUGGCAGCGUAAGGUGCUUCUGCUACUACAAUGAACAAGUGUUACCUAUAAAAUUAGGCCGAUUCUUUCUUCCUCAUUUUACCUCGAUGUGAAAAUUAGUAAUGAAUUUAGGAGUGUGGGUUAAGGAAAAGUGUGUAUUCAGAUAGCCAAAGUUUUUUUUCUCUCUCGCCUUAGGGAUAUUUAUAAGUGAUUGAAGCCUUGAAACUACUGUAUGGUUUUAUUGCCAUGUCCCACAUAGUAAGUCCCAUUAUCCCAUGUUCUAAGUGGAGGACCACUGUUUAUCUGGCAUUUGGUCGUAUCCAUGAUAACCGUUAAACAAAUCUCAUCUGAUUCAACGAUGUUUUCAUAGAUAAGCAUUAUGUUGGACUUACAGCGUUGGGUGGCCUCACAUGGGUUGACAGCCUAUCAUGGAUGUAAAGGGCCUCUCAGUGGUUGACGGCCUAAUGUGGAUGUAAAGGGCCUCUCAGUGGUUGACGGCCUAGCAUGGGGUGCUCUACAUAGAGUGCCCAUAGAGUAGCAUUUACCUUGUUGAUUGUGGUGAGCAGUUAUUAGUACUAUCCAACAUCAACAUACAUUAUUUACACAAAGUUUCAAGCCAAGUUUAUUGAUUUGAUCACAAGAUUAAAGGUAUUGAUUUGACAACUUUCAAGAUCCACCACGCUCCGUCUCUAUGCUUUUACUCUUUCUCUUGUCCGUUUUCAUAUUAAAUAUAGUCAUAUACUUACACAAUCACAUAACCCACACGCGACUCAAGGAUCUCCCUCCAACAAUCACUUCUUUUAUCAUUUUGAAUUAUCAAGUGAAAUGUAAGUGCUCUGUGACACAGACACUUUAAUUAGGAUAGCGUGUCUGUGCCGGACAAAUGUUGAUUCUGACACUUCUCGGACAUUCUACGAUAAACAUUUUUAUUCUUUAUUAAAAAUAUUACAUAUUUUUAACUCCAAGUUAGUAGUAAAUAACAAGUAGGUACUCAUAUUUAAAAGAUUUCAACAAAAGAAUUAAUAACAAAUAUAAACUAAAUUUAUACUAUAUAAAUAAAUAUUUUUAAAGAAUUUAAUUAACAUGACGACGACAUGUCGUGUUGGUACUUUUUUGAAAAAUCACGUGUCAUUGUAUCGGACACGUAUCGUGUUGUACACACGUGUCUAUGUCGGUGUAUCAUAGGGUAAGUGUAAUAGUACGAAUUAUUCUUUCAUUAUUUAAAUAACGAAAAUUUAUGUUAUGAAUAUGAUGAUACGAAAAUCCAAGUUAUGAUUAUGAUAAGGGUCCUAUAUGUAUAAGUUCAAAAGACCGGAUUUUAGUAGCACUAUUCACGGGAAUUAUAGCCACGAAGUUUGGAUUUUAAUAUUUGUGUUUCCAUAUGUAUGUUAUGAUUUUCAUAUUUAAAUAUAAGAUGCAAAUUCAUUAUUGAUUGAGAUUUAUGUCUUAUACGUAUAUGUUAAACAUUUUACAAGUAAAUAAAAAAGCGGGUUUGAGGCAAUCAAAGGUGGAUUGUGCUUGCGUGGUUGGAAAAUGAAGAAUAAUUUAAGUGGUUAAAGAUUUUAAUAUUUUUUAUUGUAUUUUUUUAAAAAUUAAUUUUAAUCCUCGCAUGUUCAGAAAAUAUUAUGUUUUUUCAUUGUUUAUGAAAAUAUUCUUUUGCGGUACAUGUAUAAUGAUUUCAAAGGUAAAAUUUAGGGUCUUUUUAAUUGUAUUUUUUUAAAAUUAAUUUUAAUUUCCAUAGAUGGUGUAAGGAGAGAAUACAAUAUGAGAAUGAAAGAUCAACUAACACAAAACAAACCAAAAGCAUUAAAAGGGUAAAUAAGGACAAAGGAGAGAAUACAAUAUGAGAAUGAAAGAUCAACUAACAUAAAACAAAUCAAAAGCAUUAAAAGGGUAAAUAAGGACAGAAUGCAAAUUAGUUCAAUAGCUUAAAAUUUAAAAAUUGUCAAAGAUUGAUCAACAAUUAUUUAAUGUAGUAUAGUUCAAUGAUCCCAUUGUGUCUGAUUAAGAUGUUACUAUCCAUGAUUUUUCCUCAUUUGACCAAUAGACUAACAUGUUAUCACCAGCAAUUUGUGAGCUUUAUGGUGCUACGGUAUGCUAAAAAUUUGCAGCGCAUUCGAAGGACAUAUCCCUAGCCUUUGAUUAUUAGAUUGUGACGUAUCAAGUUGUCAAAGCCUCCUGUUAACUUCAUUAUGUCACACAAUUCCUUUCACUUAGCAAAUUAAGAAUUGGCGAAGUAGCUAUUUCAUGAUAAAAAAGAUUACUCAUUAACCUAAUGAGCCCAUAAAGUAAAUAUAUUUCCAGAAGUCCAUUAUUAGCUUCAACAUAAGCAGUGAUAAAGACAAGAAUAUAGUAGCUUUUGAGUUAGCAUUAAAUAUUUUUUUGAUUUAGAUAUAAGUUGUUUAGCUUAACAACUGACGAGGAACCGGUUAAAAAAUUAGCAUUUGGAAGUCAAUGUGCUAUACUUCCCAAGAUCAGAAUGACCUUUGUCAUUUUUCAAUGAUCAGUCACGUAAAACAAAUUUGAAAAAAUCCUAUAUAAUUUCAUUGUCCCUACUUUCCUUAUAGACCUUUGAUUUUCUUUAAAUCAAAAGAUCUACAUCAUGAUUUGCUUAUAUAAGAAAUUAUCUUACACUUACUGAGCGGGACUUUUAUCAAAGUUAAUUAAGAACCACAAAAAUCAUAAACAUAAUCACGUUAAACAUUACUAGAAAUGUAGAAAAAUGUUAAUACAGAAAAUAAGAGGCAAAUAAAGGAAAUUUUAGUACCGGUCAGAGACUGAAAACAGUGAAGAUCAAAGGCGUCCGCUUGGAGGAGCUCGAUUCCCAAGUUUUUCUUAAGGAUAAUUAGCACAAAACGUCCCUACCUUUCAAUGCUUUUUGUGGAAAACGUCAAUACCUUUCGUUUUUUGGUGAAUUACACCCUCACCUUUACUUUUUUUAUGUGCAAAUCGUCAUUCUGUCAACUCUCCGUUAAAAUGUUGUGUUAAAUCAAAAGAUAAUUAGCACAAAAGGUCCCUACCUUUCAAUAUUAUUGUGCAAAAUGUCUCUACAUUUCAUUUUUUGACAUAAUUAGUACAAAAGAUCCCUACAUUUCAAUGUUAUUGUGCAAAAUGUACAUACCUUUCAUUUUUAGCAUUUUCACCCCUACCUUUCACCUUUCAUUGUGCAAAAGGUCAUUUUUAUCCAUUUUUUCAAUAAAAUGACAAUUUUACCCUCCUAUUCAAAUAAAAAAAAAGAAAAGAAAAGAAAAAUAAAUAAUUAAUUUCAAUCAUAGUCCUAAAUUUUUCAAAAUAUUAGAGAUAAAUCCUAAAUUCUCCACUACCGCCACUUUCACAAUCUCACCAAGCCACCACUUAUAGAUCCAUAUAGCACCAUCUUUGGACCACAAUACCUACCAGACUCCACCACCACCGCCUCGUCUCACUCUCCCCAACAUCCUCCUCCAUAAUAUCGGUCACCAAUCUGUCCGAAACAACCACGUUUACGGUGGUGGAGUCCAUUGGGCAUGGUGGCUGAAAGAUGGUGUUAUGUUGAUUUAUAGUUGGUAGCUUGAUAGGUUGUGAAAGUUGUGGUGAUUGAGAAUUUAUAAUUUUUUAAAAAUUUAAGGACUAUGGUUGUAGUUGGUAAUUCAUCAUUUUAUUUUAUUUUUUUUAUUUGAAUAGAAGGGUAAAAUCAUCAUUUUAUUGAAAAAAAAUGGAUGAGAAUGACCUUUUUCGCAAUGAAAGGUGAAAGGUAGAUGUGAAAAUGCUAAAAAAUGAAAGGUAUGGACGUUUUGUACGAUAACAUUGAAAGGUAGAGACUUUUUGUGCUAAUUAUGCAAAAAAAUGAAACGUAGGAACGUUUUGCACAAUAAUAUUGAAAGGUAGGGACCUUUUGUGCUAAUUAUCUUUUGAUUUAAUGGAGCAUUUUAACGGGGAGUUGAUAGAAGGAUGUUUUGCGCAAAAAAAAGGUAAAGGUGAGGGUAUAAUCCGCCAAAAAAUCAAAGGUAUGAACGUUUUCUACAAAAUUUUCGAAAAAUAGGGACGUUUUGUGCUAAUUACUCUUUUCUUAACAUCUAUUACAAAUAUGUUAAUUUUGCCGCAUUCUAAACUUAUUGCGAGUCUCUGAACAAUAAACAAACAACUAAUUAUCUAAUUGCGGCCAAUCAAUUAAAUAAUGCAAUGGAUAUACAAAAAUAAUCAAGAAACGCAAGAACUAAACUAAACCACUAGUUUUGAAUAAACAUAUAAACAUUAGAUUUUUAUCUCAUCCAACAUAAAAAUGGAUCUAUACUAGCAUAGUUUUAAAUAAAUUAUAAUAAAAAUAAUGAAAGAAUAUCACCCGAAUAAUGAAAAAAUAAAAAAAGAUGUUGAUCUUCAAGUCCAAAGUAUUUAUAAGGUUGAAUAUAGAUCAAGAAAUCAUUCCAAAGUUGUUACCAGUAAGAGUUUAAAUCAAGAUACGAAACUGACAUGUCAGUAGAAAAUUUGGCUAAGGCACAUGAGUAGGUAUAUCUGCCGCGCAUACAAGCUUGUUGACUUCUUCUUGGUCAUGAAAUUGAUGUCUUGCGCGAACACCAAAAUAGAUGGAGCCUGAGCUGAUUUGUGUCGUGCCAUCCCUAAGUAGCUUUUGGUAUUUUGAUCAUAAAUAUCUCUCUUAAUAUCUGAUUGAGGUGAUUCAAAAUGCGUUGAAAAGAUGACUCUAAGGGAUACAGAUUUCUCCAAUUCAAAUGUUCGCUAUCUGAAAAGUGGUCUCAGGUUGAAGCUAGAAAAACAAAACAUAUCUUUUUUUUUUUUUUUUUUUUCAAAAAAUUUUAUCUUGUGAUUAAUUAGGUAGAUUUUGAGAUUUCAUACAAGUAUUUUUUGUUUAAAAGUUAGUACCCCAGAGACUUUUAUAAAAGUUUUUGGAAGUCAUUAAAAAUUGAAUACCCCAAAAUUUAUAUAAACUUUUAAAAAGUUUGUAUUUGAUAUUCAAUAGUCAUUUUAUAGUUCGAAUCAAUUAUUAAAUGUUUACAUUUUUGUCCCCGAACUUUGAAUUUCUUUCGAUUUUGCUCCUUUUUUGUUUCUUUCUUCCGAUUCCAUUAAUUUGUCUCAAGUUUUACCUAAUAAAUAAAAUUAACAUCUAAUUGAGUCAUAAAAAAUUAAAAUUUAUUAUAAUUACUCUCAUUUAAUGAUCAAAUAAGUAUAUAAAAUACACUUAUCACCUUGCAUGCCCAAGGCAAUUUUCUCGUGCACAUAUCUAUGACUGUAGCAUUUUGGGAUCGACUGCCACCUUUAAGGUUUUUUUGGUCAUUUUUCAUGCCAUUUUCAUCCCUCAUCUUCUAUUAUCAUCCAACUGAGCCCUAUGACCUUCAAUCAUCAUUAAUAUUUACAAUUUGGUCCUCAAACUUUGAUUUUUUUUUUUUUUUUGCCGAUUUUCAUUCAUUUCCUCCAAUUCCACUAUUCUGAAUCGAGUUUUAUCUAGCAAACAAGAUUAACACAAAAUUAAGCUAUAAUUUCUUAAAAUCAAUAACAAGUACUGUAAUUUAAUGACCCUUCAUCAAAUCAUCUCAAAAAUAUUUAGUACCAUAAACAUGUAGCCAUAAAAUGACCACGUCAUUCAUUUGGACAGUUGCUACUCAAAAUUGUAUUAGUAAUUGAAACGAGCUUGAGUUUGAGCCCAAGGAUGUUGGAAACACGAACUAGGAUUUCAGAAGAAGUUAACCACAUUACCUAAAAAAAGGUUGAACCCCAACCUUGAGGGCCCCCAUCACCCCGCCUCUAGAGCUUUGUGAGGGAAGUAAAUCGUGGGAUGUGCCCCAGUAGGCCAGGGAACAAGAGCUGCAUGUACACUGUGCCUACAAGGAGUUCAAUUCCAUAUUUCAGGAAUCAAACCCCCACACUACGGCUGCCAGCAAGGCGUGAGAUAACCUCACUCCUAUCCUUUGCACCAUUAGGCUAUGCCAUGGGGGGGCAAGUUAACCACAUUACCUAUUGAUAUGAGGACAUUCAGAAAGCAUAAAAUAACUAUUUUACAGUUUUAUUUAAAAGUGGUGAAGAGAAUCCUAAAGUAUUUAAAAUAAGUCAAUUUUUAUAAUUUAGUGAGCCUCCCAACACUAUAAUAAGUAAGUAUUUAUCUAAAUGGUGCAAAAACACUUAAAAAGUACAACGAAACAUGCAAGAUUAAUAAAAAAAACACAAGAAUUAUUUGAUUGCUUGUCUUUAAAUUAAAAAUAAAUAAUCAAAGGUUUCAUCUUUAUGAAAUACAAAGGAAAAUUUAGCCUAGCAUGAUUUCUAUUAUAUUGUUAGAAGAAUAUUUAAUAGAUAUCACCCGAAACAUGAUUGAAUGCAAGAGAUCUUUAUAUCCAAUUUCAAGCUUGAAAUUUUCAAGUUCUCGAAGUAAUUAACCUUAAUUUCUUGCUUUGUUGUUCUUCGCUCCCCAAAAUGUAUGAUCUGGCUUCUAGUGAAACUCACAAGUGUACGGAAUCAUUGACAAGUAAUAUAUUUAGCGAGUUGAGAAUAUCAUCCCAAAGAGAAUAUAUUCCAAUUCAAGUUUACUAUUGAUGUAUGUGAUUCGAAUUAUGUAAAACAAAAAAAGAGAUUUUGAUUUGAUUUUUGCUAAAUUAAUCUAAGAAAGUAAUAAAAGUUUGGUUUUUAUCAUAUUAUGGAUGAUUGAUAGGAUUUAGAAUCCACCUAUUUUUAUCUAUUUUAAUUCUUGAUUUGUAAUCUAGUCUUGUUCAAGCGUUCUUGACAAUCAAUAUAACUAAUAUAUUUAACUUUCUUUUCUAAAACAAAUUAAUUCUAUCCUAAUCACGACUCGAAUCUAUUCCUAUCCAGAAUUCGAAUUGUUAAAAUGCUUUAAAUUUUAGAUUAUUUAUAUGAUAGCACUGGUGAUAAAUGUUAUUUUUAACAUUUACUACAAAUAUGUUAAUUUUGUCGCAUUCUACUUAUUGUGAGUCUCUUAAUAGUAAACAAGCAACUAGUUAUCUUAUUGUGACCAAUCAAUUAAAUAAUGGAAUGGGUAUGCAAACAUUAAUCAAAAAAUGCAAGAAUUAAACUAAACUGCUAGUUAUGAAUUUCAAACAAAUAAACAACAUGAUUCAUCUCAUCCAAUAUGAAAAAAUGGAUCUAUCCUAGCAUAGAUUUAAAUAAAUUACAAGAACAAUAAUGAAAAAAUAUCACUCAAAUCAUCAAAGAAUACAAAAGACGUUGAUCUUCAGGUCGAAAGUAGAAUUCUUCAAUUUCUUGAUAUAAUUGACCUUCAAUUCUUACUAGGGCUUCAUUCUCCCCCAAAAGUAAUGAAUUAACAUCUUGUACUUAAUAAAUCUGAUGAUAUUAUUAUGUAUAAAGAGGUAAGAGAGAGUUCUAUCAUGUGUUCUCACAAGUAUUGUAUUUAUAAGGAUUGAAUUUAGAUAAAGAAAUCGUCCUCAAGUUGUUACAAAUGAGAGUUUGAGUUAAGAAAGGAAUUUGGCCCAUUAGCAGAAAAUUUGGCCAAGGCACAUGCGUAGGUAUAUCUACUGCGCACAUAGGCAUGUUGACUUGUUCUAGGGCCACGAAAUUGAUGUCUUGCACGCACACAAAAAUGGCCUAUGCGCACUGGUUAGCUUUGCAUCGUCUCUGAGUAGCCUUGGGUAUUUUGGUCAUUACUUUCUCUCUCAGUAUCCGAUUAAGAUGAUCCAAAAUGUGUUUUAAAGAUGACUCCAAGAAUUAUAGCAUACAAAUUCUCAAAUUCGAACUUUUGCUAUCUGAAAAAUGGAUCUCAACUUGAUGCUAAAAAUUCGAAACGUAAUUUUUUUGGCUGAAAAUUGAUUUGCGAAAAUACUUCAAAUAUAUUUCACUCAUUUGGCCUCCAAUUACAUCCAAUUGACCAUAUGUGAUAUUCAAUUUUGCUCCUCUUUUUUUUUUUUCUGGUUUCUUUCUUCCAAUUCCAUCAAUUUGCCUUGAGUUUUACCUAAUAAAUAAAAUUAACAUCUAAUUAAGUCAUAAGUAAUCAAAAUUUAUACUUUUAACGACCCAAAUAAGUCUAUAAAAUACACUCAUCACCUUACAUGCACAGGGCAAUUAAUUGCCUUAUGCGCAUGCCCCUGGCUUUAGCAUUUUGGGACCAUUUGCCACCUCUGGGGUGGUUUUGGUCAUUUUUCAUGUAAUUAGCAUCCCUCAUCUUCUGUAUCACCCAACUGAUCCCUAUGAUCUUCAAUAAUCAAUUUAUUUUUUUUGUUUUUUGUACAAAUCCACAUUGAAUAUUUACAAUUUGAUCCUCAAACUUUGAUUUUUUUUCAUUUUUGCCGAUUUUCAUUCAUUUCUUCAAAUUCCACUAUUUUAUAUCGAGUUUUAUCCAACGAACAAAAAUAACACAAAAUUAAGUUAUAAUUUCUUAAAAUCAAUAAAAAAAAACUGAAAUUUGAUGAGCCUUCAUCAAACCAUCGCAAAAAAUUCAGUUCCCUACACAUGUAGCCAUAAAAUGACCACGUCCUUCAUUUGGGCAGUUACUACUCAAAUUGUUUUAGUAAUUGAAACGAGCUCAAGUUUGAGGCCGGGGAUGUUAGAAAUACGAACUAGGAUUUUGGAAGAAGUUAACCGCGUUACCUAUUGAUAUGACGACAUUCAGAAAACAUAUAAUAACUUUCAUUUUUAUAUAGAAGUGGUGAAGAGAAUACUAAGGUAUUCAAAAUAGGUAAUUUUUAUUAUUUAGUGGACAGAGUGGGAGAGCCUAGGACCUUGAUUGAUUUUUUUUUUUUUCUAAUUGUUUAGUCAUAGUUCAAAACAAUUCUUAAUUUGUCGUUUUAUUUAAUAAAUUCGGGGGCAUUAAAGUUGUUUAAUUAUCAAGCUUCAGUUAUUUUUUUUUUCGAGCUUUUGGUAUUUAUUUCUCGGCCGCCUUAUGGUUGAAUUUUGAUAAAUUAAUAAACCACUUGGACAAAUGUUUUUCAACCUCAAGAUUGUUACUUUUAACGAAUUAUAUAUGUUAUGCAAUAUCAUUGUUGACCUCGCAAAAUGGACUUUUAUGUGGCCAAUCGAGAGUCACUCCACGUAUUCCUCCUUACGUACAAAAACGCACGGUCAGGAGCACACGACUAGAACUAGUGGGGGUGGUAGCGGCCGCAUACACUUCAACGGUCAAGUCAAUGGUCGAUGAUCGGAACGGUGUCGAAAUUAUGCAAAAGAUGGGGGAGGAGAAUAUAUAUUGCUUGACUGUGGAGAGCUUAGUUUAGUAUAAGUUUCAUUACCUUUGCCUCUUGUCAAACCUUGAGUAUUUAUAGAUGAGGAGCACCGUUGGAUGCGGGACACGUGUAUGCAUCUGACGGCGUGAGAUGUCUGCUCGAAAGCGUCAAUCAGCCGCGUCUAAGGUGGGCGGGUUAUUAAUUUUUCUAGAUUGAGUUGACAUAAAAUUGAUGUCACAUCAACUAGACCCAUGGAAAGGUCACAUCCAUAGGGGAUUUUGACAUAGAUAUGGGUCUGAAAUAGGCGGCACAUGUAUUUGCUAAGGGAGCACCUUGGAUAGCCUAGCGCUUCGAUAACAGGGGCGCUUCAGUCACUUCAGUAGAUUUAGUUUACAUCUACUCGCCUUGCGGUGUGUUGAGUUGGAGUUCGGCUGAGAUGGACACCACUUCGGAACCACGUUGUUGGACACGUGGCACUUCUUAGACAAGAGAGACACUAUUGCUGAACUGGAUUAGUGCGGGACAUAAUAGUGGUCCCCCAAGUUUAGGCAUAAAUAUUCAUAUCAUGGGUUGACUUGUUUAUAUGAUUGUGUGAGAUUUGCAGUAUCUGGUGAAGUGUUAAUGUUAAAGCGCGAAGCGAAUUGAUGCGUCGAAGGCUUUGUGGGUGGAGUGUAUUGUUAAAACUGAAGUGACAUUGGUAGGGGCUCAUCUUGGUUGGUAGUUCGUUCAAUCACGAAGGGCAGUAAAUUCCCAAUGGAGACGUAUGAGCCAUGAUGCUGGGGCUUAAGGAGCUUAUCUGUAACCGGUGUGUUGACCCACAGGGGACGACGCGUUAAGAAAUGGCUGAAGCUUUGUAAAGCUUGGGGACGUAACGUCUCUAGGCGAAGAACCUCAAGUAAGUCGAAGCGCUGACAAGCUGAGGAAGAAGCGUAUCUGCAACCGGUGCAUUGACCCACAAGGGACGACGCGUUAGGAGAUGGCUUGAACUUUGUAAAGCUUGGGGACGCAGCAUCCUGAGGCGAAGAACCUCAGGUGUGUCAAAGCGAUAACAAGCUAAGGAAGAAGCAUAUCUGCAAUCGGUACGUUGACCCACAAGGGACGACGCGUUGGGAGAUGGCUUGAGCUUUGUAAAGCUUGGAGACGCAGCAUCCGAGGCAAAGAACUUCAGGUGCGUUAAAGCUCUGAAAAGCUGAGAAAGAAGCAUAUCUGUUACCAGUGCAUUGAACUACAAGGGACGACGCAUUAGAAGAUGGCUUAAGCUUUGUAAAGCUUGGAGACGCAGCGUCUGAGGCAAAGAACCUCAGGUGCGUUGAAACUUUGAAAAGCUGAGGAAGAAGGGUAUCUGCUACCGGUGCGUUGAGCCACAGGGGACAAUGAGUUGGGAGAUAGCUUAAGCUUUGUAAAGCUUGGAGACGCAGUGUCCAAAGCGAAGAAACUCAAGUGCAUUGAAGCUUUGAAAAGCCGGGGAAGAAGCAUAUAUGCUACUAGUGCAUUGACCCACAGGGAGUGACGCGUUGGGAGAUGGCUGAAACUUUGUAAAGCUUGGAGACGCAGCGUCCGAGGAGAAGAACCUCAAGUGCAUUGAAGCUUUGAAAAUCUAAGGAAGUGCUUCAUCCAAGGAAAAUUGGGACGGUUUGUCUCUGAUCUAAAGCAUCUUAUUAUGACUUUAAUCGAUGUGAUAGUUGUCGUGCAUUUUCAAGGCGACAGUUGGAUGUGAUGCUUGUUCCCAAAAAAAGGGUUGCUGCAGCUACUUAUUGUUGACGGCUAUUGUUGUUCGAGGUGAUGCAUUUUAUACGUACGUGAGGGACAUAAUUAGAUCUCGGACGUUGAUUAAAUCUGAUGUUUCAUUUCAAUGGUCCAGAUUUGUGAUGCGACGAACGGCCUAGAUCGAACCAUUUGAAUUCAACGGUGGAGAUCGUCUGAGGUCUCCUAUAAAGGGGGGCCUUGGUGUCAUUCGAAAAUUGCUACUAUUGCAAACUCAAAACUCUCAUUGCUAUCAAAACUCGAGCGAUUUCCAAUGAUUUUCUUGCUUUUGUAUGAUUUUUGGUGACCUUUAAAGCGUUGGUUUGAGCUUCCCGAGAUAGGAUACUAAUUCCGAUCGAUUUUCGUAAGUAUUCUUGAGAUUUUCACAGUUUUAAUGAAAAAAUAUGGCCUUUGAGAGUAGUGGGUGUUCUGGAGGGGAUCUAGAUGUAGUGAGGGUGGACCAGCCUCUAUUGGCUACUUCUUCAGAAUUGUUCGAGGCGAUAUUAGGGGGAAAACCUCUGGAAGCGACCUGACAAUCUUGUGGACACUUUUAUACAUUGGGGGACGUCUGACUACCUUUCCAAGUUGAAAACGGCCGACCUGGCUAGAUUUAGGACUGAGUAUAGAAUCCCAAAUAGUGUGGGUUUGAUACUUCCAGGGUCGGAUGAGUGAGCCUGUUACCCAAGGCCCGGGUGCGUGGCUGUUAGCGAGGCCAUCUUGAGGGCGGGGCUUAGUUUUCCCAUCCACCCCUUCUUUAGAUAUGUAUUAAGGUCCUAUGGCCUAGCCCCCACCUAGUUGAAUCCGAACUCUUGGAACCAGAUGGUGGGUUCGUGGAUUCUGUGGAAGGAUGCAUCCUGUGGAGAAGAGAUACCCUUCUCUGUUUUCCAAACAAUGUACAUACCCAAGGUUGUGGUGGGGGGUGAUAAGAUGAAGGGGAGCUAUUAUCUGACUUCCUGGGUGUCUCACACUCCAUUCGUGCUCGAUCUGCCAAGCUCUAUCAAGGAAUGAAAGAGUUCGUGGUUCUAGGCUUCCAGGAGAUGGGACACGAUGGAGGGUAGCCCCCUGGCACCCCUUACCGUUCCCACCAAAUACUCCACAUUUAGUGCGUACUAGCACUUCAUUUAUAAAAAUAUGUUUGCUUGUGUUCGGAAUAUAACUCAUUUGUUCUUACAGGUCCUCUUCCUCAGUGUGAGUUAUCCAUCGAGGAAAUUGACAUGAUCUGCAUCGUGUAUCAGCUCCCUCCGAAAAUGAGAUCUUCCAACGAGUUGAUAAGGAAAUAUAUCCACUUCGUUUCACACGAGCUGAUGGCCUCCCAAGGUGAGUGUAGAGGUUACAUCGUUGUAGUCUACAAUUGAAGUGUUCAUACUUAACUGAUUUUUUAUUUUGUUGCAGAUGACUUCAAUAAGAAGAGACCUAUGAAGCCGAACUUCAAGACCAUCCAAAGGAUGAUAGCUUAGGCGAGUGCCCUAAAACAUCCUCUUCGACGUACAAAAAAUAGAUGGAGAACUUGGCUGCUGCCAACAAGAAGCUGCCUCGGACCGAGGAAGAGGAUGAGGAUGAAGAAGGGCAGCUAGGCCUCCGAGGGCCCCAACUGUGGCAAGGACGGCCACUAGGCAGAUGACGAUCCCCACAGGGUCAUGAUUGGAGAGAGGCCUACCGUCUACCUGAGGCGACCCCCGUACUGGUAUCUGCCCCAAUCGUUGCAGCGCCUCCUGCUCUGACUGCUGAAAAGGAGAGGAAGAAGAGGGCCCGUCCUUCGAAGGAGCAGGAUUUCUUGGUCUGCACCUCCGAGGAGGCCGUGAAGGAGGUAUUGGAGGCCCUCCCUCCAGAGACUGCUAUUGUGGCCCGGGUCUACUACAAAUACUGGACUGAGGCCUGGAGGGACCACACACCAUCCUACUCAGCCAAGGACCUCAUGGUUGCCAGCAGUGCUUGCCUCGCCCGGCAUUAAGCACCAGUGUCCAGCUGGAGGGCCUAGUGAAGGACCUUAGGGCAAAAAAUAUGGACCUAGCCCAACGAUUGGAGAAGGCCUCUCUUUAUGGAGACAAGGUGGGGUGGCUCGGGCCAAAACAAAUGAGGCCCCGGAAGGCAAAAGAGGAGGCAGAGGCGAGGGCGGUGAAAGCUAAGGCCGCGUCAAAAUAGCUCAAGAAAGAAUUGUAUUAGAUUGAAUGCCAAGUAGUUGUUCUGAUGAGGUAGAUCGACCGUGCCAGCGAUCAUCACCACCUCGCAGCGGAGGCCCUUGAUGCCUCAAACGAGGAGAAGAAUGAGCUGAGGCAGUGGGUAGAGACCCAAGUUGAAGAGAUUGACUUUUUGAAGACAGAGGCAAGAAUAGUUGGGGAGUCAGUCGUGCAGCACUUUAUUGACCAUUUUGAAGAGCACGAGCUGUAUGACACCUUCGCCAACUAUCGGGCCUAUUGGAACGCCCAGGCUAUGUUGCAGCACCUCAAAGAAGUCUACCCGAACUUGAACAUUUUCAGCUUUGGAAGAAGAGCUCGGUGGGCCUAUCGAGGGUCGCCCCGACAUAGCCGCUGCCAAGGACGCUACUGUUGCUCCCGAGGAGGUUGAGGUGGGGACAGGGGCUAUAGUGCCAGUAGAGUAGGAUCUCUGUAAUAGCUUCAGCCCACCAAUUGUAAAGUUUUAUAUUAAUGAAUUGAAAUUUAUCUUCCAAGUGUUGAAGCUUCUUUUCUCAUUGCUGAAUUAUUUGUUCGAUUAUAACUUGAUUGCUGUUUAAGUUAAUAAUAUUAACCAUCAGUGAACGGUUGAGGCAAACAAUGGCAAUCCAUAGAAUAUAACGAAUUGAAGAUUCGAAUAACUUAAAUUCAACAAUCAUACACUAAAGGCAAUCUAAGCGCUUAGUCAGAUAGGAAUAAGUUACAACUUGUAGAUCAUAAUCAGAUCGGAUCAGAACAUGUAUUUGUUUAUUGGUAGUACUUCAUCAAGUGUUCAAUGUUCCACUGAUGAGGUAACACUUUCCCUGCCAUAUCUUCAAUUUCAUAAGUCCUGGGUCGGGAUUCGUUGAUGAUGCGGUACGGACCCUCCCAAUUCGGUCCAAACACUCCAAAGCCUAUUGGCUUUGAUGAUAGGAACACCCUUCUGAGUACCAGAUCGCCUAAGCGUAGAGUUCGACUUCUGACCCUCGAGUUGUGAUAGCGGAUCAUCUUCCUUUGAUACGCAGGUAGUUUGACUUGGGAUGAAUUUCUUCUUUCUUCCAGGAGGUGAAAGUUCACACACUCUCGCUUCUCAUUGAAGUUUAUAUGACGAUGCAAAGAGACUCCUACCUCGACUGGACUCAUGGCCUCAGCCCCAUAAGUUAUGGAGAAAGGCGAUUCCCGUGUUGUGGUUCGACUUGUUGUUCGUACGACCCAGAGGACAUGGGGAAGUUCAUCUACCCAUGCUCCCUUCGAGGCGUCAAGCUUCCUUUUUAGAGUGUGCUUGAUCGUUUUGUUAACUACCUUGACUUGGCCAUUUGCUUGGGGGUGAUGAGGUAUUGAGAAGUCCUUCCUUAUGCUGAGUUUGUCACAUAAGUCUCGCAUCUUUUUGUUAUCGAACUGCCUUUCGUUGUUAAACACUAGGGAGUGGGAAAUGCCAAACCUACAAAUGAUGUUCUUCCAGACGAACUUUGUGAUGUUUGCCUCAGUGAUUUUUGCUAAAGGUUUAGCUUCGACCACUUAGUGAAGUAAUCAAUGACGAUAACGGCAAAGGUUGUACUUCAUCUUCCUUUUAGGAGGGGGCCAAUGAAGUCUAUACCCCAUUUGGUAAAGGGCCAUGGAUUGGUGACCACGGGAGAGUUCCUAAGAAGGUUAUCUCUUAACAUUGGCGAAUCGCUGGCACUUGUCACAUUUUUGAACAAAUUGACAGGAAUCCAUUUUCAGGGUCAGCCAGAAAUAGCCUUGCCAAAGUACCUUAUGUGCUAGGGCUGCUCCACCAAAGUGGUUAGCACAGACUUCCUCAUGAAUUUCUCUUAGGAUGUAUAAGGCCUCUUCCCCUCCAACGCAUUUUUAUAUAACACACCAUCUUGGAGUAUGAAGUGAGCAGCUCUUCUUCUCAACCUCUUUACUUCAUUUUUUGAGGGUGGUAGCAAUUGAUCUUUGAGAUAGGUUAUAAUGGAUUGCAUCCAAGGUAUGAUACCUUCAAUUCAUAUUACUUCUUAACCCCCGGAGAUGGAGGGCUUCAGCAUACGCUCGAUUGGGAUAAUUCUUAGUAGCUCAGAAUCUUUGCUACUGGCAAGCUUGGAUAGGGCAUUCUUGUGUGUAUUUUCGAGGCGUGGGACUUGGACCAAUUCGAACCUCUCAAAGUGGAAGACCAAGUUCAAAACUAGUUUUAGAUAAGCGGCCAUGCCACUGUCUUUGGCUGCGAAUUUUCCUUUAACUUGACUCACCAUAAGUUGUGAGUCGCUACUGGCUUGUAAUCUUUCAACUUGCAUUUCUUUAGCCAGCCCGAGGUCUACCAAGAGGGUUUCAUACUCUGGGACAUUGUUCGAAACUUUGAAGCUGAACCUGCUUUCACAGUUGAGUUUAUGGCCCUUAAGGCUCUCCAAGACGACUCCGGCUCCGGAGCCAAUUCCUCUUGACAAUCUGUCUACAAACAACUUCUAAGUUGGGUGCUCUGUAGGAUCCAUUGUUGCCUCUAUUUCUGGGGCUUUGGCGAACUCGGCAACAAAAUUCGCGAGGGCCUGGCCCUUGAUGGCACUUCGAGGUCUCAACAAGAGGUCGAACUCACUGAGCUCAAUUGCCCACUUUAGUAAUUGACCCGAAGCGUCUACUUUUUGUAGCACUUGUUUCAAAAAAAAUUGGUGAGCAUUUCAAUUGAAUGAGCCUGAAAGUAUGGCCUCAACUUUCUUGACGCGGUAAUAAGGGAGAGAGCAAGCUUUUCCAUGUCUGGGUAGCGAGUCUCUGCUGGCAGCAAGGCUUUGCUGAUGCAGUCACUGGCAACUGGUGUGCCUCUUCUUUCAUGGCGAGCGCCGCCCUGACUGUUUGUCUGAAACUACUAAAUAAAAUAGGAGUGUCUCGCGCGGUUUAGGUUUAGGUAGUAGGGACACCUCUCCAAAGUGCUUCUUCAGCACUUGAAAGGCUACCUCACGCUCUUUGGUCUAUUGGAACUUUUUUCCCUGCAUCAAAAUCUUGAAGAAGAGUAGGCUCUUAUCAGUGGCUUUGGAGAUGAAGUAGUUGAGUGCAGCAACCCUUCCAUUAAAGCUUUGGACCUCUUAUGGCUUCUGGGGUGACUUCAUCUCUAGCAAGGCUCUUAUCUUCUCAGGGUUUGCCUCAAUCCCUCGAUGGUUCACAAUGUAUCCCAAAAAUUGACCCGAUACUAUCCUAAAGGUACAUUUCAGCGAGUUCAGCUUUAUCUUGUAUUUCCUUAGAGUUUGAAAAGUGGUGUCCAAGUGACUGGCAUUUUUUAAUCCGCAGGGCAUCACUUUGUAGCUGUACAAUCCUCGGUCUGUGAUGAAAGAUGUGGCCUCUUCAUCAAGUCGGAACAUGGGUAUUUGGUUAUACCCUGAAUAAGCAUCCAUGAAGCUCAAGAGUUCAUGCCCAGCACUGGAGUCCACAAGUUGGUCUAUCCUUGGGAGGGAAAAGUUGUCCUUUGAGCAGGCUCUGUUCAAGUUGGUGAAGUCAACACACACCCUCCACUUCUCGUUGGACUUCUUCAUGAGCACUUGGUUGGAUAUCCACUUUUGAUAAAUGGCUUCUCUGAUGAAGCCAUUGCGACUUAGCUUGCCGAUCUCUUCCUUCAGCGCUUCAUAUCUUUCUUGGUUUAGUGCUCACCUCUUCUGCCGAUGUAGCGUGCAAGUGAAGUUGAUAUUUAAGUGAUGGCAGCUAACCCUUAGGUCUAUUCCCACCAUGUCUUCGUGCUUCCAUGUGAAGACGUCCAAAUUUCUUUUUAGGAAGUUCAUCAGUUCUUCUUUCUUCUUAGGGAGCAAAGCUUUCCCUAUUCGCCAGACUUGAGUGGGGUCUUGAGGGUUGGUGGGGAAAGUUUUGAGCUCUUCCAUUGGAGUUACAUUUGGUUCAGACUCGGUGAUCCAAGGGUCUAAUUCAUCAAGAGGGUGCCCUUCUUCAGGGGCCUCGAUCAUGUCGACGUCUUCGUCUUGUUCAAAGGUCUGCCCUUGUUUAGGGGCGUCAAGCAUUUUUACAUCUGUGCAGAUUUCGUUUGUUGCAUAGGUUAUUAUUGCAUUCACAAUGCAGGGCUCAAAUUUUCGUAGGGAAUUGAGGUAACAUGAUCGGGAGCCCAUCUACUGGCCUCGGACCUUCGCGAUCCCAUGCUCAGUUGGAAACUUCAUACAUAAGUGAUGAAUGAAGGUCGUAGCCCUAAGGUCCUUCAGUGCAAGUUGGCCGAGGACCCCGUGGUAAGUUGACCUGUGAUCCACCACUAAAAAUUCCAUGUAGUUGUGAGCCACUAGGGGUGCUGAUCCCAUCUCCACAGGCAAAGUGAUUCGCCCUCAUGGGAUAAUACUAUCCCCAGUGAAUCCGAAUAUUGGGUUUGUCAUGGGGAUCAAGCCAUGCUUAAUUUGCAUCUUGUCAAAAGUUGAUCCGAACAAUAUAUUCACCAAGCUCCCAUUGUCAACCAACAUGCGGUUAAGUCCAUUUCGAUCCACGACGGUCUUUAUUGCUAAUGCGUCUUAGUGUGGGUGGUGAAAACCAUGUGAAUCUUCUUGGGAAAAGGUGAUUGGAUCCAUUCUAUUAGUAUAGGACUGGUUAACGAUGUAAGUGAUCGUUGGUGGGUCUUUCGCUUUCCUUGUGUCGUUCUUCUAUGCGUUUCUGGUAUUUUCCCCGAUGAUUGUAUCGAUUUUUUGAAUAGUAUCCCCUCCGGUGAUUGGGGCCUAGUUCCUUUGCCUAGAUUCUCCUCGAGAUCUAUCUUUCAUUUCUCUCUUUCGAGGCGAUUGAUUCCGCUGUCACCUCAACUCCUUGUUUGGACAAGUGGACCUAUAGAAAUGUUCAUGACAAUGGUCCCUCUUGGAGUAGCAUGAGUUGCCCUGAUUUGACGAUCGAGGCGCGUCUCUACAUUCGUUGAUGUCAUGGCCAUAGAGUUAGUGAAAUGUGCAAGACUUUGCCCCUUCCAGGGGCCUGCUUGCCUGCUUCUUCUUCUUCUUGCGUCAGUUGUUUGUUCCCAUGGGAAGUCCCACUUCGGUAAGAGUAUUUUCGUAUGCCAGCAUUGGCAUUGCAUUUAGAGUGGCUGAAGCCAAUGCCUAUCCAGAUGAGGGGAUUAUUGUGUGACCUGCCUGGGUCCAUUGUUGGGUGAUGAGGUGUGCUACUGGUCUUUGACCCAUCUGCCUCUGAGGUGGAGGAAGUCGCUAAGUUGCAUGGUUCUGAUGGUCAAUCAUCUCCUCAUUGAUGAUUUCCACCCUCAUCAUCUCAACCAGUUCAUCAUAAGUACCCGGAUUCUUGCUUCGUACGUCUCUCCAAAACAAUGUGUUCAUGUUGAGGCCUCCUUUCAAGGCUGAAAGGGCCUUUCUAUUAGUGACUUGUUCACAGUAAAUGAUUUCAUCAGUGAAUCUGGCAAGAUAGCUUUUCAGCAUCUUGCCAGGGGCUUGCCUCAUAUCUUGUAGGCUUUGCACUGGGGCCACUACUUCCCUUCGUGAGAGGUAUUGGUUCAAAAAUGAAUUCUUCAAAUUUAGCCAACUUCUAAUGCUUAAAGGUGGUAACCUGCUGUACCAUACCUCGAUAGCUCCAGUAAGGGUUAGAUGGAAGGCCCUGCAUCUUAGCACCGGCGAGGCUCCUCUAAGGCUCAUUUGCGUUAUGUACUUUUUAAGGUGUUUCUAUGGGUCUCUCUUUCCUUUAUACUUAGGGAUUUUAUGGGGCAUGAAGAUCACAGGCAUUGGGAAGCUUUGGAUUUCUUUGGAGAAUGGGUGGUUGUCAUCAUCGCCAUCAAUUUCAUAGGAACGACAUGAUCUUUCAGAGCCUUCAUCAUCUGAUGCAUUUUAGGGGCAAGGAGGCGCCCUUCCCCGACUAUCCCAAUCUACUAGGUUUUUCCUCUCCCGCCUAUUUCUAGGCGGAGGAGGUACCUCAUGUUCUUCUUCUUACUCCUAUUCCCGCACAUGCUGAGCCGACCUUUGUAUAGAGCAAACCCUAUUGCUAGGGUUUCACCCUAUCUGGUCAAAGACACUGAUCGACCUCUAAGGUUCGUAAUUUGGGGAGAAGUUUUCUCUCAGCUGUGGUUCUGCUGCAUGAGAACCUUAGGUAUAGGAAGUAACACCCACUCCCACUUCCUUUUCAGUGGUGUGUUCCCUGUGGUGGCUUGAAUGACCCCGGACAUGAGAUAUCUGGUUUUGCCCUUGAGUUGGGUGUAGGCCCUGUGGAAUUGGAAAGCCAUGCUGACCUUGGGCUUACAUGAAGAAUUCAUGCAUCGCCAGAUUCUGGGCUACAAUGUCUCUCAUGUCAGUAGCUAUUUGAGUAUCCCUUCAGUAAGUACUGCUAUCCUGUUGCCUCGGUGACCCCGGUGAUGGGUUCUCCGAUGCGUGACAUUGGUCCUAAUCACCUCUUCUUCAGAGGCGUUCUUGUGCCCUUCAUGAUUUGCAUCCUCAUUGCUAUAAGUCACUUUCUCAAUCCUUUUUCACGGGUGUUAUGAACUUGAGACAGUUGACUUGGUCCUUUUUCAAUUACGUCCCUUUUUUAAGUAGAUAGUUUUCCGGUGGUAAAUGGGAGAUUGGUUGGAAUUUUCCCAUAGACGACGCCAAUCUAUUGACCUCGCGAAAUAGACCUUUACGUGGCCAAUCGAGAGCCACUUCACAUAUUCCUCCCUACACACAACAACGUACAAUCAGGAGCACACGGCUGGAACCAGCGGAGGUGGUGGCGAUCGCAUACACUCCGACAGUCAAGUCAGUGGUCAAUGAUCGAAACGGUACAAGAAUUAUGCAAGAGAGCGGGAAAGAGAAUAUAUAUUGCUUGAAUGUGGAGAGCUUAGUUUAGUAUAAGUUUCAUUACUUUUGCCUCUUGCCAAACCUUGAGUAUUUAUAGAUGAAGAGCACCGUUGGAUGCGGGACACGUGUAUGCAUCUGACAGUGUGAAACGUUUGCUCGUAGGCAUCAAUCAACCGCGUCCAGUGUGGGUGGGUUAUUAAUUCCCUUAGAUUGAGUUGAUAUAAAGUUGAUGUCACAUCAAUUAGACCCAUGAAAAAGUCACAUCCAUAGGGGAUUCUGACAUAGAUAUGCAUCUGAAACAGGUGACGGAGGUAUCUACUAAGGGAGCACCUCGGAUAGCCUAGCGCUUCGGUAACAGGGAGCGCUUUGGUCGCUUUAGUAGAUUUAGUUUAUUUCGACUCACCUUGCGGUGCGUCGAGUUGGAGUUCGACUGAGAGGGAUACCACUUCGAAACCACGUCGUUGGGACACAUGGCACUUCGUGGACAAGAGGGACACUAUUGUCGAAGUGGAUUAGUACGGGGCGUAACAAUCAUAGUUCUUGCUACACAAGGAAAAGACAACCGACAAAUUUCUAUUAAUGGAAAAUUAAGCUAAACUAGCUACGAUUUGGGCUUGUUUGUGUCCCCCCCCCCACCCACCCCCUAAGUAGAAGAAAUACAACUAUAGGGAAUUACAAAAAUGACAAGUAUAGGUAUUCAAAUCAAUGACGUAAAUGGUGGGACUAUGAUGUGAUGUAAGAAUGAAUUCUAUAAUUUCAGAAUGAGAAACAAACAAAGGCUUAAUUUGAUAACUAAUAAUUACUUUUCGUACGGAACAUAACGAAAUCAUAAAAUUCUUUAUAUUUGAUUAAUAUUCAAGUAAUACAUCUUUAGUCAAGGCCUUCUUCUUUAUUUUUAUUUUUCUUUUGAAGUCCAUAUAUUUUAACUAACAAUAAUUUGAUCCUAAAAUUACCCCGUAAUCAAAACUAUCUAGGAACUAUUAAUACCCUGCGCAUGUAGUAUGUAACUUUGAUGUGUCGUCUUUGUUCUGAAUAGUCACAACCCAAAAACGAUGAAAAAAUAGUAUGAGCUAGAGUUUGUGUUCGGAAUAUCCCCAUCGCGUGGAAUAUGGAGGACGAUAACCACCUUGCCUUUUAUGUGUGAAUUGGAGACCGCUAUUUUCUUGUACUUUUGUCCUCAUUUUCUAACUUGAUUUCCAAUUUUGUUGGUCCACUUAAAAGGAGGUAGACCCUUCAUUUUAACUUAUCGUCAUUUCUCUUCAUUUUCCUCUAGCUCUUUUGGCAUGAUAGCCUCAAUUAAAAUUGAGUUAUCGGAUUCAUAUUUUUUAUUUUCUUUUAUACAUUUAAGGGGACUAACAAACUUAUGAUCUUAAAAACGUUUCUGAAUUGGACUCAUAUAAAACUAAAUUUUAUGUUGAAGUACAAUUUAGAUUGUAUUAUUCCAUUUAAAAUUGUAGUGUUCUGGUAUAUUUUUUCGAUUAACACACGUGUCAAUGAGUCUCACAAAGUUCCUUGUAAAUUAAGGGAUUGUCCGACAAAGAUCUUGAUAAAAGUUAAAUAAAAAGUGUGAUUUAAAAUUUGACAAAAAAUUGUGGGUCACAUAAAAUUUGAUUAAUUCAAUAUGAAAAAUGAUUAUUUACGAGAAGCAUUACUCAUAAAAACAAUCAGCCACCUAAAUUUGUACAUGAGUCUUGUUAAAUACACGGUUUUAAUUAUCGCGUGUUGAUUCUGCUGGGAAAAAUAAAAAAUUGAAAAAAAUCGAUGCCAACUUCCCAACUCUAGGAUGGAUACAUGCAAGCAAUUUCCAAGAAACUAUUAGGCCGCCGAUCUUUCACACUGAAUAAUGUCUUCUUGAAAUAUUCAUCUCGUCUCGUCUAUAUAUAGAGGAACAUUGACUUCUUUUCAUUCAAUAUAGAAACUUUCUAUUUUUUUUUCUCUCUAUCUCAAACACACGGUGACUAAGGAGUUGAUAAAUCCUGAUUAUAAUAUCCCCCAUAAAUAUGGAGCAGAAUGGGAUGAAUUACAAGACCAAGGAGUUCAUCAAUUCUGAUCAUACCAACACUACAUUUUCUCAGAUUAGCAGCAAAUUCAAAAAAAAACCUUUUCUGACUCCGGUUCGAUCGGGAGCCAUCAAAAGGAGAAUCUUUACGGCUCUCUUCUGCGAAUUGAUAAAUUUCUUGCAAAUCACAUUUCCCUGCAUGUUUUAGGGAUCAUGAAAACAUGCAAACAUGCCAGCAAGCAUAUGAAAUUGUAAUCUAUUUCUUUGUUGUCCGGAAGUAAUUGAUCUGUUCAGUUUCGAUAUGGUUAGUACUUUUUCUUGGAGGCUAUGGUUUUGUUUUCUAGUUGAUGAGUUCAAGUAUUUAUUGUUUACCCA
rnacentral:lncRNA from 1 species